AUAUCAAAUAAAUUAUGGGGAAUUGUUGAUGACUGAAUUUGAGGUUUGCUUUGCAUUUCUUUCAACCUGUCUAACAAGUGAAGUAUCAUAUAUUCCGGCAUUGUAUGUGUCACAAAACUGAUUAGAGAACCCGCAGCAAGUAGAAAGAGAGAAAGAAGGAAGAGAGAAGGAGGAGAAAGAGAACGUAAAAGAAAGAAAGAGAGGGCUGUAGUUUUUCUGUAAUCAGAAACCCUACACCCAUUGUAUUUAUAUUGAAUAUAAAUUGUAUAUAACAAUAAUAUCCUUAUGUAAGUAAAAAAGGAAAUAAAACUCUGAUAAUAAAGGAAACUCAAUUAAAGUAACUUAACACUCCCCCUCAAGCUAGAGCAUAUAGGUCACCCAUGCCUAGCUUGGAACAACCAACAACAAAAGCAGGAUGAAAUAAUGCUUUGGUAAACAUAUCAACAAAUUGAUCUCUAGAGGCAACGUAAGGAGUAGCAACCAUAUUCUGCUUCACAGCAUCACGAACAAAGUGACAGUCAACUUCUAUAUGUUUAGUUCGCUCUUGAAAAACAGGAUUCCCAACAAUAUAAAUGGCUGCUUGAUUAUCACACAUCAUGUCAAUAGGUUGAUUAAUAGAAAAUCCAAGCUGCUGGAGAAGAGAUUUUAACCACAACAAUUCAGCCACAGUAUGUGCCAUAGCACGAUAUUCAACCUCUGCACUAGACUUGGCAAUGGUAGUUUGUUUCUUACUUCUCCAAGUAACCAAAUUACCACCAAUAAAAGUGCAAUACCCAGUUGUAGACCGUCGAUCAUAUGUUGACCCAGCCCAAUCAGCAUCAGAAUAGCCAACCAAAGUGGAAGAACCAUUAGAUUUAUAAAUGAGUCCCUUACCAGGAGAGCUUUUAAGAUAUCGAAGAAUGCGACAUACAACAUCCCAAUGAGCUUUCUUAGGUGACUCCAUAAACCGACUCACCACGCCAACAGCAAAAGAAAUAUCGAGACGUGUAACAGUAAGAUAAAUUAGUUUCCCAACUAGACGCCGAUAUUGAUGCUUGUCUUCAAUUUCUUUUCCAUCAUCAACUCCAAACUUUUGAUUUUGAUCCAUAGGAGUAUCAACUGGCUUGGAAGCUAGUGUACCUGUCUCAGACAAAAGAUCAAGAACAUACUUUCGCUGAGACAAAUUAAUACCUUUUUUACUUCGUAAAACUUCAAUUCCCAGAAAAUAUCUAAGAGUUCCCAAGUCCUUAAUCUGAAAUUGCUGCUGAAGAAAUGAGUUAAUCUCAAAAAUGCCAGUCACAUCACUACCAGAGACAAUUAUAUCAUCCACAUAUAUCACAAGAAUGACUACCCCCGAUUCCUUCUUGCGAACAAAAAUAGAAUGAUCAGAAUAAGAUUGGUGGAAUCCACAUCUGGAAAUCACCGAACUGAAUUUUUCAAACCAUGCUCUUGGAGACUGUUUCAACCCAUAAAUUGCCUUAUGUAGCCGACAUACUUUACUACGAUUCUCCCCCUGAGCAACAUACCCAGGAGGUUGCUCCAUAUAUACUUCUUCAGACAAAUCACCAUAAAGAAAAGCAUUUUUGAUAUCUAAUUGAUAUAAUGGCCAAUCGAAAUUCACAGCAAGAGAAAUAACAACACGAACAGAGUUGAGACGUGCCACAGGGGAAAAAGUCUCAAAAUAAUCCACUCCAUAAGUUUGAGUAAAACCUUUAGCAACGAGUCGAGCUUUAAGACGCUCGAUUGAGCCAUCCGGAUUGUACUUGAUAGUGUACACCCAACGACACUUCACCACAUCUUUCCCAAGGGGAAGAUCAACUAAUGACCACGUUUGGCGAGAGACUAGAGCUUCCAUUUCCACAUCCAUAGCUUUCUUCCAUUCAAGGCGAGACAAAGCCUCAGUGGUAGAAGUAGGGAUUGUGUGAGUUUGUAAUGAUAGAGCAAAGUCAUGUAAUGGAGAAGGAAUAUGUGAGAGAGACACAUAACGCUCAAUAGGGUAAGCCAAAGAGGAUUUUUGUGUGCAAGACCGAGUACCUUUGUGAAGGGCAAUAGGAAGAUCGUCUGGACUAGGAGACAAGGAGGAAGAUUGAUUGGAGGGCAUUGAAGAGCUUGAGACUAGUGGUGCCGUAGACUGCUUUCGCUGCUGAUACACCUACAAUGGAGGAAAUACUAGAGACGGACUAACAGAAUCUAAGGAGAUUUGUUGUGGGAUAGGAGGAUCAGCUACAAUGUCAGUUGAAAACUCUUUACCCUCAGUAGAAUAGUAUGGUGUGCCCUCGAAAAAAGUAACAUCAGCACUAACAUAUUGAGUAUAAGUUGUAGGAUCAUAACACCGAUAUCCCUUCUGUGUAUGUGAAUACCCGAGAAAAAUACAUUUAGUAGCACGAGGAGAUAGUUUAUCAAAACCGGAACGUAGGUUAUGAACAAAACAGACACACCCAAAGACACGCGGGGUAAGAGAGAAUAACGGCUUGUCAGGAAAUGCAACACUGAUUGGUGACUGAUGAUUGAGGACAAUGGAAGGCAUACGAUUUAUGAGGUAACAUGCGGUAAGGACAGCAUCACUCCAAAAUGAUUUUGGCACAUUCAUAUGAAAUAAGAGUGAACGAGCAACUUCUAGAAGGUGACGGUAUUUUCUCUCGGCCACACCAUUCUGCUGAGGGGUAUAAGUACAACUUAUUUGAUGUAUAAUGCCAAGAUUAGAACAAAACAAAGAAAUUGAUUUCUGUGUAUAUUCUAGAGCAUUAUCUGUUCGCAAAAUUUUCAGGGAUGUAUUAAACUGAUUAGUAACCUCACGAUGAAAUAAUUGAAAAACAUGUAAAAAUUCAGAGUGGUCAUGAAGCAUAUAGAGCCAUGUUAAACGAGAAUAAUCAUCCACAAAAAUAACAAAGUACUUAAAACCAUUUCUACUAGCAAUACGGGAAGGUCCCCAGAUGUCCGAAUGAACAAGUUCAAGUAAAGUAGAUGCACGAGAAUCACUACGACUAGGAAAUGAACUACGAUGAUGUUUCCCAAGUUCACAAGCCUCACACUCAAGAGUAGAAAUUGAUUUACACUCGGGAAUUAUUUGUUGUAACUUAAAUAAAGAUAAAUGCCCUAAACGAGAAUGCCAUAAUAGGGGGGUAAUAGAACUAGCAGCUAGACCAUUGGCGUCAGCAGUGGAGAGACCAUUGAGAUAGUAGAGUCCAUCACAUUCAUGUCCUCCACCAAUCAUCUUCUUUGUCUGAAGGUCCUGAAAAAUGCAAUGAGAUGGAUAAAAUGUAACUGAACAACUAAAAGCUUUAGUUAACUGACUAACAGAUAACAAAUUUAAAGGAAGUUGGGGGACAUGUAAAACAGAGGACAAAGAUAAGGAAGAUGUAAGUGAAACAGUCCCUGAUCCAACCACUUGAGUCGAUGAACCAUUAGCUAAAAUAACUUCGGAUGAAGGACUAGAAUUAGUGUGGGAAGAAAAUAGUUCUUGCUUACCCGUCAUAUGACUAGAAGCCCCCGAGUCAAUGACCCAAGAGGCGUUAGGAGACAAAGUAGAGAAAGAGGCCAUGUUACCUGUACGUGCAAGAGUAGCAGUGGAUGAGAAAUUGGAAGCCUCUAGUUGUUUGACACGUUUGAUGAGUUGUGCAACCAUAUCAUCUCGAGUCGUAGACUCAGAAGAACUACCCCCAAGUGGAAGAGAUGGGUUCAUGUCGUUGUAAGACACAUUUCGAGCACUCUCUUCAGACAUAGCAGCAUUUGCAAUAACCUUGGCCCAACAAGUGUCAACAAUAUGACCGAAUUUGCCACAGUGUAUACACUGACGGCUAUCUCGAUCAGAACUUUGUCCACUACGUCCACCACCGCGACUACGAUUUCCCCCGAAACCACGACCUCUAUUGGAAAAUCCACCACGACCACGACCACCACUACUAGCCACAAAUGCUGAAUUGUCUUUAGAUGAAGUAGAAGACGGAGGGAUAAUGCGCUGAAUUCGACAAAAUGCUUCAUUCAUAGAAGGAACUCUCUCUCCAGCAAGAAGCUGACUCUUCACAGGCUGUAAGUCAACAUUCAAGCCAGAUAGAAAUUUGGCCACUUGAAAUUCAGCUCGUUGUGUCUUUAGUCUCUCAAGAUUAGUAGUGAUGGGCUGAUAAAGAUUGAGUUCUUCCCACAUACCUUUCAAAGCACUAUAAUAUUCUCCAAGAGAUUUGUUUCCCUGUUUAAAAUUAAAAAUCUUCUCAUAUAGUUCAUAAACUCUAGACAUAUUUUUGUCUUGUGAGUAACUCUCCAUAAGAUCAUCCCACACUCCUUUAGCAGUUGUGUGGAACAUGACAUUAGCAGCGAUGGAUGGUUCCAUGCUAUUCCAUAACCACACCAGAAGUGUAUCAUUCUCUCUCAUCCAACCAUUAUAGUCUCUAGAAUUUUCAUCAGGAGGGUCUCUGGUAAGAUAAUGAAGUUUCCCUUUGGCAUUAAUAUAGACCUUCACAGCUUGGGCCCAUAACAAGUAAUUGGAGGAUCCAUUUAAUUUAAUAGUGGUAAUUUGAACGUUGACACUAUUUGUAGAAGCCUUAGUAUCACUCAUGAUGAUAAUCUCAAUAUAAGUAUAUCUACCACUAAUCAAGGAGGCUGAAACUUUAGUGCAAGUAACAAAGCAGCAACGCUAAUGUAUAAUCAGAUGUAAUUGGCUUCAUCAAUUAACCAAAGGGAUGCUGAAAACUCAUAAAUAGAGACUGCUGUAUAGAAGAAAAUAUCUGACUAGAAAUCUCGAUUCAAAUAAUUAUAUGUUUGACGGAAAACCAGCAAGACUAGUCAACCAUAAUCAAUAGAAUAUUCUGAUUCUUGAAUCCGCUGAUCAGCAAGUGUUGUAAUCCAUGUUCAUAAACCGAACCUGAUGAAUCCGAUAUCUUCUGAUCUCAUAUGUAUCGAGACUUGAAGAGAAAACAGAUAAAAAUUGCAGCUUUAGGUGGCUACGCACCAGAGAAGAAGUAGAGUUACUAGGGGACUCUCAAACCAGCAAUAUGAUUAAGUAAUCAGAUAGUUAGACCUACUCUGAUACCAUGUCACAAAACUGAUUAGAGAACCCGCAGCAAGUAGAAAGAGAGAAAGAAGGAAGAGAGAAGGAGGAGAAAGAGAACGUAAAAGAAAGAAAGAGAGGGCUGUAGUUUUUCUGUAAUCAGAAACCCUACACCCAUUGUAUUUAUAUUGAAUAUAAAUUGUAUAUAACAAUAAUAUCCUUAUGUAAGUAAAAAAGGAAAUAAAACUCUGAUAAUAAAGGAAACUCAAUUAAAGUAACUUAACAGUAUGUACUCUCUUUUUUCAGCUUAUAAAUUAUGACUGUCUUGUUUGUUUUUCUUCUUAACAAAGCAGGGUAGUAUGUAGGACUCAUCACGUUAUAAUUUACUUCAUGAUGAGUUUUUCAUAUCAAUUCCAAAGUUUAAGGCACAUAAUGAUGUUUAUUAUACUCUCUCUCUCUCUCUCUCUCUCUCUCUCUCACACACACACACACACACACACACACACACACACACACACACACACACACACACACACACACACUAUGUAUGUCUACUAAUGCGUAUAAUUAUUAGUGACUAGCUCAAGGACAGCCACGGUUGAACAUAUUAAUGUGAGAUGAAAAUGAUUUGAUUCCACCUGCUUCUCUAAUGACUAAUCAUACUAUGUAUGUCUACUAAUGCGUAUAAUUAUUAGUGACUAGCUCAAGGACAGCCACGGUUGAACAUAUUAAUGUGAGAUGAAAAUGAUUUGAUUCCACCUGCUUCUCUAAUGACUAAUCAUACUCGUAACAGUUUUCAUGUAAUCGGAAUCUUCCCUUUAUUGUAGGUAUGGCUAUAUAACAUAGGCUUUGGUAGUUAUCAGGUUGAGAAAGUUUGUGAUACCUCAGGAGAAGAUGCAUCAUGCAGCAAGUGAUGAGCUAGUUUCAGUCGAAGCUACUUGUUCAAACAAUUAUUUUGUGGAUUUAUCAUGCAAAAUGCAAUAAGCCGUGAUGGACCAGCUUGUCCUAGAGAAUGUCCUUUGUUACUAGGAAUAUUUGUGGACAACUGAUCAGGGUAUUUUCCUGCAGAUUGGUAACCGGUAACAGCAUUGUGGACCAUUUAGUCUCUCUAUAGUGUGCAAUUAAUGGCUAAAACAUGAGAAUCAUGCAAAAUCGUCACGGACACUAUUGACGAAAUGUGGAGGCGAAGAUGUCAAAGGAAAUCUUAUGCUUUCCAGGAAUCCUUUUGUUUCUGCAUUGAGGCCGCAUUCAGACUCUGAUGCCAAGAGGAAAUUCAGUUGAAAUGCUCCUGGGUCAGUACCUGGAUUCUCAAAGAUCAUCAGGGACCUUUGUGAUGAAGUUUGGUCACAAAAUGCAUUCCAUCGAUCUGUUGUCCAUAUCCAUCACAAGAUACAGAGGAGCUCUACUCUAAUUUACUCUGAAUGUAAAUAGCACAAAGUUGAAGGUAUCAUCCUUGUAAAUACAACUCCAUGGUUUCAAUUGAAUAAAUAUGUUCGCAAGUUUGCCUGUCAAUCUGUUAUUGGGCUUGGGGCUUUGUUACCUGACUUGAUGUGUGGAUGCUGAGCUGAGCUACAUUCAUAGUUGAAUGACGCAGCUAUUUUCCCUUGGUUUAAUGUGUUGAAGAAAUCCUUGAAACUGUAAACAGAAAAGACAAUCGCCAGAGAUGACCAAAAGCUAGUUUGCUAGACAUGGUUAUACUGUUUCGAUAGGAUAUUGCAGCGUAAUUUCACUGUGACAAAGUCAACGAUGCCUGGUGUACACCGUCCAUUCGUUUCCAAUGUACAGCCAAACAGCAGUGUGGUUUUGUGCUCUUCAGUAUCUAAUGCAUAAUGUAAGGUUCAUCAGUGAUUUCGUGGAUGAUUCCGACAAUUUGUUUUCAAUAAUCUAACCGCAGCGAUUGAGAGUCCACUGGGGAAGAAUGGACACAAAACAUCAGAUCCCUAUCCGAAAUUAGGACGGGCACAUGCCCACAUUGUCAGGCAUAUCGGAGAUAAAGAUGUCCACUGUUAAUGAUUGUUCAAAUAAGUUUUAGCACUAGGCUCCAAACUCAUCAUAGAGUACAAUUUAGGAAAAAAAAAGAAUGGCUCCUCAUAUCUAAGCACGAAAAUUGGUUCUUUAUGUGCUGCGACGCUCUCAAAAUUUUCUCUGUCAAGGACUUGCGGACAUCGUGAGACCAUUAGUCUAUAGGAAUUUCAAGCUCAGAAUAAAAUACUGAUACACUGCUAUACAUUUGAUAUGUCAAAACAAAAAAUAAAGCGCCAAUAUUGUGGUCAUUAUUUCAAGUUUAGCUCAACCGCAUUUGAACAAGUAUAUUUGUUCUAAGUCCUUUAAAAUCUAACUCUGCGACUCUAUCAUUAUGAUUUGACAUGUGAUUCAAGGUCCUCUUGUUUUCAACUUCUACUUCUGAUGAGUGUAAAACCACAAGGCGAUAGCAACAAGGGGAGUGAUAUGUAGGAACAACGAUCAUCUCUCCAACCCCAAUGCGCACAUAAAAAAUCCCAUAAAUCACAUCCAGUAGCUCCAACCCUUGAGUCUGUUCUCUGUUUGACAAUUUUUGGUGUCAAGAACCGAACUACAUCACUGUAAUUUUACGUAACUAAGGUAUAAAAGCUGCUUAAGAUUAGUUAUGGGAUUCUCGCGAUGCUGCUUCUUCGAUUCAGUUGCUCUUUGCUACUUCUCCGGUUGCUAAAUGAGCCACAAUUUCCUGCAAAGAAACAUAGUUCCAUUAACUUUGUUAAGAGUUAACCAUCUCAAUCAGAAAACCAGCUCAAAAAGUCCGUCUGAGAUGUUUGUACCUCUUGGUCUCAACGUCAAUGUUUAAUGCGUAGUAAAUGUAUCAAAAUCAAUGGAAAAGAAUGGGUUGUGUAGAUUAGCGUGAAUAUAAUCCACGUCAAGACAUAUGUCUGCGAACCUGUACAUGUGAUCUUAUGAUCCCGAAUACAUGUAUCUAUUAUUCUAACUCAGCAGUUAAAUUCUCGGAAGAGUCAUUCAAGUACAUCAUCAGGAGCAGAGUCAUUUUCCUUCUUCCCCAAUUCCUCUUCCUUUUCCAGUCCAGUUGGAUUCUUCUCUUCCACCACCACUUUAUCUUACUCGCCCUCCUUCACACGUUCAUGCCGAGGCAAGUUGUACUCGGAGGAGAGGCCCUCAGACACGAUCCCUUCCGGCACUUCCUCGUCUCUUCUGGGAGAGAAGUAAUGAUCCGGCGAGUCGUGGGAUGUGAACCUCCCUGGCUCUGCCUCUUCCUCUUCUACUAGCGGUUCUGUCUCCGGCUCUAGCUCCUGCUCCAGCUCAAUCUCCUUUUCUUCCUCUACACGCUUCUCUUCCUCUCUGUCUUCAUCCUCGGCCUUUGUUUCUUCUUCUUCUUCGUUCUCUUCUUCUUGUUCAGACUCGGGAUGUUCAGUUAUGUCCUUAACAUCAGCCGCAUUUUCUGUAUCCUGGCUCACCGCAUUAUUGAUUUCUUGUUGCACGAGUAAUGCCGCACCUCUCCCAAUUGCUUCCAUCUAAAUAACGUUCUGUUCCACUUGUUUGUUCUUCUCGGGAUUGGCGCUCGAAACUCCUACUUUUGACUCCCCGCAACCCAUUGUCAUAAAAAGGAACGUCAAUCGAGAGGAAUUUGAUUGGGGUAUUGAUUCUCUCUGCCUUUGUGCAUCAGAUUGAAAUGAAGUUUCGGCUUUUGUCUUCUUUGCCCGUUGCAGUUUUGAUUUGCUGAAGCGGGUUGUAUCCGUGGUUGACAAAACGACAGAUCGUUUCUUGUUAUCGGUGGGGUUUUCCUUUCUUUGUCUUUUUUUUUUUUUUCAACCCAACCUUAGUUCAAUGAAAAACAUACUUUACAAUUAACAUAUGAUGCAUCCAAGCAAAAUUCAAUAUUGAAAAGACCGAAUUAUUCCCACUCAAAAACUUGUUUAAAUCUCUUGCUCCAUGUUUGAGUGAUUUAAUUUUCAGUUGGUUUUAAGUGCUUUUGAUAGGUAAGAAUUUAGGAUUUGUGAAUUGACAUUUUUCGAGAGAUAAUGACAUUCUUUUAUAAAAAGAAACACAAGGCUAAUAGAUGUAAAAAUGUAGAAAAUGAUAUAUAUAUAUAUAUUUAUAUUUUUUAACAUCAAUCGGCCUCAUGAACCAAAAUUCAUAUGGUCGUCAAACAUGGAAUUGCUUACACUUAAUCACGUUGAAAAUUGAACUUAGCCAAUUUUUCAAAUUCACAUAUAAAUUAUUUUCUGAACCACUAAAUCAAAAUAGACAAAGAGUAAAUAUGUUAGAAAGUGAAAUAUCAUAAAAAGAUGAAUUAUAAUAAUGUUAACAAAUUAACAAUCCAAAUAUUACUAAUUAAUCCCACAAAUGGUUUACUUCACCAAAUGGAAUUUAAAUUUCUCUCGAGUUGCCAUAAUUUAUUUUUUCCUUAGGCUAAAUAAUAAGCAUCUCCAAACAUAUAUCCUCUCUACAUAUAUUACGCCAUCUUCUUCCAUCUUGAGAGUGUCGUUUGCAAAAGUUCUUUUAAUUGUUCCACACCGUAAGUGGCCAUGGACGCCGCCACAGGAGAACAUCAAACUUCAGUAGUUAUCAGUUCGAGCUGUUUCUAGUAAUUACGCUCUUCAUAAUUUUCAAGAAAAAUAAAUCUAAUCAAACUGCAGUUCCAUGGUGUAACUCAUUUUAGGAGAUUGCAGCAAUUAAUUGUCACUGGGAGUACAUGAUUUAAUCAGAACCUAUGUCUGUAAAUCCUUACUUAGGCUAAGAAAUUGAAUUGCAUGGUUCACUUAAUCCGUGAUGAUAGAGACUAAGGGUUGACAAAAUUGUAGGUAAGAAGGCCUUGUGGGAGCAUAAUGUCUAUUGAUUGACCCCUACAAUUGGCUCUGCAAACCAUCUUUUGGUAAUGAUGAAGUGUAUCUAUAUCAGGCAAUUCUUUUUUCCAUUUGUUUUAUUUACACUAUUCUUCUGCUAACUUGGGGUAUUGCAAUGCAGCAAUAUGCUAAAGAGCACAAAGAUGCUAACCUCAUGCAGGAAGUUAUGAAGCUUUUGAAGAAGAAUAACUUGCCAUUGCAACCCACCACGGCCGAUAUUGUUUUCAGGUUCACUUCGGUGCUGUUUCUCCUGAGAAGGAUGUUAUUAUCAUGUAGUAAGCCAUUAUUGCACUUAAUUGUGUGUUAUGUACUGCAUAGUUAUCAAGCAAUUUAUCCAAUUUAUAAGUGUCAUUUAUAUACGAUUUAAUCAACUUGUUUUUAUUUUGAAUUAUUUUGUCUGCACUGCUACUCUCGAUCUAAUAGUUUGCUCAUGUUAUUUGACAUCCUUUCUUUCCAUGGAAAAAUUUUGCAGCAUUUGUGAUGAUACAGACAAUUGGGUGUUGCUCACAAAGUAUUCAAAGAGAUUUGUCAAAAUUGGAGUGAAUUUGCAUAAAGCUGCAUUUGACAUCUGGAUGGAGUUUGCUGCAAAAGUAGGUGAGAAACACUAGCUCUGUCUCCCUUCGCUGCUCUCAAGCCCUUGUCCCUCAACAAUCUUAUUUUCCAUUUCUUCCCACAAAUAGUUUUCUCAUCCACGUCCCGCCACUUACUACAAAAGAUGGGAUGUGCUAGAAUAUUUUCUUCUGUACGGUGAUUUCUUUCUCUCCUUAAACAAAAGGGUAGAAAUAAGAAAUAAAAAGAAUUUUCGCUGCGCCAUGUCUUUCAAUGUCUUUGUUUCUUUAAUUGUUCUGAGAUUAUGCUUCUUUAUCCUAUUUAGUGGUUUGACGAAAAUUACCCUUUUCAGGAGAUUUGAAUCUCUAUGGAAAACUGAGAAGUUAAGAUGUGAGUCCAUGAAGCAGCACACCCUGGGCAGUGGAUUCUCAUGUGCGAAGGUAGUUUACAAAGGCAGACUGUUGAAAUCACAAAUAUCAGACCCUGAAAGCACUAAGUCUUCUUGCAUUAGAAAAUCUGAUAAUGGGAAAAUAUUAAUAUUGCAAUACAGAUCAGUACAAAGUUCUUGGUAAACCAGGUGAGAGGUCUAUGGCCGAAAAAAGCGAGAGUUAAUGAUUGAAUAAACCAAAUUUUGGCUCACAUCCUAGGACAUGAAACACCUAUGGGCAUGAGAAUGCUUAUUGUCACAACACAAAGGAGAUAAUAACUACUUUUUCGGUAUUUGGAAGCAUUUAUUGUGGCUUUUAGCACUCUGGUUUAAUAUUAAAAUUUAACCGACUGUCAUUUGCUUGUUUUGUGGCAAGCUAAAUGGUUUUAUAACCAAUUUUUUGUGCAGGGAUCUUUACUUGAAGGCAAACCUGAGGAGGCUGCGACAGUCAUUCAUGUCUUGAAUCAGGUCCUCCUUGCUUCUCCGAGCAUCUAUAGCUAUUAUUAAUAUGCUCAUCAUCACCAUCUGGCAUGAUUGCAAUCCUAAAUUACCUCAGCCUCUGAAUUAGUCUUCAAUUUUCCAUAUACUGUCAAGGAAUAAAGCAAUUAGUGGAAAAUAUACAGAAUUGUCCCCCAAAAUGUGCUCAGAUAAAAUUACCAUGACAUAUCCUCUCUCGAGGGGGACUGAGUGAUUUGGGUUUCAUAUUUGGUGCAUGCUAUACUAUUAAAAUAACACGGCUUAGUUCCAUGGAUCCUAAUAGAGUUCGAAAGAUCAUCUCAGACUCCUCCUGAAUUGAAUAAAGUUGGAAAUUCACCUAUGUAGGCUCUGUUUGUUCAGAUGUUGCUUCUUAGGUCUCACAAUGUGAAUGCCUUGGAUUGAUGCGAGAGUUUACCUGAUGCUAAGAGGUCCAGCAUUGUGGUUGAACUUCAAAAGCUUGUCAGUGAGUGGGUUUUCGAGGUCAUCAAAUGGAAGAAAGAAGAUGACCGCAAGGUACUUCCUUUGACUAAAUAUCCAUCACUUUGGGUAGAAGUAGAAACGUUGCUUGUUUGCAGUUAUAUAUUGCUCUGGUAAUGUUUUCUCAAUCGUUCCCUUUGCUGGAUGUAUAUAUGCUGCAUUGAACUAUCUCAAAAUUUUUAAAACCUCUCAUUCUUUUCGCUCAUGUAGGCAUUGGCUGCUUCUUUCAAAUCCAAUAUCCCGGCCAUGGUUAGUUUCCCUAUCAAACACGGGCUUGGAGGUGAAAGUGAAUAUGGAACAACUAACCACCAAAGGCGCCCUUUGUUAAAGUAUGACAGAAUUGGAGAUUAAAUGCACUAGCUGCAGAUCUGUCUCCUAUGUGGACCGCUAAGGUUGCCAUUUUAAUUUAAACCGAUUCCGCUGAGAAGCAAGACAAGCGUGGUACUCACGUCUCGAGCAACAAGCAUCUGAAGUUCUCUUGUGAAGGUCCCUGAACCAUGAAAAGAUCUGCUCCUUCUUGAUUUGAAUGUUGUCACUUCUGUACUCUGGAAUAAUGAUUCUUUUCUUUCCCCAAAAAAUCUGAGUGUAUUAGAUACGAUAGGUGCAUCGUCAGCAAUUGAAUUCUGAGAACAACCUCGGAUGACUAGUUUUUGCAGAGAGGAUUCUUUUGGCUCACGCAUUUUAGAUUGGACCAAAUGGGCAGUUAAGAGAGACAAUUGAUAAGGUGGUCCUUUCAAUUUCAAUCUGAUUUGGCAGCCUAUUUUGUUAUAUUUCUGACACAAUUUCGCUGUCCAAAAUUAAGAGUGAAUUUAAUGCCGACUCAUUUGAUGUUGGCAUACAGCGACCGCCAUGGCUUCCUGAUUUAAUCGGAUCGAACCGUCCAAUCGUGGUGCCAAAGUGCAUAACAUAAAUUACAUCCCCUUUUACGUCAUGAAAGAAAACGAAAACCUGAAUUACCAGAAAUGGCUUCGGUACCCACAUGCGUGGGUGGGUGGGUGGGUGGGUGCGUGCAUUUUGUGCAUUUUGUGCAUUUAAGGCGUAAAAGAGGCGACAAAUGCAAUCCUCUAGAAUGAAAACAUGCGCAAAUUUUAACAAUGAAUUGACAUAAUUGUAAUAGAUAUGAGACUUUUUUGGUAAUAUAGGACCAAAUUUGAAUUCAUACAAUAAGCUUACGACUGAAUUUGCGAUUCUCCUAGCUCAACACCUUAAGCAGUAAUUAAGCUCUUCAUAUGUUCACCUGCCAUAACCUAAAAAAAGUCAAGCAUGAUCAUGGUGAAAGAAAAGGUCCAAAGAAUCCUUCCCUUGGAAGCAAACAAUCGAAUCAUUCUUGUUGCCUAAAAGAAUCGAGCAUGAGCUUUGUUUACCCAACUCAACUGCAUAGACACGGAGAAGAGGCUUCAGAUAUAAGAACUUAACAGGGUACAUCACAAGAGCAGGAUCUGAUGAAAUGUAACAUCGUACAUUUUCUUUGAAGAUAUGGAAAUGAAUAUUCAAAGCCCAAGAUUAAUCCUGGGAAAAAUGGAAAAGUAUGGAACAACAAACUUUGAUUUGCAUCACAUGAAGCAAAGAACCACGUGAUAAGUGAAUUCAAGCAUCCUGUGGAAUUCUAUUGACACUGGCAGCUUCUACUGAUUCCUGUUCUGCCACAACUAUAGUCCUGGAAGGCCGCUUGUUAGGAGUCAUUUGGAGGCAUUGUAAAGCAAGCUGUGCUAUUUGGAAUGCAGAAUCUGUAUAUGUAAGGUAUAGGGAUGGUAUAAAUUUGGUUCCCAUUUCCUGCAGGUCGCAACAUUGUGAGCGACCAGCUUCUUCUAAAAUAUCCAGUGUUUCUUUUUCAGUAAUUGGAGCAUCUGCAGAAAAUGAAAAGUUAUGUGGGCAAUACAACUGUACAUUUUAUGCCAAAGGAUUCAAGUAGCUAAAAGGAAAACACACCUUGUAUUUCAUAGAGGGGAUUAUAGUGAACCUCACACCAGAAACACAACCAAAACUCUGCAUCAAUUGAAAGUAAGGUUAACAAAAGGAAAAACUCAAAAAACAUGGAGUUUCAAAAGACCAGUUGCACAUUGAACAAAAGCAACAGUAGAUCAAUUGCAAAUGUUUACACCUAGGUUUAAAAUCAAUCAAAUAUAUAUUGAGCCAUACCCAAGCAGCUGUUCUAAGCAAGCGAAAGAACAAAUAUUUAAGUUCCCCAGAUGAACAACAAGCAAAGCAUCACAAAGGAGGAUCUAUGCGUAUAUGUAUGUGAGCAACACUCUUUUUUCCAAGACAAACGAGAAGUAAAAUAUCAACUUCACAUUCAUCACAUUGCACGGACUGAUCAUUUGACCCAACAAAACAACUAUGAAGAAGACUAGCAAGCAAUACCCUAGGCAGAGGGAACUUAUAAAUCCAAUGGCCCAACAAUAAUCAAGCUAUCAAUAUAAGUAUCAUCAAGAGGUUAUAGACCUCCUUCAGGCUCUCCAACAUCAACCAAAUAAGCAUUGAACAUCAAUGACUCACCGGAACAAAUAACUUCAUCAUUCUUCAAAAUUCUGCAUUCUGACAGCUGCUUGCUGCCAUCAUAGGGCAUUACCUAUCAUAUAUCCGACCAUCAAUCACAGCAUGGACUAAUCUACUCCAAACAAGCUCAAUCACGGAGAGCAUUACAACCAAAAGCACAGAACAGAACAAUAUGUGAUAUAGAAAAAAUGAAACCCUAGGCAGCAUCGAGCUGCUGCCAUUAAGUUCAAUGCUGCUGCCAUUAAGUUCGAUCGAGCAAGCUAAAUGAGGGAAAACUGAUGCAGCCCGCAUUGAAGAACAACUCUCUCGACCAAGAAGAUCGGCCCGCAUUCAAGCUCGACGAAACCGAGAAGCCGUAACAAUAUCUUGAGUCCAUUUUGGAAGCUUGAAAUACACCUUGGGAGCUCGCGUGACGUGCAGAGUGAGAGGCAGCUGUCACAAUAGACCAUGCGUUUCAGCUUUCCAUGCUCUUUACUAUUUCGUGACAUUCCAGCACACGCAGACUCAAGCACGUAACUCAUUUCAUCAAACACCAAAAGUGCACACUGGACAGCCAAACACUGGACAGGCAAAUCUAGAUGGUUCACACUCACACGAAGCAUAAUUCAGCACACUAAUUACAAACACGAUCCAAAAGCAGUUCAGGAUUGAAAAAGAAAACAAGAGCACAACACCGAUCCGCUCCUAGAACUUACAUUGCCGGCUCAAAAUGCAGGCGUUGAGUCUAUCACAGAGCUGAAAGCUCUAACGUAUUCAUCCGUGGGAUUUUGUUGAGUCUGGAUAUUCUGUAUAAGGGCAACAAGGAUGGUGAUGCCAGACUUCUGUCCCUCAAGAUUCCGUUUGAUGCGAUGUUCAUUUUCCUUAAUCAAAACUCCAGAGUUAGAGCUUAAGCUGGCAGACUUGAAAUCCAUAUCCUUGGUGCAAUUUCUCCCUCUUUACCCAACCUUGAUUGAGGAUGAGGACCACAAUACCAAUGUGUGCGCAGAAGCUCUCCCUGAUGCUCAUAGAGUUCAACUUGACUAAAAUUUCUGAGAUUCUACACCCAAAGACAGUCAGCCACUGCUUCAGAUUUUCACUUGGUGAUUUGUCCUGUGCAAAGGUGAAUGAUGUUGAGCUGCGCAUGGCUCUGGCAUCAGCUCCGAAUAUGGAUCCCAAGUUGCUUUCUCAGCUGAAAGUAGCAUGGCGGAUUGGAAAUCUUUUGGAGAUUGUACAUGGGAAGAAUUUGGAAGAUUUUCUCAAAUUGAUGCUUGGCUUGUGCAAAGCUCUUCUUUUAUGAUCACCAGGUUCUACGAAAUUUUUCACGUACAUGGAAGAGCCAACACUACCUGAUGAAAGUUCUUCUGAGGUGGCAAGUAGCAUAUGACAUAUAAUGGACUUUGGUGGCAGUGCCAGUGUUUUCCUGGAAUUGAGUGGGUCUAAUGACAGAAACAAUGCCGAUAUUGCUUCUGAAUGAACAGUUCUAUUUCUGAAGGCGGCCUCCAGGGAAGGUGCUCUCUUUUUCUCAGCGAUCUUUUGUAAGUGAGUGCAAUUCUCGAGUCUCAGCGAGACACCCUCCUUCUCUACUGGUACCAACGAAUGCUGCAUUCUCUCAGUUACAACUGUAGGAGAUGUUUGCUGCACAGAAUGAAAUUAUGAUUGAAGGCAUCGUGGCUGAGAUAAGAUAUUCUGGUGCUGCUGCUUUAGCCAGUGCUGCCACACUGGUAAUCUCGGAAUUGCGGUGGGUCCCUCAUUUAUGACUUCUCCAUAACAUUUACAAUUCCCACUAAGAAGCACACCUUUCCUGAAAUGAAAAAUAAACUUAACUUAAGCAUAGCAAUAGAGUGCCUGUCUACUUCAAAGUCGCAAUAAUGAGUUGAUUGUGCUGUAAAGUCCCAGGAUGAGAACAAUAGUCAUAUGACCUUCCAGCAAACAUUCCAUCUAUUUGUUUACAUCAUAACAAAGUUAUCUCCAAUGCAAAACGAGGUUAUCAAUUUCGAAAUAUAUGAAGAAGGAAAUCGACAAGGAUCUCUAAUAACUUGGUACAUAUCAAAUAAAAACGAUGCAAUCGACAUGCAUAUCUCUAGGAGAAAUCAUCCUAAGAAAAUGUAGCUAAAAAAGUCAAAUCAAACUAGGAAAAGAACACAAAUACUCGUACAUAAUUAAGAGCCCUCUGGCUGUUUAGAGGUAUCAUAAUUUCAAUGCUUCAUUAGAUUUUCAGACAAGAAUCCGCUAAAAGGUCAUUAAAAAGUGCAUGCGAAACUUCUCUGUUUAUAUUUGCGAAAGAAUUUGAUUGCGAAAAAAAGGAAAACGUUGGUACUUACCUCAAUUUGUUUAAAGUUUGAUCACAAGGUUAGAAUUUGUCUUCUUCCACAAAUUCGUUUCUUCAUCGUCUUCUCCCACAAAUUUGAUUGACUUCUCCAAGCAAAGCCGAGAAAUUUCCUCCACCGCUAAUUUCCCACAAAGUCUUAUUGUAACCUCUCGCAGUCCCUUCAAACUUGAUAGAUCAGGCAACUUCUGUAAAGAUUCACAGGAUUCAAUAUCCAAGUAUUCCAAAGAUUGAGGUAGUUCGCCUUGAAUCUCAAUCAGAUUAUGACAAGAUUCUAUUGUAAGAAGUGUUAGUUUGUUCCAAUUGCUUAGAUCAGGGAUUUGCAUCAGUUUAAAGCCACGAAGCAGCAACUCAUGUCCACCUGUACAUUUAAACAUCUGAUUGCGAAUAUGCACAUAAACAUAUGUCUUACCCAUUAAGCUGAACAGAUUGGGGAACUCCCGUAACGAAUUGCAGGAAUCAAUUGUAAGAUAAUCCAAAAACCGCGGUAGUUCGCCUUGAAUCUCAACCAAAUUACCACAACAGGAUACUCGAAUAUACCUUAGCUUGUUUAACUUGCUUAGAUCAGGUAGCAUUGCCAGCCGUCUGACUUUGUCAAUGUGCAAAUGUCGUAAGUUCUCCAAACAACCAAGGCCUUGAAUCUCUGCAACUGCAGAGCACAAAAUCGAGAGAGACGAUAGUUUCCUCAAAUUCGAUAGAUCCAUCGAGCAAAGUGAGUCGCAACCAAAGAGACUUAAGGAGGAUAAAUUUGAGGGAAGCCUCGGGAGGCGACGCGGAUGAGGAGGGAGGCUCAGGUCUGUCGAAGAGUCAAAUGAGUCAAAUGAGUCAAAUGAGUAGAAUGAAUCGAAUGAGUCGAAUAAGCCGUAUAAGUCGGUCUCCCCUAAAAAGAGUAGUUCCAUGGAUUCCAAUUUGCUUAAAUUCCCAAUCCACAGCGGUAUCGGUUCUUCCAGAAGCCUAUAAGAUUUCCCAGCACAAUUAGGUGAGCAAAAGAACAGAUACAAUACCUUUAAGUUAGCGAGAUUUGAGAGAUCCAGAAACGUGUCCACCCUCAACUGCCCCAGUUCUAAUUCGAUGAGACUUUCAGGAAGCCUUGGUAGGGCGUGUAUUCUCACCCCUCUCAAUCUCAAGAUCCUCAAGGAUUUAUUCUCGUAGAUGCAAUCACCAAUUUUCAAGUGUAAACACUUGUUAUGAUAAUCCUUGCAGACGACUUCUAUUUUUUCAAGCUUCUCCAUCAUCCAAAAGGCAUCGUGUAUUUUGCUUAUGACACUUAUCUUCAUCUUCACUACUUUCAAAUUCUUCAACUUUUUGAUGGAAUCGGGUAGUUCUUUGAUGUUCGUGUAACUUAUGUUCAACUCAAUCAGCGAUUCCAAAUUCCCGAUUGUCUCCGGAAGCCUCUUCAAACUCCGGCAUCUUUCUAGAGAUAGGUAUUUGAGGCUUGCAAGAUCUCUACACAGCUCAUCCGGCAGCCUCUGAAGUCUGCUACAAUUGCUUACAUCUAAGAAAACCAAGCGUUUCAACUGACAAAUUAAUCUAUCAAUUUCAAUUAACGAUUUAGAACCCGAUAGGAUCAAACAUUCUAAUUUUGAAUGAGCAGAUAAGUCGGGGGUUAUCUCCAAGAGUAGGCAAUGGGCUAGAUCUAGAACUUUCAAAUUCUUAAUCACCUGUAAAAGAAAAAUCAUGCAAAGCUUAUUUUUGAAUCUAAUAAGGCAAAAGGAUAAGUAUUGUCUAGCAUAUAACAAACCUUCAUGUGACUCCACCCUUUCCAAUCAUGCGUAAUUUUACUCCAAGAUAGAUCAAGAAUAAUCACAUUCUCCAUGGAGAAAUUUGUAAUCGCAAAUGUUGGCUGAAUAUUAUGCCAAGAAAACCAUUGUAAUCGUGGAAGGAGAUUUGAAUUCUUCUGGAAUACAUUAGUUGAAAGAAUAUCUAACGGCCUUGUGUGCCAAAAAUGCUCAACUUCAAGGAACGUUAGAUUGGGUAGGUUCUUGAAGUCCUCAUAGGUAAAAUGAUGCUGAUCGUCAAACUUGAGAUGAAGAGCUUCAACUUUUUUCUUCAUCUGUCAAAGAGAAAAAUUUGAAAAACAAAAGAGUUGAAGAGAAACACAUUUAUCCAAGUUCACUGUUUUAAGGGGUUGAGUUGAGUACUUAUAUUCCUUUAAUCUUAAAAGAGCAAAAAUAUUGGUUGAGUAGGUUGUGACGGUGCUAGAGAACACAAAAAUAAUUCCCUCCUUUUGAAAAGAAAAUGUCCAUAAGUAACUUGGAGAUUUAUUUUUAUAGGGAAAUUUACCUCAUGGCUCUUCAGCAGAUCCAAUCCUUCCUUGGGAUUCCACACACAACGUUGCUUCUCAAUUUUCAUCUUACUUUCUUGACGAACUAUUUCUCUUCCGAGGUCUCUAAGUUGAUCAUGCAUCCACAAUUUAUUCUGUUCAUCAAUUUUUAUCAAAGACAUGUUCUGCAAAACUUCCAAGGUUGCUUCUGGAAAAAGUUUAGAUGCAUCCCAAAAAAUAACUACAAUGUCUUUGCGAUAUCCAAUGAAAUGACAAGCUAUAUCAAGGAAUAUAUGCUUUUGUCGAGAAUCUAAUGCAUCAUAACUUAUUUUCAGCUUAUUUUGAACUUUAUCAUGAGGAACACUUUCUAACAAGUUCAAUGUGGCAUCCCACAUUUCCUUAACUUUGCUGGAUAAAAGUGAACCUAUGACUUCAAGGGCUAAUGGAAGACCUCCAGCAAUGUAUAUCGCUCUGUUGGUAUGGUUGAUGUACUCGUCUAAAGGAGAAUCUCUUCUAAAGGCAUGUUUGCUAAAAAGUUGAAGAGAUUGAUGGGCAUCCAUGCUCGUAAGCUCAUACAUCCAGUCCACUUCCGGAACAUGGAGAACAUCUUUCCUUCUCGUAGUAAUAAUAAGUUUGCUUCCUUCACCAAACCAAUCAUGCUUGCCUACAAGUGCAUCCAUAUGAUCCUUUUCUUCCACAUCAUCAAGAAGAAUGAGGGCUUUGUGAGUAGGGAACCUAUCUUUAAUGGUCUUAAUCCCUGCAUCAAUGUUUCUUAUAUCCACCCAUUUCAUCUUGAGGAUGUCGCAGAUGAGCUGCUGCUGCAAGUACUCAAUGCCCUUGAGCUUUGACGUUUCACGGAUGUUGGAAAGGAAGCAACAAUUGUUGUACUUGUUGGAAAGCUUAUUGAAGAUGAUUUUGGCAAUUGUUGUCUUUCCAAUGCCACCCAUCCCAUGAAUUCCUACAAUCCGCGUUUCACUUAUGUGAGCACCUAUCUCUUCCAUGAUUUUACCCACAUGGUGGUCCAUAUUGAUCAAGUUGUUUGAUACCACCAAAUAAGCCUUUUUCAACUCAUUGAAAACCUCCUGGGUAACUGUUUUCGCGAUCUCACCUUCUUCCCUAAUGUUUGUUGGAGGUCAAAUGGCAAUGAGUAAGAAAAUUGUCUUGAAUCAAACUAUGUUUCAACAAGAACAAAGUGAAAACUGAAGACCUAAGUGAAAUGUAUUAUAUAAGGAUUUACUCCAGUGUAGAUGAAUUAGCAUCGAUACACAUGAUUAUUGAAUGACCUAAACUAGGAAAGAAAAAAAAAAAGGUUGUUUGGUUAUGUGAUUUUUAUAGUAUAAUUUCAAUAGCAUAAAAUUCAAUUUCAACAAAACUAACACGAAUCUAGAAAAUAAACCAAUUGAACCACAUCAAGUUUCAAUGAUACAAGGCACAUCAAAGGAAUGAUAGAGGCAAUCACCUGUUGGGGAUGCUUUGCAAGUCCCAUCCAUCUAGUUCCCCAACUGCAUUGAGAGCAGCCUUCCACUCAUGUAUAGUCGCUUCAUCAUAUCGCUUCUUGUUUUCAUGUGAAAGAAAGGCCUCUUCAUAACACUUAGUUUGGUGUCGAACCUCUGAAGGUUCCACAUCAUAAAAAAUUGGCAUAAUCUUUUGUCCCCUAAUUUUUUGGCACUUGACCAUUUGGACUAGCUCCUUGAGACACCAUGCACUAGAGGCAUAACCCUUUGAAAAUAUAGGUAUUGAGAUCUUUGAUUCACUAAUUACUCGGAGAAGUUCUGGGCCAAAAUUUUCCCCCUUGCGAAGCUCUUUGUCAUCCUUAUAGACGCGUAUUCCUGCAUCUAUCAUACUAGUGUAAAGGAAGCUAGUAAAACCUCUUCGAGUAUCUUUUCCUCUGAAACUCAAGAAUACUUCAUAUUCAUAUCCUGAUGAAUUAACCAUUCCCUGACCUUCUGUCGUAGUGUGAGUAAAAGAAGCGCUCACUGCUAUUCCAUCAUUUUUACAGGUACGUUGUUUUUUUGCACUCCUCUCCAUUGAUUUCACUCGAUCUGAUCUUCAAGAAAUACCAAACAGUAUAUCAGCAAAAGCAGUGGCAGCUAGAGAUGGAAAAUGUUUAGAAGCCUAACUCGUAAAUAUUGAAGAUCUCUGUAGGUCAUUAAACUUAGUAGCCGGGAUAAGCUAAAUAUGCAGAGUGUCAUGGGCUAGUUUGCUACAAUUGUUUAAUAAGAAUAAUUCAUUGUAGCAUCACUCUCACUUGUCAAAGUUGACAAUGCAUGUGAACAUAGGAGUAUUAAAUCUCAAGGGGCGUUUUAACACCUUAAGGAGUUUUAAAUCUCCUGGGGAGAACGUUGACAUAGCACAAUACAAAGUUUUCAUUUUAAAUAAAAUGGCUCGCUCUUCUCAAAUCUUGAGAACAUAAAUUAUUCCCUAGGAGUUCUAAAUCCUAAGGGGAGAACAUGAACAUGCUCUCAUUUGACAUAACACAAUGCAAGGCAUUCUUUUUAAAAAGAAAAUUUCCACACUUCUCGAAUUUCUACAACAUGAAUUGUUUCUUCUUAAUGUCACUUUUGCAAAUAUGACCACCACUCUCUCUAGAAUAAAUCAAAAUAUUAACCAGAGUUAUUCAUGUGGUGGGAUAGUUGUAGUUUGAAAUCUUACACGUUUCCAAAAUUCCAUUAACCAAAAAUGGAGUUUCAUUUCAUGCAUGCUAGAGUUAAAGAACCAAUUAUAAACUUAAAGUAUAACUGGUAAGUACAAAUUGACCAAUAACUUGUGAGUCUGGGCAAUUGUUAGAAAGUCACUAAAAAAAAUAGUUUUUUUCACCCUCAAACCAAAUAGUGGAUUACCAUUUUUUUCUUUUAGAUUUUACAAAUGGGUUAGUAUUUUUUCUUGUAGAAUAUGAAUGCUUACAUAGUUUAUUAAUAGUCUUGAUUGAUGUUCCAACUUACAAACAAACUAACUAUUUUUACCCCUCUAAUAUCCAAGUAUGGUGUUAACAUUGUUUCGAAUUUAUGAGUAGCAAUGUUCAUUUGUAUAUACCAUGUGAACAAAAUAACAGAUUUACCAUGUGGAAAAUACUCUUGUAACUUAUGAGCAAUUGUGUGCCUUUAUAAGUAGGCAAGUAUUUUUGGUAGUAAAUUACGAGUUGAUUGCAUGCUUUGUUAGUAGUUUCGGUUAACAGCCGUAACUUACAAACAAAUAAGUAUUCUACAAGUAUAAAUCCUUACUAUAUUAUUAACCUUGUUUCGAUAUUAUGAGUUGCAAUUUUAUUGUUAGUAACAUGUUGACAAAACAAUUGAUUUACCUACUUGAAAUAUUCUUGCAGGUUACGAAUAGUCGUUUGCUUUUACAAGUGGCUGUGUUCUUCCUCUAGUAGAUUACAAGUUCCUUACAUAUUUUUUCCUAGCGACACCAGUUUAUAUUUGUAACUUCAUAAUAAAAAAACCUAAAUUUUUAGUAGAUUAUUAACAUUGUUUCGACGUGUAUUUCUCAGUAACAUACAAACAUAUUUUAUGCAAUUGUAUGAAUGCCGGAUGAUUGUGUGUAUUUGUUUACUAGUGAUAUUGAUGAUUAUUUGUAUUGAUGAAGCGUUCUACCUGUUUACAUGGUCAACUAUAAGACAUUGAUUAGAAGCUCCGAGAUGACUAAAUAUGCCACACGAGACGACAUGUUGGUACUGUUUUGAAAUGAUGUUGCAACGUGAUUGGAUAUUGACAAAGUUAACGAUAUAUAAUGUUUGGAACUUAUAUAAUAUACAACCAAAUAAUAGUAUGGUUCUGUGUUAUUCAGCAUCUAAUGCAUAAUACAAGGUUCAAUAGCAACUUCGUAGAUGCUUCCGAUAUAAUUAGUUUGUUUGAUAAUCUAAUCGUGGUGGUCAAGAGUUUGCUCUAUCUAGGGAAGAGUGGACAUAGAGUAUUAGCUUCCUUUAUAAUUACUCUAUAAAAUUAGGAGAGGCGCAUGCCAUCAUUGUUAGGCAUCUCAAAAUUAAAGAUGUCCACACUGAAUGAUUCUGGUAUUGGCACUAGGCUCCAACUUAAUAGACUACAAUUAUGAAAAGAAGAAGAAGAAGAUUCUUCUCAUAUCUAAGCUCGAAAAAUUGUUCUGUUUGAUAUUGGUCCUAGAGAUGUGCCCCUCCACUUUCCAAUAUACUAACAGUGUCGAAAUUUUUUCUGCCAUGGACUUGCAGACAUUGUGAGACCGUUAGUCUAUAGGAAUUCCAAGUUGAAAAUAAAAUACCGAUAUACUACUAUUCAUUUGAUGUGUUAAAAUAAAAACUAAAUGCCAAUAUUGCAGCCAUUACUUCAAGUAUAGCUCAACGUUCAAAUUGGAUUGGAACAAGGGUAUGAGUCUAAGUACUUUAAAUCUAGUCUCCAUGGCUCUGCGCCUCUGCCUCUAUGAUUUGAUCAGCUUAUGUGAUUCAAGGGUCCUGUUGCUCUCAACUUCAUCUUAAGAUAAAGUGUAAAACCAAUUGAUGAUAAGAGUUGGCAAUUUACUGACCACAUGGAUAAAAUUUCAAAAGAGUUGGUUAACUACUUCAUUAAUAUAUUGAUAUAUUUUUUAAUAGUGCUGGUAAGUUAAUAUCAAAGGAGUUAGUAAUAUAUUAAUUCAUUAAAAUGUUGUUAAAUUCUCGUAUGUGCCGGCAAUUCAUCUAUGAUUUUGGUAAUAAGAGUUGGUAAUUAACCACUUGACUCGUAUGUCAGUAAAUUCUUGAUAAUGCUGGUAAUUUAUUUAACACGUUUUGAGAGUGGGUAAUUUAAUACUUCCAUGUAGUGUUUGUAAAUUCUUGACUGUGUCGGUAAUCUACUUACCACACUCAUAAAAUUUUGUAGGAGUCGGUAAUUUACUACUUUGUUGGUAUGUUGUUAAAUUUCUAAUGUUGCUGGGACUUUACUUACUAGCACAGACCAAAAUUUUCAAGUGAGUUAAUUUACUAAUGUCGUUAAAAUUUUGAUAAUCUUGUAAUUUACUAAAUUUCUUAAGAAAUGGUAAUUUACGAAUAUUUUGUUAGUCAGCAACCAUAAGGUUUGAAGCUUGAAGUACACUGGCGAAUGGUGGAAUAGCGGAGAUGAGAGCUAGAGCUCAAGAUCAGGAUGGAGUAAUUACAAAAGGCCAAGGUAGUCUCCAAUCAGACUAUUGCUGCAGUACUGUGGAAUAUUUGGAAGUCAGGAAACCAGGCCAUCUUUAGGAAUAAAAAACCAGAACCAAGCAACCUUGUGGAGCCUGCUUUAGCUGGGUUGAAGAGUUUCAACAGAUGGAACCCAAAAUCGAGCGAAUCUAGUAAGACCAGCAAAGGGUCGUCAAGAUUUUGGAACCCACCGCAGGCUGGAACACUAAAGAUAAACAUACACGGUGGCUACGAACCUGAAGCUACUAGAGGCUCGAUCGCUUGCGUCUGUCGUGAUUUCGUGGGGAGGUUGGUGGACGGAGUGGUGCGAGCAGUAGCGGCGCCUUCUGCGUUCGGGGUUGAGGCUCUUGCCCUCUUAUAGAAGCCUCCACUCUCUCUGUAUACUCUAAGAAAAGAAGCCCUUGUUCUUGAGUCUCGCAGCUUAGACUUGGUCAAGGCUGUGGAAAGUUCAGACAGGCUCACGUGCGAAGCUCGUGCUAUUAUUCCGUUGUGCAAAGAUUUAUUAUUAUCCUUUUCAAGUAUCCAGAUCAUGUUCAAAAAAAAAAAAGAAAAGUAUCCAGAUCAGCCAUUGGCUUAGAGAGGCUAACUCAGUUGUGGACUGAGUUGCUAAAACCCACGAGAGAAAGCCCAUUUAUCGAACCUUUCAAUCUUUUUCUGCUUAAUGAAACAAAAAAAAAUAAAAAUAAAAAUUCAGUCUCCAAUCUCAAGGAGCGAACGUGCAAGUGUUCGGUCACGCUUCACAGCGCACGAUGGCCCCCCCGGCGGUAGAAUACCUUUAUUUGAUGGUGAUAACAUUCAACUGCAACUUUAUAAAAGCGUCGGAAAGAAUACUCUCUCGAAAUCGGAAAAGGCCACCGUCCUUCAUCUGACAAUUCCUAAACAAUGUUCACGCUCCACUAGCUUUGAGGAAUGAAAAAGAAAAAAGUAGAAUUAGCAACAUUUCACGUGCUAUGAUGGUCCCCAUGACUAGCCAAGCUCAUACGCUUCGAUAAAAGGUUGUCUCUUCUCACAUCUCGGGAACAAAAAUUGCCCCUCUCUAAGUUUGGCUCUGAAGAUUUGGCCCUCAGCUCCCCUUUUUGAGUUUAUAAUUAAAUUGCCGAUGCACACCUCUACACACUAUUUUAUUUAAUAGUCAAAACAAUGUACAUGUUAUCUAGCACAACAAUUUGAUGGUGAAAUAUAAUAGAAAUUAAUGAGAGAUAAAUUUAUUAUAAGUGUACCAGUUUAAAAUUUUUAAUAAUUAAAAAAAUAAUUAAAAAUAAAUUUAUCGUAAAUAUAUCAAUUUGAGUUUUUCACGAUAACAAUCAUUUUCUAAUUAAUUGGCUUCUGCUUUUCUUUUCUUUUUUGAACAACUAAUUGGCUUCUGCUUCACCAGGCACGAUAUCAUCACUCCCCCAUGCGAACACCAACGGCUGACAGCUUGCUCUUUGUAAUAUUAUGCAAUAAUGUAAUAUUAUGUUAGUGGGCCCCAAAAGAAGAAACUGAAAAAGAAACUGAAAAGUCAGUAAAACAAAAAGGAGAGGGGAGAGGGCUCGGCUAAAUAGAAGCUGAGAGUUCCCUCACCAAAAAAGAAAAGAAAGAAAAGACGAAGAAGAGGAAGGAGAAGAGAAAAAGGGAAAAAAGGAAAGGAAUUUUGGCAUGUGCACGUCUCGGAUGCCUCGCCAAGCUGACUCGACUCCAUAACACAGCACCCGGUAAGAGAUCAAGCCCCUUGUUUGUCCGAUUGAAGUAAUUUUUGGAUUUAGGACUUAAAUUCGAAAAUUUUGGAAAACUGAGCGGCGAAGUCUAAUUUUGGAGUCGUUGAGCCGCGUAUUUUUGCAAGAAUGGUAAUUUAGGGUGUUGUGGAGCCGUGGGAUUUUACGGAUCGUGAUUUGAACUUAUGGUUUGUCCAAAACAGAAUUUCAAAGUUUCCCACGCGCAGUGAACAGUACGCGUCCAGCAGCUUUGGGCCCGUAUUUUGUCAUUUUUCGGCUUGAUUUUGGGAUGGCCAAGUCGGAAUUCUUGUGAUAUGUUUCAAGGGCUCUCUAUUGAAUAUAAGUACGUUCGGAUCGGAGUUCAGAAGAGAAAGUUAAGGCGCAAUCAAGUUUUGCACUUAAAUUUCGUGUUGCGAAUGGCUUGAACAAUCGCUUUGGUUAUGCGAUUUGUUAGCGCGUAGAAGUCCUUUUGUUAGAGUUAAGGCGUAAUUUAGUUGUUUCGAAGUAGAGACAGUGUUUUAUUAGAUUUUAACAUUUUUCUCGGUUAUUUGAUAGGACCUUGAAUUCGACGAUACGAGUAUCGUUCGUCGUUUGGUCAUCGACGACGAGGUGAGUGGUACUAUAUCUUCUUUGGUUUUAUAAAAUCAUGUCUUGAAGUAUAUAUAUGUAUAUAUAUGUAUAAUAUUGAAUUGAGAAGGGCAUUUUUAUUGCAUAAAAGCUAGAUCGAGCAAUUGCUACUCUUUGGUUGAUUGUGAAUCUUUGAAAAGCACAUUAUACAAGGUUUGUGGAGAAACAUAUAUGAAAUUGCUUUGCGACUGAUUUAUAAAAAGGUUUAUGAUGAUUUGAGAAACGGAUAUGAAAUGGAUGAUGGGCUAUGUUGCAAAAUGUUAUUUGUUUGGUUUGAGAUAUUGAUUUUUGGAUUGGAUUUCUGGUAUUGGAGAAUGGUUAUUUAUGCUCAAUAUGACUGUGAAUCCAGUGAUGGGUUUUUGGGGUAUGCAUACCAAGUUUAGGAUAUCCUUCUGGGCCUAGCCACCGGCUUUGUAGGUGGAGACCUUGCCAAGGGGGGAAUCUUGGUCGCCUUGUCACAAGGCGUUGUGUUGUGACCAUGGUUAGUUAUUGAGCAAAAGAUUGAUCAAUGGAUAGACCAUUGAUAUGUGUUUUUGAUGGAGAUUAUUCGAUGGAUUCGACCAUUGAUACUUGACUUUUGAUGGCAAUUCAAAUGAGUUUUUCGUAUUAGUAUAAAUUUUUGAUGAUAAGAAAUAACUUUUAUAUGAUUCGAUAUGUAUUUUAUAUAUUGAAUUGGUGUUAUGAAAUUUGGUAUUGUUUUGUAUACAUGCAUAGUGGUUGUUCGAUCUGCUUAGAAGAUAUGUACUACUCACUGAGCUGUGGUUGCUCAUCCCAUUCCUCCUUUAAUCUUUUCAGGUUCCUCAGCUAGCGGCGAAUAGAGCGAGUGCGUAGUCGGUGGGAACUUUUGGGGAGUUCUAUUUUGUUUUUGGUAUGGUUAAAGGAAGUGGUGCAAAUAAUACUUACUAGUAGUUGGAUCGUUUAAGUUUUAAACGUAUAUCUUAUUCUCUUUUGGUGGAUUAUAGAAACUCUGAUGUUGCAACCAAUUUGUUGGUUCAUCUAAUAUAUAUAUAUAUGGUUUGAGAUAUAUAUAAGUUAAUAUCAGUUUGUUGGUUGUAUUUGAGGCUGCGUCCUGUGAAAAGAAGGACGGCCGUGUCAUUCCCAUUCUUUGUGGUUUUGGGGUGUGACACUCUUCAUCCGAAUUGCGACCCCUGUCCUUGUCCUCUGCUCCUCCAUCCCUCCCCUUUCAUUCUCUGGAAUCUGUAGAUCAUCAAUUACAUGUGUCUUACGCUUUUGCCAAAAUGCCCAAAUGCUCUCAUGGCGAGGAAUUCUUUUGCCUUUUAUGGAUUGAUUUUAAUGAUAAAUAGGGUUGAGGGCCUUUCUCCUGCUAAAAAAAUCGAGCGAGUUAACUAAGUCGAGCCCCUAUGCCGCGGCCAUAUGCAACCAUGGCCGUGCGAGGCCAGCAACCCCUGUCUAUCGCGACUUCCACUGGACAUAGGUUGUGAGCUCCAUGCGGAGAAAAAAAGAGACCAAGGGAUAGCAAACAGGUCAAACUGGUGUGGAGUUAAUGUUGUCGGUGGAUUCACGCGCGAAGGUGAGGGCUUGUGAUGGCAAUGGGUGGGCGACAGUGAGCGGCGAUUCUGUAAAAAUCCUAAGCUAUAUUAAUUACUAAUUAUUCCAAUUUUUUUUUUCAUCAUAAAAAAUCGAAACUUGUCUCAGAAAUCCAAAAGUACUUUCCAUUGGAUGUUUACUUACGCACCGCUUUUCAUUAUUUUGAGUGUAAAUUUCUCUUCUAAAUUAUGUUAGGAUUAGUCUAGACAUUAAAAAAAAAACUACAAAAACAUUUGCAUGGACACUUAGUGGUUUCAUAAAGAUUAUAAUUGGUAAUCAAGAUUGUAUGGCCAUUUAGAUAAACAGCCUUCCAAGUUAGUGGUACCGCAAGGGCGCUAAUAGAAACAUUGGCGUAAACAAGUCCCCGUUCCUAGAAAUCUCUGGUUGCGUAUGAAUCGAGACAACACUCCCGUGUCUUGAUUGGUUUCCAGCCGACCUCAAUAGGCUAGUGGCGACUCCUAGAAUUACAUAAGUUGUUAAUAACUAAAAAACGAAUCCAACAUCGCGCGGGGUAUGGGCUUGGGAGAGCCCGCGCCUAAUCUAGGGCCAUUGGUCCACCUCUUUACGCAAAUACCCCUAAACCUUCUUCUUUUUCCCCGGACGGAAAAUUUGGAGGUCAUGACAGCUUGGCGACUCCACUGGGGACUUGGUUGCAAACCUUAGAAGACUUAGGCCGUAAUAACUUGGUUGGUUGUUCACUAACAUGGUCUUCAUUUGAUAGCGCGUGUCAAAGUCGCGUGGAAAACAAGGUUAGCCCGCUAACAAUGUGUUAAAUGUUUUUGUAGGUUUGGAGUAAUAAGGGGUGGAGUGUUUGUUAACCCAUCUCUUUUGUAGGGAGGCGUAGGAAUGUAUGCCGAUAUGGAUGAAAUUGAAGUGUUGUUUGGAUAUCAAUUGAUGUGCGUGCCUUUAUACUUAUCUUAGUACUACACAUUUACACACACAGCUUGCGAUCUAAAACCCCGAUCGCACUAGGAAGCCCAUAUGAGGUGCCAAAAGAUGGAACCCGUGCGGGGAAUGACCCAUGGUUAUCCACUUUUGGUCCCGCUCAUUUUGAUUAAUGAUAAAGAGAACUGUCCGACGUAAGCGCGGAGUGGGGAAAACUCUUUUGAUCUAAUCAAAAUGGGGACCUUAAGCCUUUAGAACUCCACCUUUAUGUGUCAAACCUCACAAGUUUGCAUCCGCAUGUCUAUGUGACUUAGAAAAAAAAAGGGUCUCUUCACCCACUGUAAGUAUGAUUUCUCCAUCUACUUGCUCACUUCGGAUUGAAAUUUUUAUUUAUUGGAGAUUCGCGGAAAUCAAUGGAAUGCCCUUGAAAAUAUAGGCUUGGCACUCACUUUUGAUAAAUAAGCAUUUCAAAUACCUAUGAUCUACUAAACAUAUGUUUUUGUUAAAUUUUCAAUUAUGAACUUAAAGUCACAUUUUGUAUAGAAAUUCUUCCAAAUCAAGAUUACAUUUUGGGGCAUAGAAUUAAAAUCAAAUUUUCAAUAAAACUCUUUGUUGGUCACAUUUCAAAAUUAAAAUUCAAAUCCCAUGUUGUAUAUUGAUUUUUCAAAAUAAAAAUCACCUCACCUUUGCAUGAGUGAAACCACAAAUUAAUUUUUUAAAAUCAAUGCCCCAUUUGUGUAUGAAACUUUUGGAACAAAGUGGGCAUUCAAUUGAUAGUCACGGAUCUAUCUUUUAAUGAAAUCUCCUCUUACUAAUAAAAUCUUGACGAAAUACCAAACUCUCGUAAGUGGAUACUACGGAGAAGGUAUCGUCGCCUUGAUUUCAUUGUAAGAGGCGGCUUUAUUGAAAGAUCAAUUUUUCAUUCAUAUAUUGACAUUAUCUUCCUUUCGCAGGUCAUGCGUGACAACCAUUCCUUAAAGCUAGGACGAGAAUUGUGCUUAUUAUGCUCCUCUAUGAAAGAGCUUCUUGUACUUUAUCCUUGUCAUUAUUCCUAUUAGGAAACGUGUUUUGCGUUUUGGGUUUUGAUUGUGGACCUAAUCAAAUGCCUCUGUAAAUCAUACAACUCACAUUUUCUAAUAAUGAAAUUAGAGUUCAUAAAAGUUAUACCCUUUAAAACACUUGAAGUGUUUCAAACGAACCCUCUGGGCUGAGUUUUAUGCCUUAGCUUCAAAAUGUGUGAAAAUAAGUUUCAAGAACUUGCGUAAUACUUUAUCUCUUCACUUAAUCGCUUUUGCAGGUUGAUCCGUAGAACGAUGCUUUGAGGGGGUAAGGUUGUAAUCGUUCCAAUAGGGAUUUCUUGCGCAACAACUAACUCAGUCAUCCAUUUUUGUGAAGCAGGCAAGAUGACGGUUUUGUUCAAGAUUGACAAAAGUGCGGGCCUUUCCCUAAUAGAGCGAGUCAUGAGAUGCACCAAUUCAUGCUCAUUUAUGGGCAUAGUUGGUUGAGCCAUGAACUACUUGAAUAUUUUCGCAACAUAUGAAUUCAAACAUUGUAAUUAAGUGUGAAAAGAAUCAUCAAGGCCUCGAAGAUCACAAAUCUACUGGUCUAAUGAAGUUCCACAUGCUGGACGACCUCAUAUUAAUUUGACAUUCUUCGUGGAAGAAGAAAUUUGUAGACAUUCUUUGGCAACAAACUACUUCGUUGGUUGCGAACAAGAAGCAUUUGCAAUCCCUACACUUCCAACGGUUUCUUGGCAUCCAAUCCUGUAUGGAGAUGAUUAUUGGUGGUAUGCAAGACAACACUUCGAGAUGUAGAUGUACACAAGCAAGAAUCGGUCAUCAAAUGUUGCAUUCAAAUAAAAGGUGGUAAUCGUUUCAAGUUAAAUUCGAUUUAUUUUAUGAAUGACUUGUCCUUCAACUUGGCGCAGAUUUUAGUGAGGCAAAUUACUGGCAAGCAACAAGAUUACAUGGGGAGGACAACCUGGUCCAGAAUCACACGAUCUCUAAAAGAAAAGGGUGUGUUCGUUCCAAAAGUCAGAACAACUCAUUCAUAAACUAACAUAGCCACCCAUGCUUACAGAUUGUGAAAUGGGAAAUGCAUUGAUGCAGCAAAAAUGGCGAAAAAUCACCUAGCCUAAAAGGGGUACGCGGGAAACCAAGUAAAGCAUGAAGGAUUCAAAUGAAAUGAAGAUUCAUCAAUCCAACAUAAUGAAGCUGAAAUUUUAAUUGGGGCAGAUGGCCAUAAAAUGGAUCGGGGGCAUGCAAUGCCUGAGUCACCCGACUUCUAAAAGGGGAAAAUUUCAAAUGGAAUAGACAUUUGCCAAGUGAAUCACUGUCAAUCAUGAAAGCAAAUCCCUCUUCAUAGCCAAGGAAACGAGAUGGAACGCAGUCAUCAUAUAUGCCGUAAAAGGGAGUAUACCGUUCCUAAAAUGAAUCAUGUCGAGUAUGAAAAUAACAUAUUCGUCUCUUUUUCCUUGCAGUUGAUGAAUGGGGCAAAUCACUUACAGCAGAGCAAUUUUGACCCAUGAGCAAGAUGAAACAUAGUCAAUUGAUUCAGCACGAAAAGGGAGUAUCGUUUCUAAAUUAGUCCAAUUCAAUUUUGGAAUAUAAGUACCAUGCCCUAUCUCUUGUAGGAAAAGGUGCACAUUGACCGUUGGAGCAACACCUUAUACCAAGAAGGCAUGUUAAGGCCUAACCAUCCAUUUUGAUGGAAUAAAUGGAGUAAAAUAUCCACGGAGCAAUGCCCUCACAUGUCGAAACAAUGAGUACCCCUCUCCUUUCAUCUUUGACGCCCACUUAGAAUGAGUGAAUUCGAUAACAUCUUUGAAAGGAAGACCUUCAAGGAAAUGUUAACACCUGAGGAGCAAAAGCACAUGAAGAGGAAACACAAGAUAUUUAAAGUCAGCUGCAGGAGAAGGGUAAUUCGGUAUUGUUUCCAAAAUGCCCCUCUCUAACUUCAUUAUUUGACGUAGUUCCCUUGUUUGACAGGAAUCGUCGGUAUUCGGGGAACAAGCUCGAGAAAUUGAUUUAAGCAUAAUUCAUAUCAACCAAGCAAGCAUGUGGAGCCAACACAUGACAAAGUCACCUAAGUUGGCUUAAAAUAUGUGUCGUUCUAGAGCCGGUUCAAUUAAAUAAAAAAAGAAGCGCCUUAUGGACACUACCAGCGCUUUGGCCUGGUGGUAUGGGGAAUGAAGUGGGUCUGAGAGGUACGGGGUUCGAUCCCUGGAAACAGCAACAAGGUUGCCAUGUAAAUAAUAAUAAUAAAUAAAUAAAUAAAAACUUUUGCAUCUCUUAUUUUUGCAAAAAGAGGAAAAUGCUUGAACUAAUGAGACCAAAGAUCUGAGAUUCUCUUCAAGCCUUAAAAUAGUACAUUCAUUCCGUUGUUUGCCGCCAAAUGGUGAAACUAACCAAGGGUAAUGUUGUAUCGUUUCCAAUUUUACGAUCCCUGAGGAUUCAUGUACUAACACAUUCCCUUUUGUUCUUCGUAGGGUCGCUUGACUACUAAGGCACAGGUAAGUACCCUUCUUCUCAAAAUCAAAUGGAAAAUAAAUGGGGAAUUUCCAUCACAAAAAAAGAACAUCUACUGUUUUUCUAGAAGCAAGCACAAAAAAAAAAAUGGAAAUUGAAGAAAAAAAAUUUCCACAAAGUUUGCAAAAAUCUUCUUUAUCAUUAAAUUGUUCAUCCACUUGAUGGAUCACUCAUUUCGAAUCAAAAUUCCCUAGGGAGAUUAAUCCAUCCAAAUGUUCUCAACAAAAAUGAAAGGGAUGUUACUCAUGCCAAGCAAGAAACAUUUAGAAUGAGGAAAGACAACCCAUUUCCAAACAUGUCCUUUAAACACUCUGGGAUUCGAGCGAAAAAGAAAACCUGUGUCAUUCAAGGUCAUCGAAUUCAUUCGCAAGCGGUACAUAGACCAAUAUGAUAAGAGGCAUUUCUUUCCUCUAUCAUACACACUACAGGUGACAAUAGUUAGCCCAUUUGAGCCUUUUAAUGUGAAGAAUUUUCUACAAAAUACCCCUGUCAAGAACCACCCCACGAUGGGGCAAUUAUGGAGAUUUGGGUUGACAUUAUUUGGAGAGAAAAGAUGAGAAAGGUUUCUUUACUCUCACUUGCAUAAAUCUUUUCUAUGGUAACUUCAGGUGAAUUCUUAUGGAAGCUUGAAGCAUCCCAAGGUAAAGAAGAGCAUUCUUUUCUCUACCCAAACACCGAUACCCUUUGCUUAAACCAUAUUGAGCCUAACUAUUCAUUUCUAAAACCCGAGUGGUGAUUAUCUCCCCACAUUGGGGCAGGGCACAUGAUUUACCAAUGCAAUUGGUGUUUAUAUGAGAAUAUGAAAAGCAUCUUGAAAGUCCCAAGAGCUCAAAAAGUUUGAAAGAACAAAAGUCAAGUGAAAAUUAAGGGGCAUGAAAAAGCAGUGUGCCUGGUAAAAGCAAGGCCAAUGCCCACAAAAAAGGGAGAGAGAGUGGAAGAAAAACAAUUGCAUCAAGAGGAAUAUCUCUGUGAAAGCAAAAAUGGCAAAAAAAAAUGCAUGCAUUGAAAAGAAAAUCAUUGCAAAUGCAAAAGCCAUUAUGUUAAGAUGAUUAGUCAAAGGACUUUCAAGACAAUUUGAAUUCUAAACAUUGAGUGCUUUAAAAAAUGGAUGAUAUGGUAAUGAUGCCAUGAUAAUCACCAACUCCCAAAUCCCCCUUUGACAAAAAAGUUCUAAGCCUUUUGAGCUAAGCCUUUUGAACCUUUCCCCGAAACAACAUUACAACCCAUUUCCAAAGUCUCUUCAGAUUGGGAUGAUUUGAAGUGGAAAUAAGGACUUCCUAAAGAAGAUGCCGCUCGAAGAAGUGAGAGUAAGGUUGUCUUAUCUCAUCUUAAGGUUUCUUGACUUGUAAACCUGGCGGAGAUGUCGAUCAGUGAUUAAUUCAUUUCAUAGCCAAUGAUGCUUAUCCAUUGCUAAAACCAUGACCAAACCUGCACUACGGUCCUUCUAAAAGACCUCUUUGAUUGGUCAAUGUGUACUUAUUGCGAAUGAUUCAAAGCCUUGCGCACUGGAAGAGUGAGGUUGAGUGAUCAGUUUAUUUCCCACAUGAACAGAUUGGGAUCAAAUAACCAUUUUCUUGAGGAUAUGCGAGAAGCCCUUUCUGACUAGGGAUCCUUGCUUGGCAUACUUAACAAACCUUUCUCAUAAGUCGGGGUCAUUUCGACAAGGACUUUUCUCCCAAGAGAAUUUGACGAUUAAUGGUAUCAUCCGAGCGUGAUGACAGUUUUGCGAGUUUGUCAAGUUGUCGGAAUUAGUUUGAUUUGUUUAUGCAAUCAUUGUCUUCUCAUUACCGAUACACUUUUGAUAUUGUUUCUAAUGACAUAUGUUGAAAUUGACCUCAUCUAGUAUGCUUUCGCUACUAGAACACUUGUUAUAAUGAAUACUAUUUGAUGUGCACCAUUUCAGAAUAUUCUCGAAUGACAGGUUCCUCCAGUGAAACCACACAAUUUCAAAGGGUUCAUGGGUUAGCCUUAAACCAUGCACUUUCAAGAGUUCUUGGUUACCUUUAAACCUUGCAAUUCUAAAGAGUUCAUGGGUUAGCUUUAAACCAUGCAUUUUCAAAGGGUUCUUGGUUAUCCUUAAACCAUGCAAUUUUCAAGGGUUCUUGGAUGAGCCUUAAACCAUGCAUUUUCAAAAGGUUCUUGGUUAUCCUUAAACCUGGCAAUUUCAAAGGGUUUAUGAGUUAUCCUUAAACCAUGCAUUUUCAAAGGGUUCUUGGUUAUCCUUAAACCAUGCAAUUUUCAAGGGUUCUUGGAUUAGCCUUAAACCAUGCAUUUUCAAAAGGUUCUUGGUUAUCCUUAAACCUGGCAAUUUCAAAGGGUUUAUGAGUUAUCCUUAAACCAUGCAUUUUCAAGAGGUUCUUGGUUAUCCUUAAACCAUGCAAUUUUCAAGGGUUCAUGGGUUAGCCUUAAACCAUGCACUUUCAAAAGUUCUUGGUUACCUUUAAACCUUGCAAUUCUAAAGAGUUCAUGGGUUAGCUUUAAACCAUGCAUUUUCAAGAGGUUCUUGGUUAUCCUUAAACCAAGCAAUUCUAAAGGGUUCUUGGAUUAGCCUUAAACCAUGCAUUUUCAAAAGGUUCUUGGUUAUCCUUAAACCUGGCAAUUUCAAAGGGUUUAUGAGUUAUCCUUAAACCAUGCUUUUUCAAGAGGUUCUUGGUUAUCCUUAAACCAUGCAAUUCUAAAGGGUUCUUGGAUUAGCCUUAAACCAUGCAUUUUCAAAAGGUUCUUGGUUAUCCUUAAACCUGGCAAUUUCAAAGGGUUCAUGGGUUAGCCUUAAACCAUGUAUUUUCAAGAGGUUCUUGGUUAUCCUUAAACCAUGCAAUUCUAAAGGGUUCUUGGAUUAGCCUUAAACCAUACAUUUUCAAGAGGUUCUUGGUCAUCCUAAAACCAUAUAACUUACGUGGUUAGUGGGACUGCCUUAAACCACACGGUUAGUGGGACUACCUUAAACCACACGGUUAGUGGGACUACCUUAAACCACACGGUUAGUGGAACUACCUUAAACCACACGGUUAGUGGGUUUACCUUAAACCACACGGUUAGUGGAACUGCCUUAAACCACAAGGUUAGUGGGUUUACCUUAAACCACACGGUUGGUGGGACUACCUUAAACCACACGGUUAGUGGACUGCCUUAAACCACAAGGUUAGUGGGACUGCCUUAAACCACACGGUUCGUGGGAAUGCCUUAAACCACAAGGUUAGUGGGACUGCCUUAAACCACAAGGUUAGUGGAAUUGCCUUAAACCACACGGUUUGUGGGAAUGCCUUAAACCACAAGGUUAGUGGGACUGCCUUAAACCACAAGGUUAGUGGGACUGCCUUAAACCACAUGGUUUGUGGGACUGCAUUAAACCACAAGGUUAGUGGGUUUGCCUUAAACCACACGGUUAGUGGGACUGCCUUAAACCACAAGGUUCGUGGGACUGCCUUAAACCACACGGUUAGUGGAACUGCCUUAAACCACAAGGUUCGUGGGUAUAUCCUUAAACCACACCUUUCAAAUUGUUCACAAGUACAUCCCUAGAUCACACUCUUUACAUUAAGCUUACUUGCAUUUUCAUUUUACUAUUGUAAAAAAAACAAAAAAACUAAAAAAAAAAACUAAAAAAUUAGGUGUCACAUUGUCUUUGAAAGAAAUCUCUUUGAGAUUUCUUCUAAAGAGGGGCAGCUGUUGACACCUAAAUUUUUGCCAAAAAAUAUUUCAUGUUAAAUUCUUGCAUAUAGAUUAUUUAGGCAUUUUAAUAUAGUGUUUUAAAUGGAAUAUGUUUUUACUUUAAAAGAAAAUUGAAAAAAAAAGAUUAAAAAAAAGAAAAGAAAAAAAAGUUGGGGCCAAUGAUCUAAAUGUGACUAGCCAAGCCAAGGAGGUUAGAUUGGAAUUCAAAUGGUAAGUUUGGGCCAAAAUGCAAUUUCCAAAAGUUGAGGGACCAAUUUGCAAAUUUUGCAAAAUUUGCGCCCAAGCCCGUAAAUCAUAAUCUUGGUCACCAAUUAAGUUGAAAUUGAAUUUGGGCCAACUCGAAUCAAUCAAAUUGAGCGAAAAGGACCAAAUUUGCCUUGAGUUGGGUAUUUUCGGAUAAGAAAAUGGCUAAGUUUGAGGGACUUUCUUGCAAAAUUGGGUGAGCUGGGUCAGUGGACAGGCUUGGUAGGUGGACAAAAGGCCGACCAAAAAUUCUCUAAUUGGGGGGGAUAACAUUACGGAAGGGAGGUCUUUCGAGGGAGUGGAGAGAGGAGACGAGAGGGAGAGGAGAGAGCUUGGAAUCGUCCCCCAAAGAGGCCCUCAGAAGCAACUCUAGAAAAGCAAAACCCAGAAAUUCCAGACCGACCUGAAGAGAGAAAAGUGAGAUUUUCACACACCUGUGGCCAAAAUUAGCCAAACCCUUCAACUAGAGAGUGAAAAUUCAUUCAAAGAUCUUUCCAACCAUAGGUCGCAAGUCCCAAAUGGAGAUCGGGAAGGCCUCCUAAAGCCCCCCGAAAACAGUGCCCUCCUGGCAGGCCAAGAAAGUCCGAAAUUUUUCUAAGUGUUGAGCCUGAUUGUUCAUGAGUGAGGAAAAACGAGUGCUUUUGAGAAACUUGAGAGACAAUUGAGGAAAGCCAUGACUUACAAGCCAAACGAUAAUAUAUAUAGUUUUGGUUGAUUUGAACUUCGUCAACAAGGAAGGUUUGGAAAUCUAAUUUUGGAAGUUAACGAAAACCUUCGUUGUCACCUUUUCUUCUGCAGAUCUCACUUUCAGCUCGAAGGAACCAGUUUCCACGUGCUUCCAGAGGACAAUUUCGUGGUUUCCUUGGCCAACAGUCACUUGAAAAAGGAACUAGGAAGCAAGAUUUGCAAAACGGCUCCAACCCGCAUAUUGAAGGCCGUUUUCAGUUUGAUUCUUGCGUGUUCUAGGCUGUAAUUUCUAGUCAAAUACGUUCUUUGCAUGUAGUAGUAUAUCCUUGAUACUUUACAUUCACAUGAGAUUGCUUAUGGGUUGAGAUUGAAGGCCACGAACAUGACCCGAAUAAGCCGUUUUGGAGUGAUUUGAUGCAAGCCAAGUGUUCGACAAAAUGCUCAAACUAAGCUUCGAUCUUGAAACGGUCGAUUUGAGCUUGAUUAUUGUGAUAUUCAUGUGCUGUGUUACUCCAUGUUAGCAUAGAUCGGUUUAAGGAAUUAUUUUUUUUUUUAAAAUAAUUAAAAAAAGAGAAAAAUAUGAAAAUUUCAAAAAUAUCAAAAAAUGUUAGAUAGCAUCAAAUUAGGAUAUAAAUGACAUAUAUGAAAUUUUCCUAAUUUUAAAAUGUCAUUUUCCUAAUUUAAUGCUAUUUUGGUAUUUUAUAACCAUUUUUGUAAAUAAUCCAUUUUGUGUAGAUUAAAACUAUUUAAAGUAAUUUCAUGCAUAUAGAGUAAUUUCAUGCAUAUUUGAACUCUCAUUUUGCUCAUGGGGGUCCUGUCCCGGGGUGUGAUAACAAGGCCAUGUAAUAUUAUUUGCCCGACUUGUAUCGGGUUUACCUUUUCCGCGUUUAUUUUCAAGUCAUUUCAAUUUCUUGGAUGUUUACUUACGCGCCGCUUUUCAUUAUUUUGAGUGUAAAUUUCUCUUCUAAAUUAUGUUAGGAUUAGUCUAGACAUUAAAAAAAAAAACUAAAAAAACAUUUGCAUGGACACUUAGUGGUUUCAUAAAGAUUAUAAUUGGUAAUCAAGAUUGUAUGGCCAUUUAGAUAAACAGCCUUCCAAGUUAGUGGUACCGUAAGGGCGCUAAUAGAAACAUUGGCGUAAACAAGUCCCCGUUCCUAGAAAUCUCUGGUUGCGUAUGAAUCGAGACAACACUCCCGUGUCUUGAUUGAUUUCUAGCCGACCUCAAUAGGCUAGUGGCGACUCCUAGAAUUACAUAAGUUGUUAAUAACUAAAAAACGAAUCCAACGUCGAGUGGGGUAUGGGCUUGGGAGAGCCCGCGCCUAAUCUAGGGCCAUUGGUCCACCUCUUUACGCAAAUACCCCUAAACCUUCUUCUUUUUCCCCGGACGGAAAAUUUGGAGGUCGUGACAUCUUGUUACUAAUACUAUAAGUAAACUUGAAUCAGUGACUCGCAAAUAUUAUGCGUCAUAGUUCCAUCCAAGACGGCCGUUAAAAAUCCAACAUGACCACUUGCUUGGACAUCAAUAGGCAAAUGGAGCCAAUGUAAAUUUGACGUGAUUUUAGUAUGGUCUAAAAUGACUUUAGAGAAACAAAUUGGACAUGCUUUUACCAAUGUGGAGUAUACAUCUUCUUAAUGUCACAAUUUUACGAUGGUUACUGUCAUAGAGGUGAUGCCAUAAGUGCUGAGAUACUUUCAUGCAGAUUGUAACAACUACUUUUUCGUAUACGAAAUAAUGAAGUUAACGUUCUCCUAGGUGAAGAGUGGGCAUCAACCAAUUUCAAACACAGUAAAGACAAAACAGCAAUUUAUAAGGUAUCUCAGAUAAUUCACCACAUAAUAAAUUGACAAAAUAAUGCACUUGGAAUUUAUAUAAUUUGACCUGACCUCACUAGGAAAGUUAAUUAGCAAUUCAAAGCCACUGAAACAUUUAAACCAAACCAAAACAAAACAAAGAAGAUCUGAACAAGGGUACUCGCAGAACUAUAUCACUAGUCAACAUGCAAAGUGCACGUGAGAAGAAGAUUUACAUAAACCUCUUUGUAAUUGAUAUGUAUAACAGAAUAGGAAGUACUUCUUAUCAGAAAAAAAGUACUCAAGAGAGAAGGUGUCCAUUCUUUUUUCUUGUGCAGAAAUUUAUCGAGUUUGAUCUAACAACUCCAUGAUGUGCUGAAUUUCCAAAUCUCCCGUGGUGAAUGCCUACCCGAUCAGACUGAAUUGAGGUCAUACAGCAACCCCUUUUUAAGGCAGGAAGUCCAUAUCAGACUUUCCCUUCCAUCUUGGUAGUUUGUAGAUGUAUUAUCUCUGUAAGAUGGAGAUUCUUGGUGUUUGUCCGUUAAGACUAGCAUGCGAAUCGAACAAAGUCAACCCCAAAAUCAUGCACCGCUUACCAAUUAGUCGGGGGUUCACACCAAUAGCUCUCACAAUACUAACCGAGAUACACUUCUUUCAUCACUUGAUUCGAAUCAUUUCACUGUUCCCGCCGCUCCAUGGCUUAUUGCAGCAUCAUUAUCUGGACUGCCCUUUCCAGUGAUCUAUCUUGUGCUUGUUAGACUCCUCUGGAAGAAAUCUUUGAACGGAACAGCAAAAAUAACGAUGGUAGCAACUGUGACCACACGUAGGGCAACCUCAAGUGCGUCAAUCGUUUUGCGCUUAGCACAAGUGGUCCACCUCGGCAGAAACAACAAUCACUGAGCUGCUACUGCUCCCCCUCCUCCUCGGAAGCUUCGGACGACGCUGCUGGUUCGAGGGCUUGGCCAUGGCAGUGCUAAGAACCUAUUUCGGCGGAGAUCGACCGAUCGAGGUCGUCGCUGCUCGUUCUAGAGAGAGAGAAAGAGAGAGGGGCUGAAUCAGAAUCCGAAGUGACGAUCUGAAAUAAAAAUGGGGGGAGGAGAGAGUCGGAGGGUGAUGGUGGGAUAGUCGGAGGAGAGAGUCGGUGUUGGAAACUGGUGGAAGCAGAGGAGGAUUCUUUGCGUCUUUUCGGAUUUUUGUUUUAAUUAGUUUCUCGCUUUUCCUUUUUAUCUUUUGGGGUUUGGUUUUUUCCUUUCGGUUUUUCUUUUCAUUUGUCGCAACACGCGAGUGGCGCAAAGAUUUGCCGCCAGCAAGAGAGGGAGGCAAAAUUGUAUUUUCGUUUCCCCUGCCGCAGAAUUGAGGACAGCAGCGUCAGCUCCCGCGCGAGAUGAGACUUGCGGCUCUAGGAUUAGAGGUGGUCUGACCUGCCCUUGCUGCCUGACGCAACCGACUCUCGAUGGUCUGCGAUUUUUUCCUCCGUAUAUUAAGAGAGUAGAGAGGGAAAAUUAAACGUAAUUUCCCUCCCUGAAGUUUUCGCUGUUGAAGAUUAAGUUUGAACCAAAACUACUCAAUUUACACGUACGUAUACAGGCCGGUCAUUGCUGUCUUACCGCGUGCUAUAAGCCAGGAAAUAUCUCCGUAUGAGGUAGCAAUAUAUGCAAGAUACAAGCUCGCCAAGGAUUCACUCAUCAUGUGGUUCGAAUUUGUCAACUCGGGAAAAAUAGUAUGACCAGCCUAUUGUUAAGUCAUCGCAUUUGAGGGUGGACUACAAUUUUUUCAUGUUCAUUCUUCUUUCUUUUUCAACUCAUUUCAAGUAAAUGAGUCGUGUAUGAAUUUGAUAAAAGCAUGAGAGGUGUAUAAAUCUGUUUCGUGCUUAUUAGCACGUAUGUUUGAUGAGUGACUGAUUUAUCAACACUAGCUAUAAAUGAAGGGAUUUGGGGAUUGUUCUCUACAAGAAGUUAUUGUUACACCCUUCACGCUCUUGAAUCACUCCUUGUUCUUCACUUCCGCUUGUUGUUUUGUGUACUAAUUGCUUUGUACUUUUUGAAUAACACGAUUUUUUAGAUUAAGCUUGAAUCUGAAAAUAUUUGACUCGAGAAGCUUGCCAUCGUAAUGGAGUACUCAAUUGCAAUUUCAAAUGCCUCCACUAAUAUAAAUAAACAAAUGAAUUAUAUCAAUUUUAAUUUUAGUGCAUAGUAACUAAGUAAUUGAAACGUAGAACACCCAUUUGUCCAAAAGAACAUCUCAUUCUCUUGGGCUAAAAUACAAUUGAAGGCAUCCCUAUGCGGUCUUUUUGAAUGUUUCGAUUUUAGCAAAACUUACUUCAAUGCCCUCACGCACACGACGUAAAUCACUGAAUGUGACAUUAAAAAUGCCCGCCAACAAAAUAAGAUCCCAGGGGCAAAUCAAGAAAGAUCGUGAAGAAUAUGGAGUGGAACAAAUUGCAUUUGAGGGUGAUGGUUGUUCUAACAUGCUUGUGUCACGGGCUUAUCGAUUAGGAUCGUGACCGCGUGGCGACUCGAGCACUUUAGGAUCGGAUGGAUCACCGAAGCACCUAAGCCAAGCCUUGCUCGGUCGAACGCUCACUCGCUCGCCUUACCCGGAUCGUAGAGAGAGAAAGAAUCUAGAUAGAAAAGCUCUAGAAAGAAGCUUUGCUUUAUAUUGCGGAAGUAAUGGAUGCCUACAAAUGAAAGAGGACACCCCUUUUAUAGUUGAGGGCCUCGGAUUACAUCCAUUGAUCUAGAAUUCUAUCAGCGGACGAGAUCGCACCGCCUCAACUACCGACAUAAGUGCCAAUUACCGUCUACCGACAUAAAUAACAGAACAGACUUCUGUAAUAGGACUCAAUGACGGUUUCGCCCGCCCUUGGAGACUUUGGGUAGAAGGUUCGGUGGGAAUCCGAGUGAGAGCAGGAGGUCCACGGGCGAGUUGGGGUCGACUCUGGGGAACCUCUCAGAUCGACUCUCUUUAGGCCCGUGAUAUUCUCCCCCACUCAAUCGAGCGACGUCCUUGUCGCUCUCAGCUUGAUGGGCAGCUUUGCGGGCUUUGACACGAGCUUUGUUGUUCUUGUUUCGCUUCGCUCGGACACUCAUGAACGAAGGGUCACAACCUUCGAUGAUGAAUUUGGAUUUGUCAUGCGGCUCGGUCUUCGAUUUGGACGGAGCAAGUGGCGCGCACUCGACCUCGGGGAAGAGCGCUUGGAUUGGCAUGGCGUGGGUUGGAGUAGGAUCCAACUCGACCUUUGGCUUCACCUCGGACAGCUUGUUGAUGCGCAUCACAGCCUUUAAGCUCUUGUUGAGGCGUCGGAUUGACGCGAUGGUCUUGGUGUUGACCACCCCUUUGAUCAUGGGGAUCAUCGACGGGCACUUUUGGUCGAGGAUCAUCAUGCACUUUGUCCUCAUGUCGAUCAUGGCUCCCACACUUUCGAAGAAUUGCAUGCCAAGAAUGAGAUCAUAAUCGUCAAGAGGGAUUACCUCGAACGUCAUUCUGCCCUUCCACCCGCCAAUUUUGACAUCCACGUCGGGUGUUGCUCCUACGCCAUGGAAGUCGCCCGAAUUGAUGGGCUUGUACGACUUCCCGGAUGGUUCCACGUGAAGUCCCAAGGCUUUUGCAACCUCAGUCAACAUGAACAUGUUGGAUGCGCCGGUGUCGACCAAAGCGUAAAGUGUUCGGCCGCCCACUUCGACCUCCACGAAGAACAUGUCUGUGUUUGGAGUGAUUCCUUUUCCUUUGGUUAGCGAUCGGGCUUGGAUCGAGUUUACCAUCUUCACAGCUCCAAUCCGGAUUUGUCUCCUAUCUUCUUUGGGCACCUCCUUUUCUUCCUCGAUGGCAAGGAGGGUGUUGAUGCGACCCCUCUUCGGGCACUUUUGGGUCCAAUGCAGACCUUUGCAAAUAAAGCAAGGAGAGGGUGGAGGUUGAUCGAACUUACUCGCGUAGUCCGUUUGCGGUCGACCUCUUUGGAAGUACGGCUUGGAAGACCCUUCUCCCCACAUCUUGGCUCGAUCGCCUUGAUCGGGCGCGCCUUGAGGAGUGUUUGUUCCUUCGUAGUCCGGUCGAUCCGACCUCUAAUCUCUUGCUCGGUUGUUUCUCGGCUCAACCUUGGUGAGAUCGACGAGAGACUCGGCCAUGCUAAGCGCUCGUGCAAGACUACUCACGUCCCGCCGUUUCAGCUCAAGUUGUGCCCAAGGCUUUAGUCCAUCCAUAAACGCUCCGAAAGCCUCCUCUUCGCUUAGGUUGCGAAUUUGGGGUUUGAGUUCCGUGAACUCCUUCACGUACUCUCGGAUCGCGCCUCUUUGCUCGAGGCGAUGGAGCAUGCUUCGGGCUUCUUGUUGAGCGAACUCGGGGAAGAAAUAGUCCCGGAACUCCCUCACGAAGUCGUGCCACAUGUUCAUGAGAUUGGCGCCACGUCGAAUCUCAUCGCACCUAUUGCGCCACCACAGCAUUGUCGUAUUAGACAGGAACAUGGAAGCGGUUCGUACCUUGGUUAACUCGUCUCGGAUGUUGACGGCGCCGAAGUAUUGCUCCAUGCUCCACACGAAGUUGUCUACUUCUUGGGCGGAUCGGUUGCCUUUAAACUCCUUUGGCUUCGGCACCUCAAUUUAGGGCACCGCUUGAGUAGGCACUGCACCGUUCGUGAUGCUGAGUUUGCAUAGGGCGAGCUCGGUUUUGAGCUCUUGGAUCUCCGCCUUCAUGGCUUCGACCUCAUCCCUACACGUGCUUACCUCUUCGAUUAUUUAGACGCGAUCGUUCAAACCAUCAAUCGAUGCUUCGAGAACUUCGUCCUUGUCGAACAAUGGAGCCGUGGCUUGGUUGAUGCCAGUCGUGAAGUCUUCGCGGAGCGAGCCCUCAACCUCCAUGAUCCAGUCUCGCACAUCAUCAAGACCUUCCAAGAGCUCGAGCAUAGCACUCCGGACCUUCCCGAUCUUCUCAUCGAACGUGACCGCAACAUCCACCGAGGCAUCUCUCUUCUUUGCUUUGCUGCGCGUGUCCUUGACUGGCACAGCUUCUCCAACUAUAGCCGCUUCUUGGCUUGACAUUCUCUCGAACAGUUGGUGCUCUUCAAUCUCUUGGAAACUGAUCUCUCUUUAGCUCUGAUACCACUUGUCACGGGCCCAUCGAUUAGGAUCGUGACCGCGCGGCGACUCGGGCACUUUAGUAUCGGAUGGAUCGCCGAAGCACCUAAGCCAAGCCUUACUCGGUCGAACGCUCACUCGCUCGCCUUACCCGGAUCGUAAAGAGAGAAAGAAUCUAGAGAGAAGAGCUCUGGAAAGAAGCUUUGCUUUAUAUUGCGAAAGUAGUGGAUGCCUACAAAUGAAAGAGGACACCCUUUUUAUAGUUGAUGGCCUUGGAUUACAUCCAUUGAUUUAGAAUUCUAUCGGCGGACAAGAUCGCACCGCCUCAACUACCGGCAUAAGUGCCAAUUACCGUCUACUGACAUAAAUAACAUAACAGACUUCUGUAAUAGGACUCAAUGACGGUUUCGCCCGCCCUUGGAGACUUCGGGUAGAAGGUUCGGUGGGAAUCCGAGUGAGAGCAAGAGGUCCACGGGAACCUCUCAGAUCGACUCUGGGGAACCUCUCAAAUCGACUCUCUUUAGGCCCAUGACACUUGAUUGCCACAAAUUGAGGCAAUACUCAAUUAUGAGUUUUGAUAGUUUCAAGUUUGAUAGAUCAAUCAAUGUAUGGAAGUCUUAAGACUAAAGCAUAGUUCAUCAAUAUAUUUAGAAACUUUGAUAGGAAUUUUAAAAUUACUUGCCUCAAAUUCACUGUCUGAGUCUGAUUCAGAGUCUGAGUCUGAUUGUGCCAUUAGACAUAGAUUGGCAUAUUCAUUAUCACUUUCUUCACACUCUGUGUCACUCCGGGUUUCGGCUUUGAGAGCUUUUCGAAAUUUUUCAGCUUUUCCUUUCUUCUUCUUCAGAAAAGGACAGUUGGGUCUGAUGUGUCCCUUUUUCUUACAUUCAAAGCAGACUAUGUCUUUGUUUGGUUCCUCAUCAUCAACAGACUUAGUCUGUUGUCUUUGAAAGCUUUGUUUCUUUGAGUUGAACCUUCUUCAUUUUCUAUUCAGUUUUCUGAAUCUUCUUAUCAUGAGAGCAAGCUCCUCAUCGUCCAUAUCUUCUUCAGAAUCUGUAUCAUCAGAAUCAUCAUUUGAUUUUAAUGCAAUGGAUUUCUUACCUUUUGGAUCUUCAUCUUCAUUGAUUCGUUCCAAUUCAUAAGAUUGAAGAGUUCCAAUUAGCUCGUCGACAGAUAGUGGCAUAAUUCUCUGCGUCUCUCUUAUCGAAGUCUUUAUGUGAUUCCAAUCCCUGGAGAGUCCACGCAGUAGCUUGUUUACCUUCAUGGGAUCAAAAGUUGGUUGACCUUGAUUUUCAAGACCAUUCACAAUAUCUGUAAAACGACUAAACAUGUCAGAUAUUGAUUCUCAUGGUUUCAUUCUGAAGGCUUCGUAUUGACCGAGAAGAAUGUUGAUUCUUGUUUCCUUCACUCGAUCUGUUCCUUCAUAAGUGAUAUGCAAUCUGUCCCAAACUUCUUUUGCUGUACCACAAGAAGAUAUUCUAUUAUAUUCAGUUGGUGAUAAAACACAAUAUAAUGAGUAAAUUGCUUUUGCAUCGAGUGUUUGUCUCUUGAUUAUUUCUUCCUGAAACAUUCCGCUGGUUUCUUCAGUUUCUUUUCCUCUUUCAGAGACUGAUGCAGUGGUAGGAGUAAUUCCUUUUUCUACAACGUCCCAUUCUAGAUGAUCCUUUGAUCGUAGGAAAGCUUUCAUCUUGUUCUUCCAGAUGUUGUAAUCCUUUCCAUCAAAGUAGGGUGGUCUGGUAUUGCUUUGCCCUUCCAUCAGCCCUGGUGCUAGCAUACUAGCCAUGGAUCUUUUACUAUGAAGUAAAACACUUCAAAUAAAGUAAGUACAUAGGCUCUGAUACCAAUUGAUAUUGCUAGUAUGAGUACCUAGAGGGGGGUGAAUAGGUGCAUAAACAAUUUAUAGAAAUACAGAAGCGAUUCUUAGCAUAUGAUAGAAAGUAAAUUCUCUCUUAAUUAACAAAAUGAUAUAUGAUCGAGGUAGAGAGAAUGAGGAAGAGAAAAUUGAACACAGGAUUUAUAGUGGUUCGGCUUAUUCCAAGCCUACGUCCACUCUUUCGCACUGACAGCCCACCGGCUGGAUUUCACUAUGAUCAAAAGAGAAGUUACAGCACAGCUUUGCCUUGAUUCCACAGUGUAGAUGUUCUACCACACCUCCUCAAGGUCUCUCACAAAUAUAGACUCUCUUUUGUAUACAAGUAUUCGCUCAAAUGAUUUAUCUAAACAAAUAGGAGCUUCAGACUUUGGAAUUCUUCUAUCGCGCACACCUUGAACAACUAAGACAGUCUUCCUUAUAUACUCCUUUAUGCCAUCAUACCCGUUGGCACUUACCAAAGGAAUUCCUCCAAUCUAUCCAUUGGACGAAAUCAAUUAGGAAGAUUGUUCAAGCUAUUAAAGGAACGUGUUGAUAGCCCAUCAAUCAUGUUCGCCCAUACAAUCAGGAUCUCGGUUUCCAUAAGCAGAACCUUCCAAUAAUACUUAGGCAAUCACCGGAUCUUCAAUUAUCGAGUCAAUCUUAGAUCAAUCAAAGGACUCCGUUAUGUCUUUUCCAGCCACGAGAUCUUCUCCAGUUGAUAAGGUCAAAUCCUUAACGAAAUAUACAGUUCUGGAUAACCUUUCUUCAACGGAUUAGAGACUGUCAAUGAGGAUAGACUUUGAGUCUUGAGUCUGGCUGUCCGGAGGUCUUCAGACUUUAAAUAGCAGAGUCUGCAAACCUUCAGACUAGACUGAUAGAAACGUUUUGUCAACUUCAAAAUACUUUAAGAAGAUUUCUCCAACAGCUACACUGUGAUGUAUUGAAAUACAUGCGUACGUGUCUAGCAAUGCAUCUUUGAAAGUUGUUGUGCUAUAGACAGCUACGAUGACUAAUAUGUUUGAUCGCUGUAGUUAUUAGAAUGAAGAAAAGACCUUUUAAUAUUGUCGCAAAGCUUUUACCAACGUUUAUAUCUGUGUUAUUGGAACUUUUGCUGGAUACCAUUUUCACCAUAUGAUGAUGAUGAUGAUGAUGAUAGUCGAAUCCGGAAUAGACAUUUUGAGAGGACUUCAUUUCCAACUUAAAUACCAAAGCAAUCCAUGUUUAUACAUGAAAUUGCAGAAGAAAAUAUAGGCAGUACGAUGCCGAACCCUUGAAAUGCACAAUCUACUGCAGCCCAAUGAGGCGGCAGCCAUAUGCAUCCAAUUGCAAAGGGCCACAAGAGCGACCGUACAAUCAUACGGGAAAGGAAAUCCCACUUGGAAUUGCUCUCUCCACCUGUCUUCCUCAACUUCAUAUCCUGUUGAACACAGUAGCAAUCUGUCCCCGUGAGCUUAACUGUUCAGAUGUUGAAAGGAUGUAUUCUGCACCAUGCCUUGGAGAUACAGCAAGACUGGCAUGAUGCCAGGUGAUAAGGGUAAAGAUAAAAAGUUCAUACUACUCGCCAUGCAGGUGAUGGGGGUAAAGAUAAGCGCAUCUCUCUCUCUCUCUCUCUCUCUCUCUCUCUCUCUCUCUCUCUCUCUCAAUUGUGCAAGCUUCUCUCCUCUGUUAAUUUACUACUGAUGCUGAGUUCUGCCUGCAAAGUUCUGGCAAGUUUUUUGCCAUUAUCUUCUUUGAAAUAUCAAAAAGAAAAGUGGGGUUCAGAGGUGGAAAGAAGAACAGCUUGAAGAGAAACGGAAAAGCGCAGACUUGCAACAGAAGGCAAGGAAAGCUGUUUGCUUUAAGAUGCAUGACAACCGUGCAGAUGGCCAGUGUGGUCUUCUCCACCCAAAAAACAAUUGCUUCUCGUGGCCUGAAACGGAAUUUUAUAUGAUUUGCAUCCAAAUAGAAGAAUAAUAUCGUAAUCUAAUAUCAUCUACCGCCUGCAAAGUUGCUAUUAUCUUCGUUGAAAAUUCAAAAGAAGGGGAGAGGCAGAAAGAAAAACAACAUAUGAAGAGAAACGGAAAGUGCAAACUCUCCAUAGAAGGCACAGGAAAGCAGUUCGCUUUAAGAUGCUUGAUAAACUACUAAGAAACGAUUUCAUGUGGUCUCUAAUGAAAUGUUAUAAGAUUCUACAUCAAUGAUAAUCGUACUUUGCGCUCCACUACUGCCUGCAAAGUUGCUAUUUUCUUCUUUGAAAACUCAAAAGAAGGGGCAACGUAGAAAGAAAAACCACAUCGAAGAGAAACGAACAUCAUUAACUCUCAACAGAGAGCACGACAAAGCUGCUUGCUUUAAGAUGCAUGAUGAACUACUAAUGAACAAUCAUUUCACGUGGUCUCUGAUGAUAUUUUAUAAGAUUUACAUUCGAAAUACCGGAUUGAUAUCGUACUUUAUGCUCCACUACUGCCUGAAAAGUUGCUGUUAUCCUCUUUGAAAACUUCAAAGAAGGGGGGAGAGUCAGAAAGAAAAACAACAUUGAAGAGAAACGAACAUCACCAACCCUCAACAGAAGGCACAAGAAAGCUGCCUGCUUUAAGAUGCAUGAUAAACUACUAAUAAACAAUCAUUUCACGUGGUCUCUGGUUAAAUUUAUAAGAUUUACAUCCAAAUACAGCAUCAAUAUCGUACUUUAUGCUCCACUAUUCCCUUGAAAGUUGCUAUCAUCUUCUUUGAACGCUCAAAAGAAGGGGAGAGGCAGAAAGGGAAACAACAUUGAAGGGAAACGAACAUCGCAAACUCUCAACAGAAGGCACGAGAAAGCUGUUUGCUUUAAGAUGCGUGACAACCAUGCAUAUGGUCAUUGUUGAAUUCCUACUUAAAACCAAUUAUUUCUCUUAGCCUCUGAUGAGAAUUUACAACCAUUACAGCCAAAUGGAGAAUGAUAUUUUACUUUAUGCUUCAUUACUAUAAUAUAUGUACAUAUCUAUUCAACGCAACCAAAAGAAUCAUGUUUCUCACACAUAAAUAGGACAAGUUUUUGGAGUGUCUGAAAUUUUUACAUUCAAAAUGUUAUUGUUUUGCAUCGAAAUAUUGUGACUCGACGCUGGAGAAUUGAAAUUCAAUUGUAAACCUAUCGUAUGAAUUCAAAUUCAAUCCUGAACAUUUUAAUUCAAACAAUGUUGUUUUAAACCUUUGAGUGAAAAUGUAAUCAAGUCCUCCUAGUCAAGUCUCGCCUAAAUGGCAGUCCAAUCAUUUGUCAUUGUACGUGUCCCGACUAGUGAUUUGACAUGGACAAAUUUACUCGAAACGGUGCCAUUGUUGCUCAACUCCACAAGCCGUCAACCUUGCCUAGAACCGCCCUCUCUCAAGUUGAUUUCUAUCAAUAGUCACAGCUCAGCUAGAGCUGGCACCUCCAAAUGUGGAGGCUCAGCAGUCGGUCACCAUGCCCAUCGGGCUCCUUGGCCCCUCCAUGGAAGAUGAUUGUACAAUCCUGAAAUUUUUAGCGAUGUUUGUUUUCCCUCCCUGACCCUUCCAUGCCAUGCAAGAUGAUUGUAUAACCCUUAAUUUUUUUUUUUUUGUGACGUAGAAUUUUUUGUUUAAUUUUUAAAUAAUUUUUUUCCCUUUUUUUCUUCCUUCUUCCUCCUCUAGAUGGUCAUGGGACCUCGGUGACUAGCCAGAGACGAGUUGACAAGGCCAACCUUGCCCAACCAUCGCAAGGCUCCAUCGAGAUUGGUGAGGCCACCCUUGUCGGCCCUCCUCUCUAGCCGGUCACCAGCUAUCAUCGAGGCUUGACGAGAAGAGGGAGAAUAAGAAAGGAAACGAAAAAAAAAAAAAAUGACCUUCAUUAGAAACUGUUCCUGAGGGCAAAUAAGUAAAUUCUUUCUACUUUCUGUUUUUGUUCUAAAUCUAUUUUCUGACUAUUGAUCUAUUUCGGAAAAGAAAAUUAACUAACAUUAUCAAAUAAUUUUUUUUUUCUGUUUUGGAGAAAGAAAUAACAGAAAAAUAGAGAAAUAAAAUGAUCACCAAAUAGGACCUAACUUUAUAAGUGAAUUUGUAAUUCUUCCCACUCAACCUAUGCCUAUUAUAAGUUUUCUUUUCUUUUAAUAAUUCUUCCUCUCUUCUGUCUCCUCUCUUCAUCGGUAUAAAAUGGGUAAUCAGGGAUGGGUGGCUUGUGUAGUGGAAGAGAAACCUAUUCCCAAUGGUCGACACAGCGAACUUGGGUCCAAAUUCAAAUACACCAGGGGAAGUAAACUGACCUCUUUCACCAUUAAAUCACCACGUUGAGUGUUGAUUUUAACUCCGUAAAAUCCUCUUGUUGAUUUUAACUCCAUAAAAUCCUCUAACACGUCUGCCCCUCGGGACCUUCCAGAUUAUAAAAGCAAGAGCAAAAGUCAUAUCCUAUUAUUUCCAAUCUUUAUCAACACAGAGAAACGGAUUCGUGCAUAGUUAAUAUGAAAAAACAGCUAUCCUAUACAUUGGCAUUUGAUAAAAAAGGUUGAUCAAUUUAUGGAUGACAUGCAGCGACUUGAAUUCCAUCCACACAUAGAUAACAUGCAGCCAAGGCUAUGUCAAAGCCCCAAUACAUGUAUUAGAUACUAUGCCAUCUCAAUCCACCAAGAGAAAAGGUAUGCAUUUUCGACUCCAGCAGAUGAGAUAUCCUUUGGGAUGGUAGUCUCGGAAGAUGAAUCUUGCUUCUGGUCUCCAUAAUUUGGCAGCAAUGAUGGUGAUUCCACUGGACUGGUUAGGACUACUUUUAUCUUCCUCUCCUCUAUGUAUUUACCACUUUCUUUAUCAAAUUUAAAAUUUAAAAGAAAACUUCUCAGGUUACUUGACCCAAAAGAUUAUGGAACACAAAGCAGCAAAAUCUACCAUGUAAGCAGUAAUGUCCUCUUCACCUGUAUCAAAACCUUGUCUCGACGCUGCAAGACAGGUGGAGCUACCUGCUGUGCUUACAUGGUAACGGCAUCAAACAGAAGAUAGGAUGAAGGGCCUACCCUAAUUCUUUCGAAGUAUCAGGACAUAGCUUCUGAGGCCUAUUGUGGUUUUCCUUUGUCUCAAUGUAUAUUAGGCUACUAUGGUAGGCAUUCAAAAUCUUAUUCAAAGAUGAUCCUUACUGCAAUGCGACUGACAUUGCCUUAAGCAGUUCAUGUCCUAGUAAUAAUACAGUCUUACAGACAUGUCGUGGCAAAGAAAUUGCAAAAUAAUCGUUCAGCUGAUUCAAGUACUGUGGGCAUGUCCAUCCUCACAAGUAUGUCAGUGGCUUUUUAGUAAGUAUGUGAACAUGAUGUUUCACUGACUUGAGCAGAACAAUUUCGAAUCAGAUUAUCCAUUUGGUUGAUGAUGCCUACAUUUGACCGCACACAGAAUUUCUUCUGAGACGUAGCCUUAGCCUGGAAUGUUUUGGAUAUCCAAUAUAGAUCUCAUAAUGUUUCUCCACAAUAGAGAGUUCUUAAUGCGCUGAUGUACUACUCUGAAAAUUAAAUUACAUCAAGAGAAUACAAGAUUGAAAGGAUAUUGUCCACCCGCCAUAGCCUAAAAAAUAAAACUUGAUCACGGUGAAAGCAAAGGUCCAAAGAAUAUUCACCUUGAAAGCAACAUACCGAUCAGUCUUAUUGCCUAGCGGAAUGAGCAUGAGCUUUGUUUGCUCAACUCAAUUGCAUAAACACGGAGAAGAGGCUUCAGAUGAAAGAAUUUAAAGAGAAAGGGGGCCCGACAUGAGGACAGGAUGUGAUGAAAUGGACCAUCUUACAUUUUCUUUGAUAUAAUGCAGUAAUGCAAUCUCGUCUUGUUCAUUCAUUUUCUCUACUAAUCAUUCUCUCAGUCAUUUGGUUACAACAACCAUUCACCUACUUAAUCUCCAGAAAGAAAUUUACCGCAGAAGUCAUUCUAAGAGUUUGUGGUGUGAGGGACUACGCAAAAAUGAACAAACCUGACCAAAUAUUUGAAAACGACACAAGGAAAAGAAUUUGAAAACGGGGCGACCAGUGACUGAUUCAUACAUGCCAUUGAAGCUUAUGCCUUAAGAUAUUUCCUUUACCAUUUUAUAUGAUGUUGAACCGCAAAUUCUCAAGCAAAUUAUUGUAGCACAGAGAACUAUCAUCCCCUUCACUUAUUGCCUAAUAAAACAGGUGGCAAGCAAUGCAAAUUUAACGUGGCGCCAAAAAUGAAAAUGAACCAAAUGUGCAGCACUAUAGAUACUCACAAAUUAAACUCAAGUUCAUGAGGCCGGAUCUCCAACAGCUCUUCAGCCAUGAUGACAACUAUAAAACCGAUCCACAUAAAACAACAGGUCACGUGGCAGGGUAACAACAAUCAAGCAAAAAGCUCUGCAUGAAGCUCAAUUUCAAGGUAUAAAUCUGAUCACGCGCUGUCUCUAGCAGAUUCCUCAUUUCAAACACCAAAAUUGCACAUGAUCAACAAACACUAGACAGUCAAAAAUGGCUCAGCACCCAAAUUACGAACACCAUCCAAGAGCAGUUCAGGAUUUACCAAAAAUCAGAGCACUACAUUUGGCAAUGAAAGCUUAACCAUCGGGGGAGUAUCUUACAGGUCAGAAACUUCCUUUGGCAGUGAAAUCUUAAUCUUCAAGGGAGUAUCUUACAGGUCAGAAUCUUCCUUUUGAUGGAUCCCAAUAAUGAGAAAAUCAAACUCCAGUGCAAGUUCACAACAAAGGACAUGACAAUAAUAUCAGCUAAGGGAUAUGCCAUGACUUGCACAACCCGAGAGAAAUCGCAGGAAAGACCCCAAGUCAGCAGGCCUAAAUUAUCUCUAACCACCUCUCCAAGACACAACACUAACAUAGCAUCAGCAGCAGCAGCAGCAGCAGCAGCACCAAACUCUAGUAGUCCCUGAUGACAGUUGGGUUGACUCUGACUUGGCAAUAACAACUUCGUGCCAUUUUACUCAGCAAAUGAACACAUAAUCUUCAAUACAUGUGGCACUACAAAUUCAUAAGAACCAAUGUAGCGGGAGUAGCAUUGAACCAAGAAUCCGAGAGAGCAAACAUGUUUUCCAUUAUUUGAUUUUUCAUACAAUAAAUUUAUGACUGAAUUUGCGAUUCUCUCAACUCACCUACGCUUAUUAUGAGUUUUUUCCCUCCUUCCUUUAAAAUAUAUCUUCCCCUCUUCUGUCUCCUCUCCUCAUCUGUAUAAAAUGGGCAAUCAAGGGUUGCUUGUGUAGUGGAAGGGAAACGGUCCUCCCAAUGAUCUUACUGGUGAAAGUAGACCCAAAUACAAAUCAACCAGGGGAAGAAAACUAACCUCUUUCAACUUUGUAUCACCUCACUGAGUGUUGAUUUUAACUCCUUAAAACCUCUGACACAUACAACCCUUUAGGAUGCUGGCAUCCAAAGACAAUCCUUCUGGAUUAUAAGAGUGAGAACAAAAGUCAUAUUCUAUCCUGAGUCAUAGAAGUGGAUACACGUACAGUUAAUAUGAGAAAAAAGCUAUCCUAUACACUCGCAUUUAGUUGCUAAAGGGGUUGAUCAAAUUAUGGAUGAUGCGUAGCAACUUGAUUUCCAUUUACAUAAAUAACAUGCAGCCCAGCCAAUGCUGUGGCAAAGCCCCAAUCCAUGUAUCAGAUACAAAGCCAUCUCAACCCAGAAAGACAAUAAAGUGACACAUUGAUGUUUUCUGGCAGUCAUACCCUGAGAAAAGGUGAUGCAUUUUCGACUCCAGCAGGUGAGAUAUCCUUUGGGAUGGUAGUCUCGGAAGAGGAAUCUUGCUUCCGGUCUCCAUAAUCUGGCAGCCCUGAAGGUGAUUCCACUGGACUGGUUAGGACUGCUUUUAUCUUCCUCUCAUCUAUGUAUUUACUGCUUUCUUUAUGAAAUUGAAAAUUCAAGAGAAAAUUUCUUGAGUCACUUGACCUGAAAGAUUAUGGAACAUAUAGCAGCAAAACCUACCAUGUCAGCAAUAGUGUCCUCUUCACCUGUAUCAAAAACUUGUCUCUGCACAGCAGGACAGGUGAGCUACCUGCCGUGCUUACAUGGUAACCACAUCAAACAGAAGAUGGGAUGAAAGGCCUACUCUAAUUCUUGUUGCCUAGCGGAAUCAGGCAUGAGCUUUGUUUACUUAACUCAACUGCAUAAACACAGAGAAGAGGCCUCAGAUAAAAGAACUUAACGGGGCACGACAUGAGAGCAGGAUGUGAUGAAAUGGACCAUCAUACAUUUUCUUUGAAGAUAUAAUGCAGCAACAAAAUCUCAUUUUGUGCGUUGGUUUUCUCUACUGAACAUUCUCAGUCAUUUGGUUACAGCACUCACCUACUUUAUCUCUAGAAAGAAAUUCACUCACAUGGCACUAUAAGAGUUUGUGGUGCGAAGAUAGAAACUAUGCAAAAAGAAAGAACCUGACCAAAUAUUCGAAAACAACACAAGGAAAAGAACUUGAAAAACAGGGCGACCAAUGACUGAUUCAUACUCGCCAUUGAAGCUCAUUCUUUAAGAUAUUUCUUUUACUAUUAUUUAUGAUGUUGAACCACAAAUUCUCAAGCAAAUUAUUGUAGAACAGAGGAAUAUCAUCCGCUUCACUUAUUGCCUGUAAAACAGGAGGUAAGCGAUUUGAAUGUAGCUCCAAAAUAAAAAUGAACCAAACGCACAGACUCAGAUAAACUUGCCUUCAUGAGGCUGGAUCUCCAAGAGUACUUCAGCCAUGAUGAUGACCAUAUUGCUGAUCUACAUGAAAUGGUGGAUCAUAUAGCAGGGCAACAACAAUCAAGCAAAAAGGUCUACAUAAAGCUCAAUUUCGAGUACCCAUUCAUAUAGGGUGCGUUUGGUUUGGCUUUUGGAGAAAGCCUUUGGAUAAUGCAAAGGCUCUUAGCCUAAAAACUGUUUGGUAAUUUGCAAUUUUAAAGUGACUUGGUAAGUAACAUUGGGAAAAUACUAUUUGAUAACAUAUAUUUAAAAAGUCAUUUGAUGUAAUCAAUUUUUUUAAAAUUUAUUUAAAAUUUUAAAAAAAAAAACACAACGAUGGAAACUUUUAUAUUUUCACAUUAAGAGUGAUGUAAAAGAGACAUAUUAACAAGUUCAAAAAUAAAAAAUAAAAAAAUUACAUGAGAAGUGUGAAAAAUAAUAGGGCCCUCAGAUAUACAAACAGUAAAGAAAGUAUAAUGACCAAUGGGCUAAGUUACUGAGAAUAUAAAAAUAAAAUUUAGUUGUUUCUGAUGUCAUAUGGAAAGUCUUAUCUAAAACUGGCAUAUGAUAAGAAAUGUCUCUUAUUCAGCAAUAAGACAAUUAGACAUAUCUCAGCUGCAACAUGACAGCACCAAAAGUCAUACCUUGCUCUUUUUGAAUGGACAAGUGAGCAACUCUUUGCCUUAAACGACUCCACCACAUGAACACAUUCGUGAUGGCAACCAAAAUGAGCUUUUGCUCAUGUUCAAAGCCUAAGCAUGCAAGAAAAUUAAAGAGCUCCGACUCUUGAAGAGCAAUGGACUUCUUCUGCAAACCUCAGAUUGCUGACAAAUCGAGGAUUAGCCUUAAAAAACUGUUCCUCUCAUAAACAUAAGUACAAUCACAACAUCUCAAUUCACAAGGCAGUGCAUGUAUUAAUAUACACAUCAUGGAUAUUCCAAAGAACUUACAAGAGAAGAUAACUCCUAGUAACUGCUGGGUACAAUGGAAAUGAACAUUCAAAGCCCAGGAUUAUUCCUGGGAAAAAUGGAAAAGUGGGGAACAACAGACUUUGACAUACAUCACAUGAAGUAAGAAUGAAAUAAUGAGUGAAUUUAACUGUCCCAUAGUAUUCUAUUAGCUAUGGCAGUGUCCACUGAUUCCAGUUCUUCCACGACUUUAGUCCUGGAAGGCUGCUUGUUAGGAGUCAUUCGGAGGCAUUGUAAAGCAAGUUGUGCUAACUGGAAUCCAGAAUCCAUAUAUGUAGGGUAUAGGGACAGUAUAAAUUUGGUUCCCAAUUGUGGCAGGUUGCAAUAUCAUGAGCGACCAGUUUCCUCUAAAAUAACCAGUAUUUCUUUUUUGGUUUCUGAGGAAGGGGAACAUCUGCAGAAAAUGAAAAGUUAUGUAGGCAAUGCAACUGUGGAUUCCAUGCCAAAUGAUUUAAGUAGCUAAAAGGGAAACACACCUUGUGUUUCAUAGAGGGGAUUAUAGUGAACCUCAUAUCCAGAAACUCAACCAAAGCUCUGCAUCAAUUGAAAGUAAGGUUAACAAAAGGAAAAACUUAGAAAGAAAAUGGAGUUUCAAAAGACCAGUUGCUCAUUGAACAAAAGCAAAAGUAGAUCAAUUGCAAAUGUUUACAUCUAGGUUCUAAAUCAAUCAAUAUAUUUAACCCUACCCAAGUAGCUGUUCUAAGCAAGCAAAAGAACAAAUAUUUAAUUUCAGAGACGAAAAACAAGCAAAGCAUCACAAAGGAGGGUCUAUGUGUAUAUGUAUGCAAGCAACGCUCUUUUUUCCAAGACAACCAAGGAGUAAAAUAUACCCAUUUGGAAUUUUAACAAACCAAACCCAAGAACUUCACAUUUAUCACAUUGCACCCACUGACGAUUUGAACCAACAAAACAACUAUGAAGAAGAAGACAAGCAAGCAAUACCCUCGGCAGAGGGAACUUAUAAAUCCAAUUGCCAAACAAUAAUUAGGCUGCGAAUAUAAGUAUCAUCUAGGGGCUUUUGCCCUCCUUCAUGCUCUCCAACAACGACCAAAUAAGCAUUGAACAUCGGUGACUCACUGGAAUAGAUAAAUUCAUCAUUCUUCAAAAUCCUGCAUUCCAACAGCUGCUCACUGCCAUCAUACGGCAUUACCUAUCAUAUAUCCGACCAUUAAUCACGACAUGGACUAAUCUACUCAAAACAGGCUCAAUCACGCAAAGUAUUACAAUCAGAAGCACAGAACAGAACAAUCCGUGAUGAUGGAAAUAAUGAAAUCCCAAGCAGCAUUGAGCUGCUAUCGUUCAGUUCAAUUGAGCAAGCUAAACUUGGGAAAAAAGGGUAAUAAAUCGAUAGCCACUGCAGUUUUGACAUAGAUUAGCUAGUCAAACCGAAUCACGUCCUACCCAAUCAAAGGCAACUAAAUUGCGGAUCGGGUUGAGCUGGACAUCAAUGGUAGAGAUUAGUAGUGAAAGCAAAGGUACCUUGCUGGUGGUGGUGCGGAGAGAGAGGAAGCUGUCGCAAUAGACCGUGCGCUUCAGCUUCUGCUUCAGGUGCUUCUUGAAGGUGACAUUCCAGCAAGCAUGGUCUCAAGCACAUAGCUCAUUUCAUCAAACACCAAAAUUGCACAUGAUCACCAAACACUAGGCAGGCAAAACUUAGAUGGUUCACACUCACACAAAGCAUAAUUCAGCACACUAAUUACAAACACAAUCCGAGAGCAGUUCAGGAUUGAAAAAGAAAACCAGAGCACAACAUCUGUCCAUUCCUAGAACUUGCAUUGCCAGCUCAAAAUGCAAGCAUUGAGUCCAUCACAGAGGAGUCAUACUGGAUUCCUGAAAGCUCUGACGUAUUCAUCUGUGGGAUUCUGCUGAGUCUGGAUGUUCUGUGGAAGGACAACAAGGAUGUCGAUGCCAGAUUUCUGUCUCUCAAUAUUCUGUUUGAUGUGAAGUUCGUUUUCCUAAUCAAAACUCCAGAGUUAAAGCAUAAGCUGGUAGACUUGGGUGCAAUUUCUCCCUCUCUGCCCAGCCUUGAUUGAGGAUGAGGACCCCAAUACCAAUGUGUGUGCAGAAGCUCCUUCGAUGCUCAUAGAGUUCAACUUGACUAAAAUUUCUGAGAUUCUACAACCAAAGACAGUCAGCCACUGCUUCAGAUUCUCACUUGGUGAUCUGUCCUGUGCAAAUGUGAAUGAUGGUGAGCUGCGCGUGGCUCUGGCAUCGGCUCUGGAAAUGGAUCCCAAGUUGCUUUCUCAGCUGAAAGUAGUAUGGCAUAUUGGAAACCUUUUGGAGUUUGUGCAUGAGAAAAAUAUGGAAGAUUUUCUCAAAUUUAUGCUUGGCUUGUGCAAAGCUCUUCUUUUUUUAUCACUAGGUUCUAUGAAAGGUUCCACAGACAUGGAAGAGCCAACACUACUUGAUGAAAGUUCUUCUGAGGCAGUGAGUAACAUAUGAUACAUAACUGACUUUGGUGGCAGUGCCAGUGUUUUCCGAGAAUUGAGUGGUUCUCAUGACAGAAACAGUGCCAAUAUUGCUUCUAAAUGCACAGCUCUAUUACUGAAGGCAGCCCCAAGGGAAGGUGCUCUCUUUUUCUUACCAAUCUCCUGUAAGCCAGUGCGAUUCUCGAGUCUCAGCAAAAGGGAGCUCCUUCUCUACUGGUACCAACGAAUGCUGCAUUCUCUCAGUUACUCCUGUAGGCGAUGUUUACUGCACGGAAUGACUUUUGUCAGUGUGCCUGUCAAAGAUUGCUAUGAUUGAAGGCAUCAUUGCUGAGAUAAAAUAUUCUGGUGCUGCUGCUUUAGCCAGUGCUGCCACAUUGGUAAUCUCAGAAUUGCAGUGGCUCCCUCAUUUAUGACUUCUCCAUAACAUCUGCAAAUCCCACUAAGAAGCACACCUUUCCUGAAAAAUAAACUGAACUUAAGCAUGGCAGUACAGAGUGUCUGUCUACUUCAAAGUCGCAACAAUGAGUUGAUUGUGCUUUCAAGUCCCAGGAUGAGAACCAUAGUUGUAUGACCUUCCAUCACACAUUCCAUCUAUUUGUUUACAGCAUAGCGAAUUUAUCUCCCAUGCAAAGUGAGGUUAUCAAUUUCAAAAUAUGUGUGAAGCAGCAAAUCAACAAUGAUCUCUAAUAAUUUGUUACAUAUCAAAUAAAAAUGAUGCAAUUGACAUGCAUAUAUCUCUAGGAGAAACCAUCCUAAGAAAAUGUAGCUAAAAAAGCGAAACCAAACUAGGAAAAGAACACAAUACUUGUACAUAAUUAAGAGCCCUCUGGCUGUUCGAAGGCAUCACAAUUUAAAUACCUUCAUCAGAUUUUCAGAAAAGAAUCCGCUAAAAGGUCAUUAAAAAGUGCAUGCAAAACUUCUCUGUUCAUAUCUGUGAAAGAAUUUGAUUGCCAAAAAAGGAAAACAUUGGUACUUACCUCAAUUUGUUUAAGGUUUGAACACAAGGGAACAAUUUGUGGUCGCGCAUCAAAAAGCUUCCAAGUGCAAUGUGCACUUAUUCAUCUUCUUCAUCGUCUUCUUCAUCAGAUUCGUCUUCUUCAUUGUCUUCUUCCACAGAUUUGUCUUCUUCAUCAGAUUCGUCUUCUUCAUCGUCUUCUUCCACAGAUUCGUCUUCUUCAUCGUCUUCUCCCACAAAUUUGAUUGACUCCUCCGAGCAAAGCCGAGAAAUUUCCUCCACUGCUAAUUUCCCACAACGUAAUAUUGUAACCUCUCGCACACUCUUCAAGCUUGAUAGAUCAGGCAACUUCUGUAAAGAUCCACAAUCUUUAAUCUUCAAUAUAUUCAAAGAUUGGGGUAGUUUGCCUUGAAUCUCAACCAGAUUAUGACAAUGUACUACUGAAAGAUAUGUUAUUCCGUCCAAAUUGCUAAGAUCAGGGAUCUGCAUCUGUUUAAAGCCAGAAAGCAGCAACCGAUGUCCACCACUAUAUUCAAACUCCCGAUUGCGAAAUUUUAUAAAAACAUUUUCCUUACCCACUAAGCUGAACAGAUCAGGGAACUCCAGAAACGAAUCUAAUUUAUCUAAUUUAUCGCAUCCUCUUAUUGUGAACCCCCCUUGCAGUCUCUUCAAGCUUGACAGCUCAGGCAACUUCUGUAAAGAUCCACAGUCUUCAAUGUCCAAGUGUUCCAAGGAUUGGGGUAGUUCGCCUUGAAUCUCAACCAGAUUAUGACAAGAUUCUACUCUAAGAAGUGUUAUUCCAUCCAUAUUGCUUAGAUCAGGGAUCUGCAUCUGUUUAAUGCCAGAAAGCUGCAACCGAUUUCCACUUAAAUAUUCAAACUCCUGAUUGCCAAUAUGCACAUACACAUAAACAUGUGUCUUACCCAUUAUGCUGAAUGGAUCGGGGAACUCCUGUAACGAAUCACGGGAACCAAUUGUAAGUUCAUCCAAAAACCGUGGUAGUUCGCCUUGAAUCUCAACCAGAUUACAGCACCCUGAUACUCUAAUACGCCUUAGCUUGUUUAACUUGCUUAGAUCAGGUAGCAUCGCCAGCUGUACGACGCCCCGAAGGUUCAAAUAUCGUAGGUUCUCCAAACAACCAAGGCCUUCAAUCUUUGCAACUGCAGAGCAGCAAAUGUCGAGAGACGAUAGUUUCCUCAAAUUCAAUAGAUCCAUCGAGCAAAGUGAGUCGCAACCAGAGAGAAUUAAGGAGGAUAAAUUAGAGGGAAGCCUCGGGAGGAGAGGCGGAUGAGGAGGGAGGCUGAGGUCUGUCGAUGAGGCGGUCCCCCCGAAAAAGCGCAGUUCCAGAGAUUCCAAUUUGCUUAAGUUCCCAAUCCACCGUGGUAUCCGUUUUUCCAGGAGCCCAUAAGAUUUCCCAUCACAGUUAGGUGGGCCAAAGCCCAGACGCAAUACCUUUAAGUUAGCGAGAUUUGAGAGAUUCGGAAACGUGUCCACCCUCAACUCCUCCACUACUAAUUCAAUGAGACUUUCAGGAAACCUUGGUAGGGCGUGUACUCCCGGCCAUCCCAAUAUCUCCUCAAAUGGACCCCCGUGUAAGCAAUAACCACUUAUUGCGUGGGCAUGCCUGACAUGAUUAUAACGGUCGGCGAUUUCCAUUCCCUUGACCUUCCCCAUCUUCUUCUUACAAGCAUCAUUGUUCGUUCUUUUUUCGAAACCAUUCUGCAUCUUCAUUACUUUCAAAUUCUUCAACAUUCCAAUGGAAUCGGGUACUUCUUCAAUGCUCGUGUGACUUAUGUCCAACUUAGUUAGCGAAUCCAAAUUUCCAACCGUCUCCGGAAGCCUAUGAAGAUUCCAACAAUUGCUUACAUCUAAGAAAAUUAAGCGUUUCAACUGACAAAUUGAUCCAUCAAUUUCGAUUAAUGAUUCACAGCCUGAUAGGAUCAAAUGUUCUAAAUUUGAAUGAGCUGAGAAGUUGGGGAUUCUCUUCAAGUGUCGGCAAUGGGCCAGAUUCAGAACUUUCAAAUUCUUCAACUUUCCAAUGGAAUUGGGUACUUCUUUGAUGCUCGUGUGACUUAUGUCCAACUCAGUUAGCAAAUCCCAAUUUCCAACCGUCUCCGGAAGCCUUUGAAGAUUCCAACAAUUGCUUACAUCUAAGAAAAUUAAGCGUUUCAACUGACAAAUUGAUCCAUCAAUUUCGAUUAAUGAUUCACAGCCUGAUAGGAUCAAACGUUCUAAAUUUGAAUGAACUGAGAAGUUGGGGGUUCUGUUCAAGCGUCGGCAAUGGGCUAGAUUCAGAACUUUCAAAUUCUUAAUCACCUGUGAAAGAAAAAUCAUGCAAAGUUUACUUUCGAAUUUAAUGAGAUGGAAGAAUAAGUGUUCUCUAGCAUAUAACAUACCUUCAUGUGGCUCCACCCCUUCCAAUCAUGUGUAAUUUCACUCUCAAAUAGAUCAAGGAUAGUCAAAUUCUCUACGGAGAAAUUUGCAAUCUCAAAUGUUGGGUGAAUAUUAUGCCAAGAAAGCCAGUGUAAUUCUGGAAGGAGAUUUGAAUCCAAAACAUCAGUUGGAAGAACACUUGAUGGCCCUUUGUGCUGAAGAAGCAUCUUUUCUACACAAAAAGUUUGCUCCGAGUCAUCAACUUCAAGGAACCUUAGCCUUGAUAGGCUCUUAAAGUCCUUGUAGGUAAAACGGUGCUGAUGGUCCAAGCGGAGGCGAAGAGCUUCAAUUUUUUUCUUCGUCUGCCCAAAGGAAAAUUUUUAAAAACAAGAGAGUUGAAGGGAAACACAUUUAGCCAAAUUCACUAUUUUAAAGGACUGAGUUGAGUACUACCAUUCCAUUAAUCUUAAAAAAGCAAAAAUGUCCAUAAGUAACUUGGAAAUUAAUGCGCAGGGGAUUUUACCUUAGGGCUCUUCAGCAAAUCCAACGCUUUCUCACGAUCCCACACCCUACUUUGUUUAUUUAUAUUGGUUUCUUGACAAACUAUUUGUCUUCCAAGGUCUCUAAGUUGGUCGUGCAUCCACACUUUAUUAUCCUAUUUAAUCUUUACCAAAGACAUGUUCUCCAAAACAUCCAUGGCAUAUUCCGAAUGGAAUUCAGAUUCCCAAAAAUGAACUACAAUGUCUUUAUCAUAUCCAAUUAAGAGACAAGCUAUAUCAAGGAACUUUUGCUUUUCCUUUUCUUUGUAUUCAUCAUAACUUAUUUUCAAUCUACUAUGGACAUCCUUAUGAGGAUCACUUUCCCACUUACGUAAUUCGAAAUCCCACUUUUUCUUUUCAGUAGUGCAAGAUAAAAGUGAACCCAUGAGCUCAAGAGCUAGUGGAAGACCUCCAGCAAUUUUUAUCGCCCUCUCGGAUUGGUCGAUAUACUCGUCUAAAGGAUGAUCUCUUCUAAAGGCAUGUUUGCUAAAGAGUUGAAGAGAUUGAUCGUGAUCCAUGCCCGAAAGCUCAUAACAGCUGUCCACUUUAAGAACAUCAAGAACUUCUUUGUUUCUAGUAGUAAUAAUAAUUCUGCUCCCUUUACCAAACCAAUCACACUCACCAACAAGUGCAUCGCUAUGAUUCUUUUCAUGUACAUCAUCGAGAAGGAGGGGGGCUCUUUUAUUAGACAACCAGGCUUUGAUGGUAUUAAUCCCAUCAUCAAUGUUUCUUAUAUAUGUGCAUUUGUCUUUGAGAAUGCUGGAGAUGAGCUGAUUCUGCAAGGAUUCAAUGCCCUCGCGUUCUGACAUUUCACGGAUGUUGGACAGAAAGCAACAAUCCUCAAAAUUUUCUAAAAGCUGAUUGUAGAUGAUUUUGGCAGUUGUCGUCUUCCCGAUGCCACCCAUCCCAUAGAUUCCUAUAAUCCGUGUUUCACUUGUGCGAGGACCUAUCAAUUCCAUGAUUGCAUCAACAUGGUUGUCGACAUUGACCAAGCAAUUUGAUACUACCAAAUAAGCCUUUUUCAACUCAUUGAAAACCUUCUGCAUGAUUGUUUUUGCAAACUGACCUUCUUGCCUAUUAUUCGUUGAAAGUCAAAAGGCAAUGAGUUAGAAAAUUGAGUUAAGCCAAACUAUGCUCUAACAAGACCAAAUUGAAAACUACAGACCUAUUCUAAAUGCGUUCCUCAACGAUUUAUACCAUUUUGAUAAACUAGCACUGGAACUUAGGGUAAAUGAAUGACCUGAACUAACGAAAAAUGUUGCUUGUUGGGAAUGAAAUGGGACAAAAAUUGACAUGGUGAUAUUAUUUAGCCUGAUUUUGCUGCAUAAUUUCAAUUGCAUACAAUUUCAACAAGACUAACACAAAUUUAGAAAAGAAACAAAUUUAAAUGCAUCGAGUUUAACGAUACAAGGCACAUGAGAUGGAAUGCUAAAAGUAGUCACCUGUUGGGCAUGCUUUGCAGGUCCCAUCCAUUUAUAUCCACGACUGUAGUGAGAGCAUUCUUCCACUCUGCUAUAGUCUUUUCAUCAUAUCGCUUCUUUCUUUUGUGUGAAACAAAAGCAUUUUUAAAACUCCCGGUUUGGUGUCGAACCUCCGAAGGUGUCACAUCAUAAAAAAUGGGCAUGAUCUUUUGUCCUUCAUUUUUCUGGCACUUGACCAUUUGAACUAGCUCUCUGAGACACCAUACGCUAGAGGCAUAACCUUUUGAAAAGAUAGGUAUUAAGAUCUUCGACUGAUUGAUUGCUUCAGGAAGUUCUGGGGCAAACUCUUCCCCAACACGGAGCGCGUCAUCGUCCCUAAAUGUGCGGAUUCCUGCAUUUAUAAGAUAAUUGUAAAGGAAGUCGGUAAAACCUGAUCGUGUGUCAGGCCCUCUGAAACUCAAGAAUACUUCAUAGUCAUGUCCGGAAGAUGUUGCCGUUUCCUCAACUUGUGGUGUAGUGCAAGUAUGAGUAGCCCUCUCUACGGUACCAUUCUGUGGAGCUGAAUCAUUAUCUGCACUGCCCUCCACAGCGGUCUGACCUGCUCUUUUCUUCAAGAAUCCUUUGAACAGGAUGGCAGAGAGAGCUAUGGUAGCAACCGUCACAAUACAGGGCAACAGCAAGUGCUCAAGCAUUUUGUGAGUUAGCAAAGAGAAGGUUUUUAGUUAGAAAUACAGGGGAAUGGUGGAAUAGCAGAGAUGAGAGGCGGCACUUAAAGAUCAGGAUGGAGUAACGAGGAACGGCGAGCCCGCGACGGCGAGAAAUCGCCAGAGAAAGAGUAGAGACUGAGGCGAGGGCGGCCACUGAUGCUGCGACGGAUCAGCGACGAGGCAGAGGAGGAGAAGGAUCGAGAGGAAGAGGAGAGGAAGGGGGUCGUGCGGCGAGGAGGCGGAGAAGUAUCGAGAGGAGAAGGAGAGGAAGGGGGUCGUGCAGGUGCGGCAAGCGGCGAGCGGCGAGCGGCGAGAGGAGGAGGAGAAGGGCGCGCUAGCUUUUGGGUUUUGGAAACUCAAAAAGAAUAUAAAAAGGAGGCUGAUGAGGGUGAAGUGACAGCCUGUCACGUGGGUGGGGGAGGGGAAAAAGAGUUAAAUAAAUUUGGGUUGGGGGGAAAUGGCCUGACGUGAGGAGAGGAGGGAAAAAAAAUUGAAAUAAAUUUGGGGGGGGAAUAGUCUGACGUGGGGAAGGGAGAGAAAAAAAUUGAAAUAAAUUUGGAGGCGGGGGAAAAUAUAAGAGGGAAAGAAGGGAGUGGGGGUUGGCGGUGGACCCCUCGAUUAGAUUUUUUUUUAAUCGAAAAAAUAAAUAAAUGAAAUAAAAAAAUAAUUUUGAAAAGUAAAAAUACUGAAUUUUAAAUGAUAAUAAAUUUUGAUCAUUAUAAAAGAUUAUGGAUUUAUUUAAAUAAGUUGAUUCUAAUUUCUUGUUAAUAAUCAAUUUUAUCAAUAACUUUUGUUAAAAAUAAAAACAUAUUUCUAAACAUGAAUAUGUAUUAAUUAUGAAUAUAUCUUUCAAAAUUCUAAUGAAUUGAUUUAUUAAUAUUAUUAGUGUAAAUUUAUUAUAGGCUUUUUAAUUAUUUAUUUAUUUAUGAAUUUGAAUUAAAUUAAUUAAAAAUAAAAAUAACCGUUUAAUAUACAACGUGCCUUAUCGUAUUGAAAUUCUCAAUUUUUGAGAAAUGACAUAUCGACAUGUCAUGUCGCGUGUCGAUACUAAUUAGGGAGUAAGCGCAAGAAGCCAAGGCACUUUAAAUCUCAAGGAGCAAAUGGGCAAGUGUUGGGAUUCACACUCUACAUUGUACGGUGCACACUAUUUUUCCCCCUUAUGAAUGCCUUUUGAGGAGAUAACAUUCAACUGCAAUUUCAUAAAAGGUUCUGAAGGAUUAUUCUCUACACAUCAGAAAAGGCCACCAUCUUUCAUCUGGCAUUUCCUAAACAUUGUUCACACUGCGCUAGCUUUGAGGAAGAAAAAAAAAAUAGUAGCAACAACGUUUCACGUGCUAUGAUGCAUAACAAGUUGGUCUCCAAGACCAACCAAGCACAUCCGCUUUGAUGUAAGUUGUCUCUUCUCAUAUCUUAGGAACGAAAAUUGUCCCUUUCUAAGGUUGAUUCUAGAGAUUUGGCCCUCCACUUUCCUUUUUGAGUUCAUAUUUGAUCACAUCCUUUUAUUUGAUGAGCAAAACUAAAAUACGAAUCCUACACUUCGGUGACUGUUUGAAUUCUUGCCCAAGGCUUUCAUAUUACAAAAAAAAAAAAAAUCAAUGUAUUUAAAAAAUACUUCAGCUGUGCUUGCAAACAAGUGUAAGCUGAAGUAUUAAAGUGGUGGAAUGUCAUUGGAAGGUUAAACCAACGAACAGACCAUGGCUAGCAAAGUAUCCUUCCAAAUGUCACUUCUAGAAAUAUAGACAUAGCACAAUGUAGAGUUUUCUUGUUAAAAAAAUUUGGCUCGAAUCUCAUGAACUUAAAUAAUUCCCAAAGGGUCUUACAUCUCAACAAACAACAUGAUUGCAUUUACAUUGGACACAGCACAGUGCAAAGUUUCCGGCCGGCCACCCCGGAGGAGUUGCCCUCCUCCGGGACCUUUCAUUGGAGGUUUACUAGCCUAGUAUGCUAGGAGAAGGCAGUGACCUCCCUCCAGGCAGGAUCCCAGCACUAGAAGUGCUAUGGCCGGAGAGCCCAAUGGGGACUCUAUCCUGUUUUCCUCCCCUCACUUCCCUGUAAAUGGGUUGUGGGAGGAAGCACCCUAGGAUGUCCUAUUCAGGGUGGAGCACUUUAAGGACCUGCUUAGGUCCUCACUUCUAGAAAUAUAGACAUAGCACAAUGCAGAGUUUUCUUGUUAAAAAAAUUUGGCUCGAAUCUCACGAACUUAAAUAAUUCCCAAAGGGUCUUACAUCUCAACAAACAACAUGAUUGCAUUUACAUUGGACACUGCACAGCGCAAAGUUUUUUUUUUUUUUUUUGGUUAGUGCAAAGUUUUUAUUCCCCUUAAAAUAAAAUUAAGAAAAAAGACAAAAAGACAAAAGUUUGAAUCUUUUUGAAUCUCUAUAAUAUAAAUAAUUUCUUCCCAAUGUCACUUCCAGAAAUAUGGACAUCUAGUCUCUCUAGAUUAGAUCAAAACAUUAUCCAACGCAAUUCAUUUGAUGAAUGGUUGUAGUUUGAAAUCUUACAAAGUUCUAAAAUUCCGCUGGCCAAAAAGGAGUUUUGAUAUAUGCGUUGUAAGUUUGAAUAAUCAAAUAAUAAAUUUCAAAUAUAGCUGGUAAGUGAAAAUUACAUAUGACUUUAUAUAUAUAAUAGACCAAGUGACGAUUGCAGCCAUAAGGACGUACUUAAGCUGAACUUGCACCGAGAGCAACCAUGUCUACUGAAGAGAAAAUAGCCGACCCUGAGGCGGCGAAGACGGCUGAAGUGCUGCCGCUGAAAGAGGAGGCCCUGCCUCCACCCACGAGCCCUCCCGACGAGGCAAGCUUGCUCACAGCGGACGUGGCUCUUCAAGGGUUGCUGUUUGCUUCGAUGCUAAUCGCGCUCUUGAGGACCGUUCUAAGUUUGGUUCUGGAGAUUUGGUCCUCUACUAUCCUUUUUGAGUUCAUAUUUAAAUUUUGAUGCACACCAAUACACACGCUUUUACUUGAUGGGCAAAAUUUUAAUAAUUGAGUCGAGCCCCGAUACCGCGGCCACAUCCAACCACGGCCGUGCGAGGCCAGCAACCUCCGUCUGUCGCGACUUCUAUUGGACAUAGGUUGUGAGUUCCGUGCGGAGAAAAAAAGAGACCAAAGGAUAGCAAACAAGUCAAAUCGGUGAGGAGUUAAUGUCGCCGGUGGAUUCACACAUGAAGGUGAGGGCUUGUGAUGGCAAUAUGGGUGGGUGACACGUAAAAUUCCUAAACUAUAUUAACUAUGACACUAAUUAUUCCAACUUUUUUUUUUCAUCAUAAAAAAUCGAAACUUGUAUCAGAAAUCCAAAAAGUACUCUCCAUCCAAGAUGGUCAUUAAAAAUUUAAUGUGCCUGUUUGCGUGGACAACAGUAGACAAAUGAAGCAGACAUGACUCGGGAGAAUUCCACCAAAAAGCCUAAACCUUGCCUGGUGCGACAAUGGAACCCAAUUUUUUUUUACCUGUUACUAAUACUAUAUAUAAACGUGUAUCAGUGACUCGCAAAUAUUAUGCAUCACAGUUCCAUCCAAGACGGCCGUUAAAAAUCCAAUGUGACCACUUGCUUGGACAUCGAUAGGCAAAUGGAGCCAAUGUGGAUUUGAUGUGAUUUUAGUAUGGUCUAAAGUGACUUUAGACCACUUGUCAAAGUUAUAAGUUUUUAAAAAUUAAACCUCCAUUAUAACAAGUUAUCUCUCACAAUUUUUAGGGUCCAGGAAAUGGUAUAAUUUGGAGAUGCAGUUUUUUUGAAUAAUAAAUGGGACGAAUUCAUCUCUAUUUUAACUAAAAGAGCUCCGAGCUUAAUUUGAAACUAAUAUACAAAAUAAACGAGCUUCAACUUAUUCUCCAUUUAUUUCUUAAAAAAUGAAUGAUUUGGAAAACACUUUAUAUUGUUCAUAAAAAUGAAUAAAUUAAAGAUAUUUUCAUAAUCUAUCAAAAUAUUUAGACAUAAAUUAUUAUUGAUAGUUAAAAAAUUCAUUAAUUAAUUGUUUCAAGAAAUAUAAAUGAUGAUUAUUAUUUAUUUUUCGCGAAAUAAACGGAAUGCCAACUUUAACAAAAGUGUAAUGGAAAAUAUUCUUGCUUUGCCUUUUCCUUUUUCUCUAUGUGCUCGAGACCUUACAUUCGUCCACCCUCUUUUUAGCAUUUCACUUAUGUCCUUCUUCUUUUUGGGACUAGAAAGAAUAUGAAGGGAUAUGAUUGUUCACUUUGGAUCUCUUUAUUGGCAUCAAAUAUAUGGUCUAUCGUCAUACCAAUCUGACAUCUAUCAACGACUUUUUUUGGGGUAUGGAUUCAUCAACAACGUUAGCGUGCAAACACUGGUACAAUUUUGUGCCGAAGGGUUAUACUUUUCCUAAAAGAGAAAAAGAAAAAAGAAAAAAACUGGAAUUGCCCCUCACGAUCUUCCUUCUUUGUUUGGUGAAAAAUCAUUUUUGGAAAAUGUCUUUCCUUACUUUCCAGUGUUUGAAUAACGUAAAGCUACUCGAUCCAUAAAAACCUUUACCAUGGGCUAAAAGUAAUAAAUAAGCUUAGAGAAAAAUGACUUGGCAAGAAGAAUUGUUUUCCUUGAUUUUUGUCCUAAUUUAUUUUGUUGUUAUUUUCAUGGAUUAUAGAAUAAACGGUGAUGAUAUUAUAUCCAGUUUGUUAGUCAUCACAUGUUACUUUUAACUGUACAAGCCACCCUUAAUGAAUUCACUUAUACCAAUUAUGAUCAAAUCAAUUUCUUCAACUUGUUUUCAGCACAAUCAAAAUUUUGUGUUUACUUUUUCUGAGAUUGAAUUUCCUAAAACAUUUUCCCGCAACAAAAAAAAUUCUCAGUGAGAUAAACACAACCUAAGAAUUUGUUUUCACAUGAUGUUAUUCGAUUGAAAGAAAUGGUAAGAUGGAAUUAUCAAUGAUAUGAGAAUUGGACAUCGAUUUGUUGUCAUAUGAUUAUUUGGGGUUGAAUGAGAGAAUAAUGAAUCGGUGUAGGAUUUUACAGAAUGAUCUUAGUGAAAUAUUUUUACAAUAAAAUCUCUACGUUUAUGGAAGUUUGAUUGGGAGGCACAGAGUGCCAAAUAAAUGGGUCAUUGGUGUGAUUCCUUCUUGAGCAAGCUGGUUCAUCGUGGACUCUUGCUAGUCCAAGUCUUUGUUGACUUUGACUUUGCCCUUCUAAUCCCAUGACGUUUCUGUCUUGCUUGCACCACUCCUUACGCUGUUCUAUCUUUUUUUUUUUUUUUUUUGCUCUCUUUUUUAGAGUGGUAGCUAAUGCGAUUUUAAAUCUAAUGAUAGUAUUUUGAUGCAAGGCAAAAUUAUAUGUAUACGGCACUUUUGUCAUUCAAUUAAAUUAGAUGUUAUCAACUUUUCUAUUGAUUAAUGAUAGGAUUGGCUAGAUUAUUUAAAGAUAAAAGUUCUUUGAAUAGAUGGUAUUUGUUUUGCAGGUAUUUUUCAAGUUUCUAAAUCAAUUCCGUGGCUACUAAACAUUUUGUGUUUCACAAGAGAAAGUAGCCACUUCGCAACUAAAGUUUCACGAUAUUGACUCGAUAGAAACCAAAAUAGCCAAAGUCAACUUUUUUCAACCAUUCUUUAGCCAACCAAAGUCACUUGUAAAGAGUUGGCCCUUACAAUAUCAUAAGCUUUUCACGAUCUAGAUAAUGAUCAAUUCCAUGAUGAAUAAACAAAGCAUUGCCUCCUCUUCAUUGAUCUCUUUUGAUCUUCUCUCCGAGAAAAAAGGUCAAAUUGUAUAACAGCAAAAUCAGUGCAGCACAUUGUGAAAUCUAAAUCACUUUUAGAAGCCAAAAUUACAAAUGGAGAUAUCCAUGGGUCAUUAAAAGUAGAACACAGGAUUUGUUGACUAUGCUGAGAGCUGGGGGCAGUUCGUAUUCUAAUGAUAUUGUCUUUGUAGAGUUUGCUUUCACCCUGAAACAAAACCGCACGGUGGCCAAUGCGUCUUCCUUUCUUCCAUUGAAUCAUCCGAGAGCACUGUGUCGCCAUAGAUGCCCCCGCCCUUGCCCACAAAUUAACAAGAAUGAUAGGGCACGGGGACCCACUCGUGGCUUUGCUUGAACAUAAUUGUAGUGUCGCUUUCAGGACAGGGGCGUGUCCCAAUCGGGGAAAAAGGAUCAGGUCUAUUUUGAAGAAAACGCCCUGUCUGUUUUUCUUUUUUUUUUUUGGUAAGAGGUAAGAAUAUUAUAGCUAAAGAAACAAGGAGUUACAAGGAGGCAAGACAGACAGGCGACUCCAAUCAUGCACUCAAAAUGACACAGGCGUCAUACUGAGUGGAUGGGAGGCGGGGUGGAUUCCCCAGCACAUUUGGAGUCUUCGGUUACGCGGGUUAUCCGGAACUCUUGAGAAUGUGGAGGCUCUAUCUUUGACAACUUUCCGAAGACGAUCUUUGAGAGCGGGCAGGAAUAGGCUUUGAUUCCGAAAGAUGAUGUUAUUUCGCUCCUUCCAUAUAAGGUAGCACAGGGCAGCAAAUGCAAAGCGAGCAAUGGAAUGGUGGAAGCAUGAGUCCGAGAGAUGGAUGACCAUCCACUGUAGAUUCUCUUUCCAAGGACCAUUUCGCCAACUCAAAUUACAUUUAGAAGCCCAGAAAGAGGCCAAUCUACCCGUAACUGAGCAACCAAAGUAUAAGUGGUCGAUUGAAUCUAGCCUACUUGAGCAGAACGCACAGGAACCAUCCGGGAUCCUCCCAUACGACAGAAGCAAGACCUAGGUUGGCAAUCUAUUCCGAGUGAUCAGCCAUAGAUGGGUCUGAUAACGCGGGGGAAGAGUGGAGCUCCAGACAAAUCGAGACCAGUUAACCAAAGAGCCUCUAGCUCGAAGCAUAGUCCAUGCAGAAGCAGUAGAGAACUGACCUGAAGAGUGGCCAAGCCACACCAGACGGUCAUCCUGAUUGUUGAGGCUGGGGAGAGGAUCAACCCAAGUCUGGAUAGCAACAGCUACAUUAGACGGGAUAGACAGGGCAGCAAUACCUAUAACAACAGAAGCAUUCCGAGGGAUACGAGAGCAAUAUAUGUCACGAUCCGAGAAUAACUUGUUGAAUGGGCCACGAGGGUGCCAGGUAUCAAACCAAAAAGAAGUCGAUAACCCAUUACCAAUGUUCCAGGCAAAAUACCUCUGAAUCAAUUCACGCAGGCCAAAGAGUUUCUUCCAAGACCAAGAACAAACGGUCGGUCUAGGCGCAAUCCAGAAAUUCUUGUGUUUUAAGAAGACUGAAUGUAUCCAUUUGGUCCAGAGUGAUUCCUUAUCAGAGAAAAGCAGCCAUAUAUGCUUAGUCAUGGCAGCAAUGUUACUAACUCGAAGUGAGCGAAUACCUAGUCCUCCUUCCGCUUUAGGAAGGCAGACUUCUUCCCAACAAACUCUAGCACCACCAGAACCAAGGUUCAGGCCACGCCAAAGAAAUUGGCGGAAGAUCUGCUCAAUUCGAUUAAUAACUGAGGAGGGGAGGAUAAAAACCGAAGACCAGUACACCUGAAUGGAAUGGAGAACAGAUCUAAUAAGUUGGAGUCUACCAGCAGUUGAAAGGAAACGGUUAGUCCAUGACUGAACUCUCUUCAUUAUAGCAUCCACCAGAGAUACACACUCUUCCUUGCCUAAUCUUGAGGAAAUUACGGGGAUGCCAAGGUAUCGAAAGGGCAAUGAUCCAAGGUUGAACCCCGAUGCAUUAACCAUUGUGUUGGAGAAAUCUUUCCAGAAGAUUUUGAAGCUGACAAAACAUUUCUAUCAGUCUAGUCUUGAUAUCAUUGGUUUAAAGUCUCAAGACUUUGUAAUCUCAAGACUCAAGACUCAAGACUCAAGACUCAAGAUUAUUCUCACUGACAGUCUUUCUAAUCCAGCUGCGAAGGAUAUCCAAAGCCGAAGUAUAUGGUUGGGGAUUUGAUCCAAUCCUCUGGAAUAGAUCCCUUGGUUGGAUAAUCAUUUCGGAUUCUUUUGAUUCUUAUCUAAGAUCAAUUGAAGAUCUGAUGGUCGACGAAACAUUCUUGGAAUGUUCUAUUCUUGGAAACCAAAAUCCUGAUUGUAUGGGCAAACAGGAUUGAUGGGCUAUCAUCAGAUUCCUUAAAUAGCUCGGAUGAUCUUCUUAAUUGAUUCCGUCCAACGGGUAGAUUGGAGGAAUUCCUUUGGUAAGUGCCAACGGCUAUGAUGGCAUAAAGGAGUAUAAAAGGAAGACGUUCUAGUUGUUUUAAGUGUGUGAUCGAUAGAUAAAUUCCAGAGUCUGAAGAACCUUGAUUGUUAGUCGAGACUGUUCAAGCGAAAUUGUAUACACAGAGAGUAGUUGUACUUGGUGAUACCUUGAGCGAGUGUAGUAGAUCAUCUACAUCGAGAGAUCAAGGAAGAUCAACACUGUAACAUCUCUUUGUUCAUAGUGGAAUCCAGCCAAUCGGCUGUCAGUGCAGAAGAGUGGACGUAGGCUUGAAUCAAGCUGAACCACUAUAAACCUCGUGUUUAAUUCUCUCUUUCUUUUACUCAGUCUUACGAUUGUUUUUUAAUCCUUCAUCUGUUUAAGUAUUGCGCAAACUGCAAGAAAAUUUUCAUAAACCUAUUCACCCCCCUCUAGGUAUUCGUACUAGCAUUAUCAAUUGGUAUCAGAGCUUGUGUUCUUACUUUAUUUGAAGUGUUUUACUUCAGAGUAUUGGGGAUGAGACCAAACCAGGCAGCAAAAGUGUUUACUCCAUCCAUUAGAAGGCUUAGAGACGGCAUGGUUGCUUCCGAGAAGAGCAACACAUCGUCAGCGAAGAAUAGAUGGGAUAACUUGGAGGGUUUACAACGCCAAAAGAACCGAAAUCCGGGUUUGCAGGUGCGGGCAUUAAUACUGCCAGUAAAAACUUCCAUUACAAGAGUAAAGAUAUAUGGGGACAGAGGGUCCCCCUGUCGGAUACCUCUCCCACUAGGGAAAAAACCAUGCAACUCACCGUUUAAAGCUAUAGAGAACUUGGGGGUUCUGAUGCAUGUCAUAAUUCGAUCAAUAAAUGUGGGUGGGAAGCCAAAUGCUUGGAGCGUCGACUCAAUAAAGUUCCAGUCAACUGAGUCAUAAGCUUUGGAGAAAUCAACCUUAAUAAUGUUCUUUGGAAAGUAAGGCUCAUGGUGGAAGUGAGCAAAUAAUUCUUGAGCAAGCAUGAUAUUAUCACUUAUCCUCCUCCCUUUAACAAAAGCGUUCUGGGGGGGACUAAUUAUAGAUGGGAGCAUAUAAGCUAAUUUGUUGGCUAACAGUUUCGUGAUACACUUGUAUAUAGUGUUGCAACAAGCAAUAGGACGGAAGUCAUUUACCGUGGAAGCAUUGGGGGACUUCGGGACCAAGGUUAGAAUAGUGGUGUUGAUCUCACGAAGCAGCUGGCCUGUAGAUAAGAAGUCCCGAAUUGCUAAUAGAACGGAAGGGCCUACAAUAUCCCACGAUUGCUUAAAGAAAUCAACAUUAAAUCCAUCCGAGCCAGGGGCUUUUCCAAUGGCCAAUGAAAACAAAGUAGUUUGGAUUUCUUCUUCAGUGAAUGGCUGAGAGAUGGCUUGGAUCUGAUUAUCAUCGAGCGUAGAAGCCAGAUUCGCACGAAUCUCUUCAACAGACGGAACGGCGGAGGGGGUAGCGUCUGACAGCAGAUUUUGAAAGUGAUCAACAAAGAGUUGCUGCACUUCAACUUCAUCAGUAAUUACAUUACUACCAUCAAAAAUCGAGAGAAUUCUAUUCCGGAGAUGGCCUCGCUUCACCGAAUGGUGGAAGAAACUGGUGUUUAAGUCACCUUCUUUAAGCCAUAUGACCCUUGAUUUUUGUCUGUAGAAAGAUUCUUCCUUGAGGUGAAGGUCAGAAAAGACACGGAGGUGGUCCUUUUCCGCAUCAGCUAGAGCUUGAUUAUGAGGGUCAAACUGAAUAGCGUUUUGAGCUUGCACGAGAAGACGUCUGGCGUCAGAAGUUCUAGCCAAAAUAUCAGAGUAAGCCUCCCUGUUUAAUAAUUUGAGUCUGCAUUUCAGGGACCUAAGCUUACUACAAAGGACAAACAUAGGCGUACCAGAGAUACGCAGCUCCCAGAUUUGCCGAACCAACUCAAAGAAGUUGGGGUGUGACAUCCAGAAAUUGAAGAACUUGAAGGGUUUACGCGAGCUAGGAACAGGGAGAAUCCUGACCACCAUAGGAGAGUGAUCAGACACUCCAGGGGCAAGAAAGUUGGCUUCCGAAUAGGAGAAGGCCGAGAUCCAAGCUGCAUUAGUAAGAACUCUGUCUAUCUUUCUUUGCCUUUGAUUAGGACCAGACGAAGUAGACCAAGUAAACCUGUUACCCACAAAGCGGAGAUCAUCUAGACCAAAUUGGAUGAGGCAAUCUCCAAAGUCUUCAAAGGCUGGGAUCCAGUAAUUGGAUCUAUCUGCUCUAUCAGAAGCAUACCGAAUGACAUUGAAGUCACCAGCAACAAUCCAGGGGAUGUCCAGACAAAUGGAACUAGUGGAGAUCAGAUCAUUCCAAAGCGGUCUUCUCAGGACAAAAGAAUGCUCCGCAUAGACUACCGAAAGAUUAAAAGCAACACCAGAAAUAAAACACUUCAACCGGCCAUGAAUGGCCUGAGCAGAACAAGCUGAGAUGCAAAAAGAAGCGGCCAAGGGGUUCCAACCCACCCAAAUACGACCCCUGAUGGAAUAAGAGUAAUUUGUAGACCAAGACCACCCAGGAAGAAGGGAUGCCGAAACAUGGGAAUGGGCAGCAGGGGAUAUUUUAGUCUCCAAAAUACCAAUACAACAGAGGCAGUUAGUCCUCACAAAAUUCCUAAUCUCAGCUUGUUUGAGGGCUUGUCCAAGACCCCUAAUAUUCCAAACACCAAAAAACAUAGGAAUGAGAUAAUAGGAUUACCUUCUCUUGCCACCUCGUUUCCUUGCCGAGUGUGGCAUAAGCUUCGGGCCAGCAGGAAUACUUGCCUCAGCAGAUUCAGAGCGGAGGAUUCCUUUUUGACGAACAGGGGCCUCCUGAUUAACCUUCGGAGGGGGAAAUUUAUCGCGUUCCUCCGGUAUGGACGAGGGCACCUUACAAGGUGAUACAGAUUCACCAUCAUCGGAACUGAUAUCUUCAUGAUUUUCAUCUGAAGGUGCAGACUUAUUCAAGCCAGGGGAAACCUGUCUUUGCAUCACAGUAGCGGAAUCUGGGUCAAUAGAGGUGGCAGGGAGUAGAUCAAAGGAAGGAUGAUGAUCCUCCUGCCUGGUUAACUCUGGUUGCCUAUGAAGGGCCAUUGAAAUCUGAGGCAUCGGAUCUCCAAUCUGGUUUCCUUCAGAACGGGGGGACUUGGGACGAUUCGGGACCGGAUCAUACAUCAGGCCAUCAUUUGCAGGCGUCGGGGCGUGCUUAUUGCGUUUACCACGCACUUCACGCCAUUCGUUUGGACGAGGGACAGGUGCCUUCGGGACUGAGGGACCAGGUUUAGAAGGACCUGAGGAAUUGGGGGCAGGACAUCUAUGGCCAAAUGAAGAGCAGGUUGGACAAAGUGUCGGGAUCCACUCAUAUUGGACUGUCACUGAUCUAAGCUCACCCUUCAUCAUAAACUCUAUAACUUCAGGGAAAGAGUUAGACGUAUCAACUUCUAUACAAACUCAAGCAAAAGCUACCAUUGCCAUCUGUUCUGUUCGAUUAUCAACAAAUAAGGGCUUACCAAUACCACUUGCCAGAAAACUAAUGCCAGCAGCAGACCAUAGAGCCACAGGGACGUUCCUGAGUCGAAUCCAGAUGGGGACAGUAUUAUGAGUUGAUUUCUUGAGCUCCAACAUAGGGUGCCAUUGUUGCAGGAUCAAGGGGAUUUUGGCUACUGUAAUCGGGCCUCCAUCCAAGACUUUCAUCCUGAAUUCACUAUCCGGAAUGUGAAAGAAGUAAAAACCAAGGUCAGCAGCAAUAACUUCGACCAAGUGAUGGCCCCAGGCAUUCUUGAGGGCGUCCUCUGUGAGGUGGAAGGGUAGGCGCUUCCCAAUGUAGUAACCAACCAGACAUUCCUCCCAUUUCGGGUGAGUAGAUUCGAGAAUCUCCUCCGGCAUCUGCAGAAUCUUAGAGUUCUCAAUUGUGGCCGGAGGAACAAAGGAUAAACCAUAGCCUUUGGUUGCCGAACGGGUCAGCAGCCCAGGAGCGAGCAGGAGGGGGAGUUUCCUUCACAGGGGGAAUAUGUACAUUCAGAAAUGGCUCCUCCGGCGCCUUAUUCGGGGCAUUCGGACGCCCUUUGGCCUCACGACCGUGGAGAACAGGGAUAGAUGCAGUGUCACGGCUGAAGGAGAUCUUCCUAUCCUUUCGAUUUAGACCAGCAGAGGCAUUAUCACACCCAACAGCAUUUAGCCGAGCAGGAAUACCCAGCAGAGGACGAGCCCUACGAGCCCUGCUUCGUCCCCUGCUUCGCGAACGCCCAGAGUGGGCGCGAGGUCCUCUCAGAGCCGAGGAGUAUCGCAUAACAGGGUUGCGAGUGGGUGUGGGGGAGUGAGGGUGCUCAACCGGAGCAACAACAUGGGCUUUACCCCGGUUAUCUUCCACCACCUCAGAGGAGGACACCAUUCGGAGACGGCGAACUCGGAAUUUCAAGCCCUAAAAACUCAGAUCCGAGAUUCCAGCUGAGGAAGACAUACCAGGGAAAUUCGCUCGGUAGAAGACAAGAUCAGAUGUAGAGGAAUGUUGUCUCCAAGCGUGGGCGCAAUCGGCCGGCCAGAACGGCCGGAAAUGGGAGACGCGCAGGCGAUGAACAGUGCUCGCGCAAACCCAGUCGAGAGCUUCAGCUUGAACAGUAACUUCUCCUCGUUUAAUGUUUAACUCACGCCCCAUCUGUUUUUCGUGCUCUCCAAACCUCAAAAAUACAAAGGAAGUUUGGGAAAAUAUGGCAAUUUCAAUGGGGGACGCGUGGGCUAAAAAUCCAUGAUUUCGGGGUUGCGCUGCCAACUGCGGCAUAUGGACUGGAUUACACCUCUCUUCACUUCCUAUUCUUCGAGCAGGUCUUGCCCGCUCGAGCACCGGGGCAUGUGAACCUGACUCAUGCACAUAUGGAUCAUGUGAAUUCUCCAUACGUUCCAUCUCACCCAUUGGUAUGCAUGACCCCAGAUUGAUUUAGCAUAUUCUUCCUAUUAAUUGGCUCCCGCUUCACUGCACCCGAUAUUAUCAGUCCCCUCAUGUGCAUGUGACCAUUGACAUUUGACAGGUCUACGUUCCAUCUACCAUGUGAGUCAUGUGACCACCGACAGUUGACAGGUCUACGUUCCAUCCACCAUGUGAGUCAUGUGACCAUCAAUAGUUGAUAGGUCCAUGUUCCAUCCGCCAUAAUCAUGGCCCCUUGUCCUUUUCCCUUUGCUCCUCUCCUUUCUCCCCUAUCAAUUGCAUUUUGUCUUUUUGAUGCUGCCAAAAUACCCAAAUGCUCUCUUGGCGAGGAAUUUAUUUAUCCUUUUCUUUAUGGUAUUGAUUUUAAUGAUAAAUUGGGAUGAGGGCCUUUCUCUAUUCCUCAAAAAAUCUCUCGAUAUAGAUUUGAGAGUUUAAUAAAUAUACUUUUGGGGAUUCAAUGCUCUCAUGCUUUAUUCAUGUAUAGAUUCUCUGCCCCAGUCUCAAUGAUGAUCGUAGGAGUUUUAGCAUUUCGUUGAAUUACGGAGAUUUGUUCCUCCACACAUUAUAAUUGUGUUUAUCUAACAUAGUAUGGUUGUUUUUGUACGAUGAUGGUAUAGAGGAAGCUGAAUCAAGGCACGCACCAUCAACUAACAACAUCAUAAUUAUUGAAGAAGGAAUUUUUGGCGUGUACUCAUCACUGACACAGACUCGAGAUCUGGUGAUUGGUUACCAAUUUUGUUUGACAUAUAUGUUCAUGUGGAGUGAGUUUGUGCUUAACUUUGCAAUUGCUCCAUCAAUCCUCCUUUUGUUCUGGAUUUGGCUUUGUUUUUCAGUAUUCAUGCUCUAUUUUGAUUUGCUUUGUCAUGAAAAUUAUUUACUUAUGCAUCAUUUUGAGUAAUGAAUACAAUUUUCCUUCGAUCGAGGGAAAAAAAAACUAAGUCAAGCCCCGACACCACAACAUUCAACCAUAGAUUUGUGGCUCUAGCGACCUUUGCCAGUCGCGAGUUCCAUGGACAUAGGUUUAUGAGCUUUGUGCAGAAAGAAAAAGAGAUGAAGGCAUAGAAGACAGACUUGAGCAGGUGAGGCGUUAACUCGCCGAUGGAUUGAUGCAUGAAGUUGAGGGCUAGUAAUGCAAUGGGUGGGCAGCAAAUUCGGCAACGCUGAGUGUGCAAUUUCAUAAAAAAAUCCUAACCUUUAUAUUUACCGUAAUACUAAUUAUCCAAGCUUUAUUUUUAUCAUCAAAAUCCCAAACUUAUAUGGUAACCAAAAAAUAUGUUCCAUCAAAGUUUGGUCCAAGAUAAAUGUCAAAAAUCUAACGUGGUGUCUUGGACGACGAUGAACUUAAAAAUCUGAAUAAAGCUUUUGAAAGAAAACUCGACUUAGCAACUUUUAGGGUCCAAGAAGGGAGAUAAUCCACUUGGCGGUCCUUUUUGUAAAACAAACGAGCUACAAUUUUUACUUCGAAGAAAAAGUGGGAUGGAAUACAAAUUCUAGCUUUGCUUUUUAUCCUUUUCCGCUUUGCGCUUGAGACUCACAUUCGUCCACCUUGAUUUUAGCAUUUCACUUUUGGUCUUACUCCUUAUCGGGAGAAGAAAGCAUAUGAUGGAUCUCUCUUUAUUUGGAUGAAGAGACCAAAAUAUUCAACAUGCCCAGGUUUAGAAUUUUUUUUAUCUUUCCUUUUAUUUAGUUUCUUUUCUAGGUGAACUUCGUCUAAACUCCACGACAACUCCUUCCACAUCGUUCCUUGACCUUUUCGCACGUUUCUUCCUUUGCUUCAAAUCCUUGAUCUUCCCCUCGUUGGCACUGCUCUCUGCUCACACGCCUCCAAAACCCUAACCCGAUGCCCAUGGCCAUGGUCAUUUCCGGUGAUUGACGAACUGACCUCCUCAAAGUUGCCGGGGAGUGCAUGAUCGAUGUGAACGCUCCAACACCAGCAAGACCUUCAGACUUCGAUGGGUACAGAUGUGGACUAAAUGAACCUAUUGGUAUUUGAUAAGGACGACAUGGAGGAAACACGGUGAGGCAGCCAAGGAGGAAAAAUAAAAUCCCGCAAGAUACAAAGGUGUAAAAUUGUUUGGUUCCAGAAUUCAUGGGCUCUUAAGUCUUUUCAUACAUACAUCCGAAUUUGACAAAAGCAAAAUUUAAAAUUGAAGCAAUUAAUCACGAUUGACUCUAUGAGUCAAAAAAGACUCUUGGGAAGUAUAAAAUUCAUCGAUUCGAGACCAAUGGAAGAUCAAAUUGUUUUCUGAUAGCUUUAGCUUUGAUUAAACUCCACUAAACUUUUGUUUUAGUAAAACAAACUCCAAAGGUCUCAUUGCAAUUUUUUUUUUUAAUCGGACUCCUUCCAUUUAAAUUGAAAUUGAGUGUCCUCCAUUAUAGCUCAGAAGCUCCAAGAAGAAGAGAAAAUAGGUGGGUUCCCAUUGCCUUAACUCAUCUCUUUAUAAAGGAAAAUAUAGACUUCGUAUUAGAUGUGGGCCUUAACUAUCAAAGACCUUUACUCCUUCACGAUAGAAAUAUCAAGGAAAUAAAAAGGAAAGAUCUUUUUCAAUGACUUUUGGGUAGAUCAUUGAACUUAGAAGCCAUAGGAUUGGCUGAACAUGCAGAGAGAGUUGUGGGCCAGUUUGCUACAAAAUUUGGUCAAUAAGGAUGAUUCCUUGAAGCAUCAUCCAGCUUGCCAAAGUUGACAAUUAUUUACAUUUCUUAACACAAAAAAAUCACUAGACCAUGUGAUGCAAAAAUUUUAGGAUUAGAAUCAACUUUUGCCCCCCAAAUAAAUGGCAGAUUCAUUCAAAGUCAAGUCAACAAAAGCAGACAUCAAAUUUUGACAAUUGACAAGUGUAUCAAAUUGGGGUUUUAUCCUUUGUUUGUCACAUAUGUAUUGGUUUGUGCUUUUUCCUAGUAUUAAUCAUAUUUAACGGAAACUAAUGGAGGGUAAAUUUGUCACAAUGUGCUAGUUUGGAGUUUUUGGUGAUCAAAAAAUUAAUUUGAGAUUCACGGGUAUAUAAGUUUGAGAUUUUUCGUGGUAUUAACUCUAAAAACAAUAAGAUUUAGAGAAACACAACUUGGCAAGAAGGAAUCAUUACCCUUAUUUUCUUGCUACGCUUUAAAGUGAGAAGAAUAUACUUUAUCAAUGCUCAAUUUUUCUACAUUCCCAAAGCACGAUUAAUCUAAUAUUUCACAAAUAUGAUUUCAUAAUUUCUAUCUUGAUUUCUUUGUAAUCGUUUUUAUUUCAAUGGAUUAUAGAAUUAAUGAAGAAGAUAUCAAUUCUAGUUUAUUAGUCAUUCCAUGUUACUUUUAACGAUACAAGCCGCAUCUAGUGGAUUCACUUAUUACUAAUUACGAUAAAAUCAGUUUUUUCAACUUGUUUUCACCAUAAUCAAUUUUUUCUGAUUCCCUUUCUCUGAAAUUGAAUUUCCUAAAAGCAUUUUCCCGCAGCAAAAAUCAGCGAGAUAAAGACAUCCUCAGAGUUUUUUUUAUUUAUUUGAUUUUCUAAUUUCAUAUGACAUAAUAUGAUGGGAGGAAAUUGUACGAUGAAAUUAUCAACGGAUAUGAGAAUUGGAGGGAAAUUUGUUGCCAUGUAAAUUUUGCAGGUGAUGGGAGAACGAUCAAUCAGUGUUGGAUUUUACAGAGUGAUAUGGUGACCUUUUUUUCUCUUCUUUUUGAUAAAAUCACUACAUUUAUGGAUGUCUGUCCGCAAGGGACAAAGUACCAAAUGAAUGAACCAUUGGUGUGAUUCCUUCUUGAGCAAAGCUGGUUCAUCAUGGACUGUUGGUAGCCUAAGUCUUUGUGGACUUUGACUUUGCCCUUACUGGUAGACUGUUCUUUUAUUUAUCUAUUUUCUUUGGAGAGUGGUAGGUAAUGCAAUCUUUAAUCUAACGAUUUUAUUUCGAUGCAAGACAAAAUUGUAUAUAUACUGCACUUCACAUGAUAACUAAAAAUUCUAUGUUUCACGAUGGAAAAAUAGCCACUUCACAAUUGAAGUUUCACAAUGCUAACUCAACAACAGCCAAGGUAAGUUGCAUAUACCAAAAUCAGCUUAUGUCUGUUGGAGAAAUCCUCAUGAAGAGUUUUGAAGUUGACAAGAUGUUUCUGUCAGUCUAGUCUGAAGGUCUGCAGACUCUGUUAGUUAAAGUCUGAAGACUUCCGGACAGCCAGACUCAAGACUCAAAGUCUAUCCUCAUUAACAGUCUCUGAUCCGUUGAAGAAAGGUUAUCCCGAACUGGAUGUUUUGUUUAGGAUUUAACCUUAUCAUCUGGAGAAGAUCUUGUGGCUGGAGAAGACGUAUCAGAAUCCUUUGAUUGAUCAAGAUUGAUUCAAUGAUUGAAGAUUCGAUGAUUAUCUAAAUAUUAUUGGAAGGUUUUGCUUAUGGAAACCGAGAUCCUGAUUGUAUGGGCGAACGGGAUUGAUGGGCUAUCAACACGUUCCUUUAAUAGCUCGAACGAUCUUCCUAAUUGAUUCCGUCCAACGGGUAGAUUGGAGGAAUUCCUUUGGAAAGUGCCAACGGGUAUGAUGGCAUAAAGGAGUAUAUAAGGAAGACGUUCUUAGUUGUUUAAGAGAGAGUGCGCGAUAGAAAAAUUCCAAAGUCUGAAGCUCCUAUUUGUUUAGAUAAAUCUCUUGAGCGAAUACUUGUAUACAAAAGAGAGUCUAUAUUUGUGAGAGACCUUGAGGAGGUGUGAUAGAAUAUCUACACUGUGGAAUCAAGGCAAAUCUGUGCUGUAACUUCUCUUUUGAUCAUAGUGAAAUCCAGCCGGUGGGCUGUCAGUGCGGAAGAGUGGACGUAGGCUUGGAAUAAGCCGAACCACUAUAAAUCUUGUGUUUGAUUUUCUCUUCCUUACUCUUUCUACCUCGAUCGUAUUUCAAUCUGUUAAGAAUUGCUUCCGUAUUUGAGAAAAAUUGUGUGUGCGCCUAUUCACCCCCCCUCUAGGUGUUUAUACUAGCAAUAUCAAUUGGUAUCAGAGCCUGUGUACUUACUUUAUUUGAAGUGUUUUACUUCAUAGUAAAAGAUCCAUGGCUAGUAUGAUAGCACUAGGGCUGAUGGAAGGGCAAAGCAAUACCAGACCACCUUACUUUGAUGGAAAGGAUUACAACAUCUGGAAGAACAAGAUGAAAGCUUUCCUACGAUCAAAGGAUCCUCUGGAAUGGGACGUUGUAGAAAAAGGAAUUACUCCUACCACUGCAUCAGUCUCUGAAAGAGGAAAAGAAACUGAAGAAUCCAGAGGAAUGUCUCAGGAAGAAAUAACCAAGAGACAGACACUCGAUGCAAAAGCAAUUUAUUCCUUAUAUUGUGCUUUAUCACCAACUGAAGAUAAUAGAAUAUCUUCUUGUGGUACAGCAAAAGAAGUUCGGGACAAAUUGCAUAUCACCUAUGAAGGAACAGAUCGAGUGAAGGAAACAAGAAUCAACAUUCUUCUCGGUCAAUACGAAGCUUUUAGAAUGAAACCAGGAGAAUCAAUAUCUGACAUGUUUAGUCGUUUUACAGAUAUUGUAAAUGGUCUUGAAAAUCAAGGUCAACCAACUUCUGAUCUCAUGAAGGUAAACAAGCUACUGCGUGGACUCUCCAAGGAUUGGAAUCACAUAAAGACUUCGAUAAGAGAGACAUAGAGAAUAAUGCCACUAUCUGUUGAUGAGCUGAUUGGAACUCUUCAGUCCUAUGAAGUGGAAAGGAUCAAUGAAGAUGAAGAUCCAAGAGGUAAGAAAUCCAUUGCAUUAAAAUCAAAUGAUGAUUCUGAUGUUACAGAUUCUGAAGAAGAUAUGGACGAUGAGGAGCUUGCUCUCAUGAUAAGAAGAUUCAGAAAACUAAACAGAAAAGGAAGAAGGUUCAACUCAAAGAAACAAGGCUUUCAAAGACAGCAGAUCAAGUCUGUUGAUGAUGAGGAACCAAACAAAGAUGUAGUCUGCUUUGAAUGCAAGAAAAAGGGACACAUCAGACCCAACUGUCCUCUUUUGAAGAAGAAGAAAGGAAAAGCUGAAAAAUUUCGAAAAGCUCUCAAAGCUGAAACCUGGAGUGAUACUGAGUGUGAAGAAAGUGAUAAUGAAUAUGCCAAUAUAUGUCUGAUGGCACAAUCAGACUCAGACUCUGGAUCAGACUCAGGAUCAGACUCAGACAGUGAAUUUGAGGCAAGUAAUUUUAAAAUUCCUGUCAAAUUUUCUAAAUAUAUUGAGGAACUAUGUUUUAGUCUUAAGACUUCUCUCAAAAGUAUUUCCAAACUAAAAAAGGAAAACUCAGCUCUAAAACAAAAGGAAAAUGUUUUAGCAGAAAGAGUUAAAAGUCUAGACUUGUCUGUUUCCAAUCUUAAAGAAAAUAAAGAAAAUCUUUUAAAAGAAAAUGCUUUUUUAAAAACAGACUUAUCUAAUAUAUCAAAGAAAUUUUCUAUGGGUUCUGAAAAACUUGAGAAAAUUCUUUCAGCACAAAGACCUUACUUCAAUAAGUCUGGUCUAGGUAUGACAGAAGAAACAAUUCCCUUGAUUGAUUUUCCUAAAGUAAAAGAAAGAAUUAAGAAAAGGCUUUCGAGUGAGGUUUACAAAAAUCACUUCAAGAAAGUCUUUGUAAAACCUGUAAGUAGAAAUGCUCUCAGAUGUUCUAAGUGCAACAGUCCGGAUCACUUUGAAAAAGAGUGUCCUAUGGUAUGGAAACCUAUUAAGAAAGUAUGGGCUAAUACUGUUUAUCUUACUAACACCAAAGGACCCAAGAAAAUUUGGGUACCAAAGAAAGCUUGAGACUCUUUGUUAAAUGCAGGUCUCCAUCAAGAAACAGGUAAAGUGGUAUCUUGACAGCGGAUGCUCAAGACACAUGACAGGAGACUCAAAUUGCUUUAUAAAGCUUGCUCAAGUAAAUGGUGGAAAAGUUUCAUUUGGAGGAAACAGCAAAGGAAGUAUUGUGGGAUUUGGAACCGUGAAAAUUGGAACUCUCACAAUAAGUAAUGUUUCCUUAGUUGAAGGACUCAAUUACAAUCUUCUCAGCAUUAGUCAAUUGUGUGAUACUGGUUUCAAGAUCUCCUUUCAAGAAGGAACAUGUUCCGGAAUCAGUAAAGACUCUACUCAAUCUUUUCUGGGUCGAAGACAUGGGAACAUCUAUCUUCUGGAUGUGAAAUCAAAUGAAUCACAAUGUCUGAUCUCAAUUCAAGACGAAGCAAGCUUAUGGCACAAAAAGCUUGGACAUGUCAAUAUGAAGCAAUUAGCCAAAAUCUCAUCAAAGCAGCUUGUUCGAGGUCUACCAAAAUUGCCAUACCAAAAGACUAAUUCAUGCACUCCAUGUAUUCUGGGAAAGCAGGUAAAAAAUUCUUUUAAGCCAAUAAAUCAUGUCUCUACUAAUCAUGUUCUACAGUUGCUGCAUAUGGAUCUCUUCGGACCAACCAGAACUCUAAGUAUUGGGGGUAAGAAGUAUUGCCUAGUAAUUGUUGAUGAUUACUCCCGUUUUACUUGGGUAUAUUUCCUUUUAAGUAAGUCCGAAACCUUUUCGUAUUUUGAAAAUUUUGCUAAAAAGGUUCAAAAUGAAAAAGGUUGUGUUAUCUCUAGUAUAAGAACAGAUCAUGGAGGUGAAUUUGAAAAUCAAGAUUUUACAAAGUUCUGUGAUGAAUCUGGCUGUAAGCAUAUGUUUUCCUCUCCGUAUACUCCUCAACAAAAUGGAGUUGUGGAAAGAAAGAACAGAUCUCUUCAAGAAAUGGCUAAAACUCUUUUAAUUGAAAGUAGAAUUUCUUCUCGAUUUUGGGCAGAAGCUGUUUCAACAGCUUGCUAUAUCAUCAAUAGAGUUUUCUUAAGAUCUAUUCUUCAGAAAACCCCUUAUGAGUUAUUCAAAGAAAAGAAGCCUAUUGUUUCAUACUUUCAUGUAUUUGGUUGCAAAUGUUUUAUAUUGAAAAAUGCAAAAGAUCGAGUUAGUAAGUUUGAAGAAAGAUCAGAUGAAGGUAUCUUCCUUGGAUAUUCUAUAUCAAGCAAAGCUUACAGAGUCUAUAACAAGAAAAGCCAGUCUGUAGAGGAGUCAAUGAAUGUCAAAUUUCAAGACUCAAUGCAAGAUGAAUCAAGUUAGACUCAUCAAGAAGAAUCUGAACCUACUUCAGACCCUCCAAAGUCUACAACUCAAGAAGCAUCUCAGACUCUUGAAAACCAGCAUCAGGUUGUUAAUGAAGAUCCAAAUAAAGAAAGAGAUCAUCAACCAGACAAAUCAACAAGUAACUGGAAGCAUAAGUCCAGUCAUCCCAAAGAUCUUAUAAUCGGCGAAAUAAAUGAAGGAAUUCGCACAAGAUCCAAAAGGCGAGAAGAGUCUAGUGCUGUGGCACUCGUUUCUGAAAUUGAACCAAAGGGCAUAGAAGAAGCUUUAUCUGAUGAAAGCUGGAUUGAAGCUAUGCAAGAAGAACUCAGACAGUUCAGCAUAAAUGAUGUUUGGGAAUUGACAUCCAAACCAAAAGGAAAAACUGUUAUUGGAGCCAAAUGGGUGUUCAGAAACAAAAUGAACGAGAAAGGAAAAGUCGUACGAAAUAAAGCAAGACUUGUGGCCAAAGGAUAUACGCAAGAAGAGGGAAUAGACUAUGAUGAGACUUACGCUCCAGUGGCAAGGUUAGAAGCUAUUCGACUAUUACUUGCGUUUGCUUGUUAUAAGAAUUUCAGGUUAUUCCAAAUGGACGUCAAAAGCGCCUUCCUAAAUGGAUUUAUCCAUGAGGAAGUUUAUGUGGAACAACCGCCAGGGUUUGAAGACCCAAAGAAGCCAGACUCAGUCUUCAGACUGAAAAAGGCUUUGUAUGGUUUAAAGCAAGCACCUCGGGCUUGGUACGACAGGUUAAGUAAUUUCUUAUUACAAAAUAGUUUUGUCAAAGGUAAAAUAGAUACGACUUUAUUUAUCAAGAAGGAAAAUAAAAGUUUCUUACUUGUUCAAAUAUAUGUGGAUGAUAUUAUUUUUGGAUCCUCCAAUGAAAGUCUGUGGUAGAAAUUUUCAAAGUCUAUGCAGGAUGAGUUUGAAAUGAGUAUGAUGGGAGAAUUAACAUUCUUUCUUGGUCUUCAAAUAAAACAAUUGAAGGAAGGAACUUUCAUUUUUCAAGAAAAAUAUGUUAAUGAUCUUGUCAAAAGGUUUGGACUGGAGAAUUGCAAAAAGACCGACAUACCAAUGUCAAGUUCUUUAAAGAUAGACAAAGAUGAAGAAGGGAAGAAAGUUGAUCAAAAGCUGUACAGGAGUAUUAUUGGAUCACUUCUUUAUCUUACUGCCUCUAGACCUGAUAUUUUGUUGAGUGUUUGCAUCUGUGCUAGGUUUCAAUCAGAUCCUAGAGAAUCCCAUCUCAGUGCUGCCAAACGCAUCAUAAAAUACGUUGCUUCAUCAUCAAGCAUCGGUCUUUGGUAUCCUAAGAAGGGAGACUUUAAACUUCUGGGAUAUUCAGACGCAGAUCUAACCGGUUGCAGAGUUGAUAGAAAGAGCACUUCAGGAACUUGCUAGUUGCUUGGAAGCAGAACAGUGUCUUGGUUUUCAAGGAAACAAAGUAUUGUGUCUCUUUCAACAACAGAAGCAGAGUAUGUAGCUCUUGGAAGCUGCUGUUCACAAAUUCUAUGGAUAAAACAACAGCUAAGAGAUUUUGAAAUCGAAGACUCAUGCACAGAGAUUAAUUGCGACAACACCAGCGCUAUCAACCUCACCAAAAAUCCAAUUCUCCACUCAAGAGCGAAGCAUAUAGAAAUUCGACAUCAUUUUAUUAGAGAUCAUGUUCAAAAUGGAGAUGUUUCAAUUCAAUUUGUUGACUCAAAGAAUCAGCUGGCUGAUAUUCUCACGAAGCCUUUGGAGAAAAAUCAAUUUGAGUCUAUACGGACCAGACUCAAUAUUUUGAGGUAUGAGGAUAUCAAAGUCUAAAGACUUUCAAACUCAGGCUUACAAGACUUUAUCAACAGUCUUGUCUCGACCUUCAGACUGUAAGUCUUUCUCUAUCCAAUCUUAUCUUGAAAAGGUACGAUCAUCAGACUGUGUUUAAAUUGUUGCCGUAAAUAUUACAUCGAUUCAUUUUCAAAAGGGAAGUUAUUUUUGAAAUAGCUAUUUUUACGGAUAAAAUCAGUUAUUUUGAAAAGGCAUAUUUUUAUUUCCUUUGUGACGAUUCGUUUUCUCUUCUUUUUAACCGAACGAGCACUAUCGAUUACUCUCUCUCAAAAACCCUAGAAAGCAUCGAUCUUCCAUUCCCGUUUGUCUACUUCUCUAAAUCUUCAAAAAGUUAUCAUCUUUUCUGGGAAAGUCAAGCUAGGAAACUUCCAAACACUGUUAAAGAUGUCUUCUUCACGAAAGUCGUCAAGAAUCGCAAGCAGUGGACCAUAGAGAAUGAGUAAGGGGCCUACGCACUUCGAUCUUACUGAAGAUGAAGUUUCUCCAGAUCAGCAACCGAGCCCACAACAUUCUCAGCAGCGUCAUUCUACAUCAUCUAGUCAUCAAGGCAUUGUUCAUCAGGAAGAAAUCAUCGAGGAAGCAGACCUCGUAAGAGUUCAAAAGCCUGCUUUUAUCUACAAGCUAUAUCGUGCUUUAAAAGGAAUUCGUACUCCCUUAAACUAUGUUGAUAGUUUUGUUAAAGAAAAAGGAUAUAGGAACGAAUAUAUCUUUCUGAAAAGAAUGGAAAGUUUGGGAAUCGCUCGUAAAGGGGUGGCUGAGGAAACCCUUGCGAAUAUCCCAAGUGAUCCUUGUGACUGGGGGCCAAAUCCUGUAGAUGGGAAUGAUGAUGACAAUCUGUUCAGUCUAUUUCAACCGAAAAUGGGUAUUGCGGCUGAAAUUCAAGGAAAAAGGGGAGAUUUGUUCAGAUCAAAGGAACAAAAGGAUCUGUACUCGAAAUUGCUGAAGCGUGGGGUAAUAAACCCUAGGAGUGUGGACUUUGAUUUUAUGGAUGCUGUGAAAGUGAACUUGAGGGAAAAGUUCAGUUAUCUUCAACUUGAAAAGUUUUGUUCUGACUCAACUGAGGCUUAUGCUAAAUUGACUGCUUACUUCUAUUCAAAUCUUAGCUUUUAGAUGCGAAUAGAUUUUCCUUCAGUGUCAAAGAACAAGACUAUGUUGUGGAUAUGGAUAUGCUGGCAGAUGUGUUAGAAGUUGAGAGAGGCAGAUAUCAACCGAUUAAAGUUUCCAUUGCUCGGGCCACACUUGAAUUGGUGAAGGACAGGAGAAUAGAAGAGAAUCACCUACUCAAGGAUGAAUGCAUUCAACAUCUUGCUUCACAAGACUGUGAUUAAUUGCCUUCGGCCGAAAUCAACUUCCAAAACUGAUGUUUCAAGCUCUAAGGCAAAAUUGAUGUAUGCCAUCCUCUGUGGAAAGAAGUUUUCUCUUCCUCAUACUGUCAUGUUUCACAUGUAUAGAGCAGUGAUGAAGGACAGAGGUCAACUCCCUUACCCAAGCCUUGUUACGAAGUUAUUCAGACAUCUGAAUAUUCAGCCUCCGCAAAUCUUUUGUGUUCGAUCAUGCGAUCAUAUGGUGGUAGGACUGAAAAUGGUGACCAAAAUGCGUCUGAAGGAACUGAGCAAGGAAUUGGAGAAAUUCAAGGAGAAGACUCCUGCCAAGUCUCAUCAACUCUCUUCUGCUACUAAGAGAAAAGGGAAGGAGCCCAUGGCUGCUCCCUCAAAGAAAAGAAGAGCUCUCCUCGUUGAGGAUGAAGAUGAUGACGAUGACAUCACCAUCUCUGCAAUGGCUUUGAAGAACUUAAGUCGUUCUGUUCCACAGAAAGAAUCGGAACAAAAGACGAAAGAAGCAGAGGAGAAGGAAGAAGAAGAGAGAGAAGCAAAGGAGAAGGAAGACGAAGAAAGAGAAACAGAGCAAGAAGCAGAGGAAAAAAAGACCCGAAGAAGAAAGAAGAGAAUGAGAACCUGAGGAAAUCUCUUCUCCACCUGUAGGCAUGAAAACAGGGGGAGUUCAGGAGAAAGGAGUGACAUCUUCAUUUCCAGAUGAAAGUGAAGGAGUCAGUCGUUCGCCUGCAGACCCAGAAGAUGUUUAUGCAUCUCAAUUUCCAGAGGAAGGUCAUGAAGCUUCAUCACCCAACCUGCGAGAUUAUGCUGAUCCACCAUCGUCUGCUUUUACUCCAUCAGAACGAGCAGAAGCAAGUACUCAGACUGAUAAUGGAGCAGAUUUUCGCAUAAUCAUGGAUAUUCUCUUGGAGAUGAAAGGUCAGAUUUAUGCAUUGGGAUGCGAAGUUCAAAGCUUGAAGAAUGAAGGUUAAGCUUCUUCCUGUUCAUUAAAUGAAAAGAUGCAAGCCCUCUCUAUUCAAAAUCAGGCAAAUGCCAAGAGUGAGGAGGUUGUACAGCUAAAGGAAGACUUUAAGAGGCUGGAAGGCAUUGUUCAGUCUAUGGAAGAUUUCCAGCUUGUCCGCGUUCCCAAGCAAUCUUGAUUUCAUCUCAUCCUUUUUAAAUGAUGACAAAAAGGGGGAGAGAUGCAUGAUUUGAAAACUUUCAAUCUUUUUAACUGUUUGUUGGAUUGUGUUUAACUGUCUGUUUGUUUUUGACAGACUUUGACUUUGUUUUGUGUCUGGAUAAGAACUGCCUAGACUUAGAUUUGACUGCUUCUAUUUAUCAAUAUUGAUAUCUUAUGAAUGGCUUAAUCAUAUAUUGGACUAACCUAUUUUCUGUGGUUGCAGAUUCUAGUGUUAUUCUAUUAGCCAUUUAUUUCUAUAAGAUAUGCAUAUGUGGUUGAGGAAUGUUUUGCAGGUCAAAGUUAUCCAAAUCUGCAGGAAGGUUUUGUCACCAUCAAAAAGGGGGAGAUUGUUGGAGAAAUCCUCAUGAAGAGUUUUGAAGUUGACAAAAUGUUUCCGUCAGUCUAGUCUGAAGGUCUGCAGACUCUGUUAGUUAAAGUCUGAAGACUUCCGGACAGCCAGACUCAAGACUCAAAGUCUAUCCUCAUUGACAGUCUCUGAUCCGUUGAAGAAAGGUUAUCCCGAACUGGAUGUUUUGUUCAGGAUUUAACCUUAUCAUCUGGAGAAGAUCUCGUGGCUGGAGAAGACGUAUCAGAAUCCUUUGAUUGAUCAAGAUUGAUUCAAUGAUUGAAGAUUCGAUGAUUAUCUAAAUAUUAUUGGAAGGUUUUGCUUAUGGAAACCGAGAUCCUGAUUGUAUGGGCGAACAUGAUUGAUGGGUUAUCAACACGUUCCUUUAAUAGCUCGAACGAUCUUCCUAAUUGAUUCUGUCCAACGGGUAGAUUGGAGGAAUUCCUUUGGAAAGUGCCAACGGGUAUGAUGGCAUAAAGGAGUAUAUAAGGAAGACGUUCUUAGUUGUUUAAGAGAGAGUGCGCGAUAGAAAAAUUCCAAAGUCUGAAGCUCCUAUUUGUUUAGAUAAAUCUCUUGAGCGAAUACUUGUAUACAAAAUAGAGUCUAUAUUUGUGAGAGACCUUGAGGAGGUGUCAAAGCUGGUUCAUCAUGGACUGUUGUCAGUCCAAGUCUUCGUAGACUAACUUUGCCCUUCUAAUGCCAUGAUAUUUCAGUUCUCUCGCAACCCCUCAUAUGCUGUUCUGUCUUAUUUUUUUUUUCUCUCUUUUUGAGAGUGGUAGCCAAUGUUAAUGGCACGGUAAAACGAGGCACAGGGAGCUUAGGUUUUAGAUUGUUGGCAUUCAUAUCAAUAUCACAUCAAACAAUCUCAUACAAUUCAUAAUCUAAUGAUUGUAUUUCAGUGCAACGGUUUUUGCAUGUAUGCAGCACUUUCGUACUUUCCAUUUAGUUAAAUUAGAUGGUAUCAACGUUUUUAUUGAUUGAUGAUAUAAUUAGCUAGACUAUUUAAAAAUCAAAGUAUUUCUAAAUAGAUAGUGUUUGUUUGCAAGUAUUUUUUUCUUUUUAUUUUCUAAAUCAAUUUUGUGGUAAUUAAACAUUCCACAUUUCACAAUAGAAAACAAAAUCUCGCUAGAUCAGAGGUAUAAAGAUGUUCCAUUAUGAAAUUCAUAAGUUCUUAAAUCUUUUCAGGCAUAAAUCCAAGUGUGAAAAAAACCAACAUUUAAGAUUGAAGUUAUUAAUCGCAAUGACUUGAUGAGUCAAAAAACACUUUUGGGAAGUAUCGAAUUCCCAUUUGAGUAGCAUCUAUUUUCACAAAUCUAUUUAUUCACUUGCUAAAUAUUAAAUCAUGAUUUGAUCAUAUCACUCAAUGUAUCGAUUUUAGUAUGCUUAUUUAAAUUUCUUGUAAAUAACUUAGAUUUAUUGGUUAAACUUCAAAUGAUGAAGAGCUCAUGCUUAUUGAGUAGAAGCACACAUAUUUUUAACAACAUUAAAAGAAAAAAAAAUCCACAUCUUGCUAGCAGUUAAAAUUAAAAUGCUAUCUGUUAUGUGAAAUGUUGAAUGCAUGUUAUUUUACAAAAUUCUUAUAGUAAUUAACCCACCGAGGACCUCAAUAGUCAUUCAAGGCAAAACUCCCUUGAAGAAUCCGACGAAAAUUCUUGUUAAAAAGCAAAGUGAAUGAUGAAAAUAAAUAAAGCAAUACAGCAAAGAAAAAGAAGGGGUCAUCCUAAUGUGGAAAAGAAGUCCCGCCAAUGCUUUAGCGUGUGCCUUUGGUAGUCCAAGUCUUCGUAGACUUGGGUCAACAUUGGUGUGAUUCCUUCUUGAGCAAGCUGGUUCAUCAUGGACUGUUGGUAGUCCAAGUCUUCGUAGACUUUGACUUGGGUCAAUCAUUGGUUUCAAUCUUCUUGCACCACCCACACGCUGUUUUGUCUGAUUUUUUUCUCUUUCUGAGAGUGGUAGCUCAUGCUAAUAGCACGUUAAGACGAGGCACAUGGAGCUUAGGUUUUGGAUUGUUGGCGUCCUUAUCAAAAUCACAUCAACCCAUCUCACGCAAUUCUUAAUCUAGUGAAUGUAUUUUGAUGCAACACAUUAUAUGUAUGUGACACAUUCCAUUUCCAUUUAGUUAAAUUAAAUGGUUCCAACUUUUUUAUUGAUUGAUGACAUGAUUGACUAAAUUUUCAAGAGAGAAGUUUUUUUGGACAUAUAGUGUUUCUUUGCAAGUAUUUUUCUAUUUUUUGAAUCGAUUUUGUGAUAACUAAACAUUCCAUAUUUUACGAUAGAAAACAAAAUCUCUCUAGAUCUGGAGGUGUAAAAUUGUUCCAUUUCAUAAUUCAAUGUUCUUAAGUCUUUCUAGGUAUAAAUCCAAGUGUGACCAAAAAAAAAAUUUAAGAUUGAAGUUAUUAAAUCACGAUGACUCAAUGAGUUAAAAAGAAGAAUCUUGGGAAGAAUCAAAUUUCUUGAAUUGAGAGUGAUGGAAAAUUGAAUUUGUUCUCUGAUAGCUUUAGCUUUCAUUGUCACUCCACUAAAAUUUUGUUUUAGUAAAAUGAAAAUCUCGUCCCAUUUUUUUUUUUUGAAAUCAGACACCAUCCAUUUGAAUCAAAAUUGAGUUUCCUCCUUUAGCUCAAAAGCUUGGGAAGAAGAGAAAAUAUGUGGGAUCCUGUUGCCUAAUUCUUACUCAUUUUAAAGGAAAAGAAAGACUUCUCAUACAAAUGUGGACCUUAAUUAUCGAUACAUUUUUUCCUUUACCCUAGAAUAUGCAUAGAAUCAUGGGCCAGUUUUGCUGCAAAAUUGGUCAGUAAGGAUGCUUCCUUGCAGCAUCAUUGCGGCUUGUCAACUGUGAAAAAAUAUUACGUUUCUUAAUGUGGAAAAUCACUAGACUAUGUGGUGCAGAAAUUUUGGGAUGAGAAUCUACUUUUGCCCCAAAAUAAUUCAUUCAAAGUCAAGUCAACAAAAGCAGACACCGAACUUCCAAAACAAGUUCGUUUCCCCCAUCCUAAUUAAGGUGAACUCCGGUCGGUCCAAUUUAAUGGGCUGAUCAGGCCCAGGCCCGGAAUAACUCUGAAGCAUAAAGCCUAGUGGAAUUAUUGGGCUUGAUCUUGUCAAAGCACUCCCCAAUGAUCAAUUGAAUUAAGAAAAGAUUACAUUUUAUUUCGGAGGUGACCCAUCCUUCGCAUUUAACCUGUUGUUAGUGUCAAAAAUUGCUUGUCACAAAACGUUGUAGUUGAACAUUAAAUCCAUGCAUUGUGCUGAUUAUUAUACAAAACAUUACUAAAAUAGAGUCCACAAAACCAAUGUGUAAGCACAGUCUUGUGUCGUAUUAAAACUUUGAGCCACCAACAAGUGUGGUAAAUAAGCUCACGAACAUGAUGUGACCUAUUAGAUCUCAUUUGGAAUUUAACUCAAUUAGCAUUUCCACAUUCACAAUUGAACUUGAAAGCCUCUAUGAUGACUGGGAAAAGUUUAGCGAAGCCUCUCUAAUGACUAUAAUGACUAAAAAAAAAUAUUGACUCCCCCUGAAUUCAAGUAUGAAAGUUUUCUAUUUCAGAUAAUGUUUUUGGAGGUGUGGCUCUUUGCUCUCUCAGUUAAUGCUUGUGGAUUAUCUAUUACAAAAGGGGGAAAAAGAGGCAAAAAUAAAAGAACUUAUGGACAACGCGAGAUUAUUCCAUGUUAAAAUUUGAGAAUUGGAAAAAAAAAAAUUCGCCACACUUCUAUUAAUUUGAAAUUAAACGAUUUGGGUUGCUAUUUCAGAUUUACCUCGACAUUAGAUGAUGAUGUCAAACCAAGUCCAUUUGCAGCUAGAAACAUUUUUUAGUAUAAUUAAGCUUGAAUCUGAAAAUAUUUGACUGGAGAAGUUUGCCAUCAUAAUGAAGUAAUUGCAAUUUCAUAUACCUCCACUAAUAUAAAUAAACAAAUGAAUUAUAUCAAUUUUAAUUUGAGUGUAUAGUAACCAACUAAUUGAACGGUAGAGCACCCAUUUGUCCAACAGAAUGUCUCAUUCUCUUUGGCUAAAAUACAACAGAAGGCGUCCCCACGCAAUCUUUCUAAAUGUUCCGAUUUUAGCAAAACUUACUUCACGACGUAAAUCACCGAAUGUGACAUUGAAAAUGCCCACCGACAAAAUAAGAUCCCAAGGGCAAAUUAGGAAAGAUCAUAAAGAAUCUGGAACGAAAUAGAUCGCGUUUGAGGCUGAUGGUUGUUCUGACAUGCUUGAUUGCUGCAAAGUGAGGCGAUACUCAAGCUUUUCAAGUUCAAGAGAUUGGAAAUGCUAUCAUCAGCUCGUCGCUCGGUAUGAAUAUGUAGACAAAGAAGAAUUUCUAGGAGUCUUGGCACUUGGGGUAUCUCAACACAUGUCGGUUUCAAAAUCUUCCAAGGUGAACAUCUCCAGAUAUCAUAGGAAUUUCUGAUUAGCAAAUUUUCACUAAGCUCUGCAUCUAUUCUUCUAGCUAUUCCUGAUUCCAUACUGCACUAGUUAUUGUUCUCAUGAUAGAGAACCUCAUCUUCAAUACUUUCAAAUACUUCAUGUUCCCGACCAACCAGGCAGCUUCUCUAUGUCCAUGUUCAAUUUAUCGAACUUAGCAAAUGAUUCCAAAUUCCAGAUUGAGUCUAGUAGUGUCUUUAUUGACUUGCAGUUCCUAGAAGACUAGUGUUCGAGGCUUACAAGGGAUCCACUUGAGUUGGGAAGCUCCACGAUCCUAGCUCCUCACAGAGAAAGCCUCGAUAGGGAAGUUAGGUGACAGAUUGAAAGUUUUAUAGUCAAUGAGGAACAAUGGGAAGCACAGAGGACCUGCAAGCUCUUCAAUUCUUGACAGUCAGGCAUAUGCUUUAUUGAUGUUAUACAGCAAUCCCUUUUUAAGGCAGUUAAGUCCAUGUCAGACUUUCCCCUUCCGUCUUGGUAAUUCCUAGAUGUAUAUUCCCUUUUAAGAUAGAGAUUAUCGAUGUUUGUCCGUUAAAACCAGCAUGCGAAAUUGCGAAUUGAACAAAGUCAACAUCUAGCAAGCUAGUCGCAUAUCUUUCUCCCAAAUAUCAUGUACUUUUAUUCGUGUGAAGUCCACCAUCAGGUUAGUACCGAGUUAUCCAGAGUUAGAUUCAUCUACUAGUAAGAAUACUUUGAGAGACCUUGUUUAGCUUUCUUAUACUUGUUUCAUCGUUUGAUUCCAUCAUUUCUCGGUUCACGCUGCUCCAUGGUUUAUAGCAGCAUCAUUAUUUGGUUUGCCCUCUCCAGUAAUCUUACUUGCUGCUCUUAAUCUUCUCUGCUCCAAUGGUCUAUAGUCGCAACUGUCGCCACACACAAUGCAACCUCAAGUGGUGAAACAACAAUUGUUGAGCUGCACAGAAAUUGGGGGUGGUCUGACUUGGCCUCGCCUCCCGAGUCGCAAUGGGUCCGAAUUUUAUUUUAUUUUGAUAAAUUAAAAAGUGUGGGAAGAGAUGACCAAUACGGUUAUCCAUUCUUGUUGUUACAUAAAGUGUUGUGCAUGUUACAAAAUAUCUCCAUUGAGCCAUAACCACUCGAUCCACCGACAAGUGUGCUAGUCUAUCACCAUAACUAAUAUGCCAAAAGCUUGACAAUAUAUCCACAUAACGUUGUAAAUACCUAAAAUACUAACCGGUGAAAAGUUCACUCAUGACAUGAUUCGAACUCAUGAAUUAAUAGAAGAUGGCAUGAUCCCUUCAUCAUUGGGUUAUCAUGCUUGGGGUUGGAUUGUGAUUCCGACUUUAUAUAUAUAUAUAUAUAUUCACUUUCAAGGUGAAUGAGUGGCGCAUGAGCCUAAUCCAAAAAGGAAUGAUCUAUAAAUCUGUUCUGUGCUUAAAAAAUUUGACUUAAGUCAAAUGAGGUGUUUAUGUGUUUAUGUUACCAAUAAAAGAAGAGGUUUGGUGACUGGUUUCUAUAAAAUUGAUUAAUUUACUCUUCAUAAUUUUCUAUAAAAUUGAUUAAUUUACUCUUCAUAAUUUUCUCUUGGAAAUUUUGUCCAGGAGCACGCCUCAUUUUAGCAAAACUUCCUUCAUCGCCCUCACGGAAACGACGAAAUCACCGGACGUGACACCGAAUAUGCCCGCCGACCGAGCAAGAGCCCGAGGUCGAAUCAGGAAAAUUCGCAAAUCCGUCGUCCUCUCCUUCCCUUCCCCCCCACCCAAAAACAAAAGCUCGCUGUAGCUUUCGAUCGCCAUCCGCCGCGAAAAUCGCUACGGAGUCCACGAACGCUGCGAAGACCAGGAUUCGAGGGUUGAAUUCGAGCAAUACGGAUGAAGACCGCAAUCGAUCUCUCCACCUCGCCGGGCGAUCGCGCCAUUUUGAUUGCGUGAGAUUGGAAUGAUGUCGUCGCUCGGCAGAAUGGGGAGUUGAGGGUGAUGGUUGUUCUGAAGUGCUUCAUUGCCGCGGGUGGGGGGCGAGAGGUAAUUGCAAUUUGUGUUCAUGUCAUCAAUUACUGCUCUGAUCCUCCCACUUGAUUGAGAUUGGGAGUCUAGUAUCGAGCAUGUCGGUUUUGAGGUUGGACAGUGAGGUUUGUAGUGUGAAUUUGGCGGAUUAUACUAUUGCAGAAAUUAUUUGGUUGGAUUAGCUAAGCUCUUGGAUUACCGAAUUUGGAUCAAUGCUACAACUGGAAUAUGGUCAGAUUGAUCGAAUUUCCUUAUAUUUGUUGGAUACAAAUAUUUCUUCCCGCUGUUUCUACUUUGGGGGUAAAAUUUGUUGAGUGUCUCACAGUGAUUGACUAUCGGCUAUUUGGCCUUUCUCCAGUCGAGUAAUGGACUGUAGCUUGUAGGUUUCAGUGGACUAGCUUUAUGGGAAAGAGGAGCCUUAUGCUUUUCACUUAUUCGCCUUUCGUUGCAUUUGAACAUAUAGUUCUUUAAGUUCACGAACGAGGAUGGCAGAAAUAUACUGAAAUAUUAUUUUGAGUUGACGUUUCCUUGAAGUGUUCCUCUUACUUGAUUGUUGAUAUACCUUGCUAGAGACAUAAGAAACUUGCUCCAUUGCUUGUAAUUAAAUGAGCUUUUGACCACAUUUUCAAAGUGAAAUUUUCUCAACUGGUAAAUGCAGAACUCAGACUAAGGUCCAAGGCUUGUAAAGCUGCUUACAAUCGCACUCUUGCCAUGACAUUUAUGGAGUAUUCAUCUGCUGUGAGUGUUCUUUAUAAAGAUUUUCACAUUUACCUAGAGCUUGUUGUUGUUAUUACUCUUCAGGUUUCACCAUUUAAAUACAAUAACUUUUGCAGGUUUGAUGCCAGAUUUGACAAAACUUAGUAGUUGGACUUGUCCUAGAUGUGAUGGAAAGACCCAGGUAAUUUAAUAUGGUUUAAUAUGACAUUGUUGCUGAGGUUGCCUGAAGAAUGGAUCCUCAGUACAGUAUUAAAUGGCCAAUUCUUCUAAUGAGAUUUUGUGGGCAUAUGCUGCCUCCUCUUAUUAGAUUCUGAACUGGUAGUUAAUGCCUUUUGAUAUGAAAGCAGGGGUUUGAAUUCAUUGAAUUGAUAGUGGGCAUUCAACACUGCUUACGCGCAGAUUAUUUGGUUGCAGUGGCUUACCAAUCUGCAAUGCUUGCGAUGCCUAUAUGUUUAAAUUGCAUCUAAUUGUUUAUAUCUAUUUCUAAACGUACAUAUAUGUUACCUGUAGGCAUACGUUGGGGUGGCCAAGGAUCUUAAUGCUGUGAUUAUAGCUUUUAGAGGUGCACAAGAACAUAGGUAUGCAUGUUAACUUUAGCAACUCUUCUCCUUACAAAUGACUUGCAAAAGGUUUUGAUGAAAAUUUAAGCUAAGAAGAGCAGCCUCCUGUGAGUGCAUACGCAAGACCCAUGGGUCGACUGUCCGUAAGAAGGGAAAAGGGUGAAUCAUUUCCACCAAGAUGCGAAAGUUACCUUCUUGUAAUUUUAGAUUGGUUCAUGAGAAGAUCACAUACUUCACUAAUUUUGUUCUGUGAAAAAUUCUAUCACCUCUCUUUGUCAUUUGAGCUUUUCAGUUAGUGAUUACUUCUUUUUAUGUCUAUAGCAUACAUAAUUGGGUUGAAGAUCUCUAGUGGAUAGUGGAAACAGCUUGACGUACUACCUUGGCAUGCAUGGUGCCCUGGAUAGCUCUAAAGAUGAUUAUGCCUCUUGCAAGCUGUGGAUUCUUCUUGUUUGGAUUGAGUUACAGUCUUACUCUAUUUGUGACAUCCCGAUUUUUCCAAAUCCUAUUUUCAAUAAAUUGAGACGGGCAUUUCGUUGGCACGCAUAUAGUUCUUUUCCUUGAGUCGGCCACUCAUGUGAAAACUAGUCUAUCGGGUGAAACUGUUAAGAAUUUCUAAUGCAUCAGACUCGAGAAUUUGACCAGGAAGCAACCUUUCGACCGAGCUAGUCUGCAAGGGUCAUUACGGCACAAUUAAAAUCGAUUAAAGAUCGGAGAUAGGUCGACUCGACAGAGGCAUGUGAUCAGGUGUGGGUGAUUCUACUAGAUCGCACAAUUCAUGUCGAUCGGCACUGGACCGACUUUUCUAUCGAUUGGGUACCCUGUGUUCGUAUUUGAAACCUUGAGAUUACCCCGACAAUCGAAAGUCGCAAAUGUUUCAAAGAUGUACAUUGUGGCUUGAGAUGAUCAACCACAGGUCAAAUGCAUGAAAGUUUCUAAAGGCUACCCGGUAGGUUGGGCCGCGCUAGUAUCGUGCCAAAGUGAAAUUAACCGUGCAAUUGAGAUCGAAUUCAGAAAUUGGAAGUCUGGGUGUGUCACAAAUCAUUUCAAGAUCAUUGAAUCAUCUUUGGAAGAUUUUUCAUGUAAGCCGAGUUUUUCAGCAAUUAAAUCAGAAAAUGGUUAAUUUGACCCGAGAAAUCAAUAGGCCCGCAUUUGGUAUUGCUAUUAGGACUUAAGUUGGUUCUAUGGACAAGUGAAGAUGUAAAUUGAAGUGUGGUGACAUUGGAUUAAUUUUAUGAACUUCAAUUGGAAGAGAAUUGAAUGGAAUUGGAGAAAUUAGUGUACAAGAAUUGGACCCCGGCGGAAAAUGAAAUUUGCAACCAUUGGAAAAGGUUGUGGGGGAUUGGGUGAGUGGAGUGUGAUGUCACCCAUGAGGUCAUGUGGUGGGCCAAUUUGUUGGAUUAAAGAAAAGGGAAAAAGGAAAAGAAAUUGGCCUCCCUUCUUCUCUCUCCUCCCUCUCCUUGCCGUGGGAGCGUUUCCUCCUCUCUCCAUCUUCAUCUUCUUCUUCGAAAACCCAACAGACCAGCGAACCAGAGCAGCUCCGCCCGUCGCCGUUCGUCCUAGCCGGAGGCCGUUGCUCGUCCAGCCGCACGCAGCUCCGCCUCUCUCUCCCCCUUCUGCUGGUGUCGGCUUCUUCUCCUUCUUCCUUGUGUUUUUCGAAACCCAGCAUAUCUGGGAAGACAACAGAGCAGCCAUCUAGCUACUGGAUCGUCGUUUCGCGCCUCCGCCCUCCGCCGUUCGCCGCCGGAUCAGCUGAUUCGCCCGUCGUGCUCAGUGGCCAGCCCCGCGAGCUUCCUGCUCGUCUCGCGCCCGUCUUGAGUUCAGCAACGUCUCGAGCUUCCCUGGCCGCUGUUCCUAGUCGUCCUCCAGUCGUGAGCUGUCGUCUCGCCGCCGUGCAGCAGCCGGAACCAUCGCCUGGACCGCCGAAGCCCGCUUUGCCCGUUUCCAGCAAGCGGAGUCGCUGGUUCUUCUUCUCUGUUCCAGCGGCCAUUUCAGAUCUGGUGGAGCUCCGCCGGAGCCGUCCAGCCCACCUCCGGCCACCGUGAAGCCCCGCCUAGGUCCGAUUUGGUCUCCUCUGUCCAUCUUGGCCCUUGUGCGCCUCAAUCGGUGUCGGAUCCGCCCUCAACCAGCAACGAGCAGAAGGUUGCAGAAAUGGGUGUGGCAGCCCAUGUUUGGCCCGUUUUGGCCGCCUUCCCAAGCCCGGAUGCUCGGCCCGCUUUGAGGAAAGUCGAUCCUCGCGUCGUCCCUGUUGUUUUGGUUCGCUCGGCUCACUAAUCCGGUGAGUUUAGCUCACUAAACCUCGCUUAGAGGGUUAAUUAUGCUUUAGGUGUGCUUAGCGUAAGUUGAUUAAGCUUAGGUGGUUAAUUUAGUUGAUUUAAUUAUGAUUUAGAUUAAGAUGUUUGUUUAAUCUAAAGUAUGUUUAAUUAAAUGCUAAGAGAGUUUAUUUAAAGUUAAGUGGGUGUUUAUAUCAAUAUAAACAUUGAUGUGACAUAAAGGAAUUUACCUUUGAUUUAUUUAAAUAUCUCGAAAUUAUUUAAUAAUUUAAUAAUAUAUUAUUAUUCGAAAUUAUUAAAAUAUUAUUAUUUAAUUAUUUUCGGAAUAAAUUUAAUUAUUUAUUAAAUUCCGAAAAUUUUCAUUGGGACCUUAUUUGCUCAGAAUUUCGUGCCGAUCAUUGCUGUGCUAGUAGAAUUUGAAAUUGAUGAUUGGUUGUGAUGAAUUGAGUGUGAUUGUGAUUUAUAGGGAUUCUUUAUGAAAUCCCAAGUGUAGAAAUUGAUGGGAGAUUGGCUGUGAAAUACCACCUAUUAGAGGUCGUGCCCAGUGAGGCCGUGAAAUACCACCUUGGAAAGGUCGUGCCCAAUGAGGCCGUGAAAAACCACCUACAAGAGGUCAUGCCGAUGAGGCCGUGAAAUACCACCUAUUAGAGGUCGUGCCCAGAGAGGCCGUGAUAAACCACCUAUGAAAGGUCGUGCCCAGAGAGGCCGUGAUAAACCACCUAUGAAAGGUCGUGCCCAGAGAGGCCGUGAUAAACCACCUCUGAGAGGUCGUGCCCAGAGAGGCCGUGAUAAACCACCUAUGAAAGGUCGUGCCUAGAGAGGCCGUGAUGAACCACCUUGGAAAGGUCGUGCCCGAUGAGGCCGUGAAAAACCACCUACAAGAGGUCGUGCCCAGUGGGGCCGUGAAUUGCCACCUGUUAAAGGUCGCGCCGAGUGGGGCCGUGAUGCCACUGAUUUAAAUUUGCCGAGUAGGGCCGUAGUUGAGAGCAAUGAUUGAUUUGCUAGAAUGACAUGAAAUCGGCCGAGUCGAUUGAUCGCUGAGACGAUCCAAGUGGUUGAAUGGUUUGAUGAUGUGAUUGUGACAUGGUUGUUUGGUUAUCAUAAUUGUACGUGGUUGGAUUAUAUAAAUUGUGCUAACCUGUAGAUGAAGGCUGAGGCGAGGUAAGUCCUCUGUGUGAUGUGGCUAGGCCACCCGGGGCGUAUUUUCUUUCUAAUAGGGAUUUAGGGGGUUGAACUUGCUGAGACAUCGUCUCAUCCCGGUUGUGGGAUUAAAAUUUCAGGUCCCUGGUGGACGGAGCGGCCAGAUCGCUUUGGUUGGCCUUGAGAAGUUGCAGAGGUGAAGUCAUAAGGGUUGGAGAGCGUGUCCUGCUAGUUGGUUGUAGGAUAGUCCCCCUUUUGUCGAGCUGGUCUAUUUUGUAGAAAGUCCAGUGUUGUAUUUAAACCCCCCUUUGUGUUUGUAAAUGAGUGUUUGGUAUUGUGAUUGAUUGCCUGCUUUUCUAUCCCAAGUUAAAUGUUGUCAGGGGAUUUGUUUCGCUUCCGCAUGCGUAAAGAAAUGAAUGGGUCGGCGACAUAUCCUGGGAUGUCACAUUUUUUAUCGACCGCAGUGGGAUGUGCGCGCGCUCGGGGUUCGGGGCGUGACACUAUUGAUUUCUGCUUGGGUUAAUCAUGGAUUUUACUAUUCUUAUUGAUAUGACAAUUCAACCUGGUAUUUUGGAUCUUGUUAUAAGAACCAAGGAUUUAUAAGGGGACAUCAAUGUCAUGGUGACAGAGCAUUCUAUGGGAGGGGCUAUGGCAUCCUUUUGCGGAAUUGAUCUUGUGGUAAGAUAGUUAAAAACUGCUAUGGUCUGGAAUUGUGAAUUUUAUUGUUUUUUUUUUCCUAUUGCGUUCUUCCAAUAUUCAUAUGGUAAUAUGUUAAGAGUCAACUGGAAUUCUCUGCCAAAUCUGUGCUGAAGAGUCUAGGCUAUUUAUACGGAUCUUGAACUUUCUAUUGCUCUCAUAUUUAUAUUCACAAUUCGUCACAGACAGCAUCUUGUUUUCUUUCGGUUUUGGUAAGUCAAACCAUAGACAAAACACAAGCAGAAUGGGGUGCAAAUAGCCAUUUAUGCUAACCACCGAUUGUUUAAGUAUCUGGCAAUGUAAAUUGAGUCUUACCCAUAAAGCUAUGGAGCUUCAAGUUGGUCGAAUACCUAAAUAUAGUGGAUAAGGUCACUUCCAACUAAUCAUUACAAGGUUUACUUACUUGCUGGAAAAUUUAUGGAAUUGUCGAUAUGUUUAUGGUAUGGACAUAUAACUUUUUAAAGCACUUGAAGCUCAAGUUUUAUGUCAUGUAAUCUUGAAGUGCUAAUGCAUUUUAAGAUAGAUUAUAUAUCAAUCCUAAAUUUGUGUUUGGUGUACUGUUUCUAUCUAAGCCUCUCUCUAAUCAAAAGAAGCAGCUCCUCUUCAGUAGGACUACAAGGCCAGAUAUGUUGUAGGCUGGAGCCAAUGCUAAGAUGUCUAAAUUAUGCCUUUUCUCUCAGCUUUAUUGGACAGAGUGUUCCAGGGUACAUUUGGAGGCACCUGUUGCUCAACUGCUACCAGAAAUGGUGCCCAAUCCAAAAUCAUGUCCCAUUGAUUCUCUUCUCCAUGGCAAGUGGUGAUUUUUUAGAGUUAAACUUUAUCUUGAAGUCUGAUUACACUCAUGUUCAUGUGGCCUAUGAUAGGAUCAUAGGUUGCAUGGACUUUAGACUAUACCCUUUCUCAAAAUAUUAGUAGCAAGUAUAACACUUGUCCUAAAACUUUUAAAUGAUUUAAAGUUUUAUUUUUGUUUACUGGUUUCUUGCUGAAAAUUUUGUCGAGCCAAUUGUGACGUCAUGCCCAUUCGUUGCAAUCCUUUUUAAGAUUGAGUUUCUCCUUCGCUACUUGUGUCAGUAAAUUUUGUAGUUCAAGGGGCCUUUUCAUCAGGAACCGGGAAUUUUUUGUUUAUGUCAUUAGCAGGAUGUGACUAACCCCACCAACAUCCAAGUGCUUCUUGUGGAAGCAAUUAAAUGCGCUUCAGUUGUAAGUUUGCGCCCAAUCCCACUAUUCCAUAUCAUUAACACCUUUUUGUGGUGCUGACUGCUGAGGGUGGGUUUGGUUUUGUUGUGUGUGGGGUUUGGUGUUGGGAAACUUAUGGAUGGGAUCUUGACAGAGUUAACGCUAGACCUUCAACCCUUAUGGAGACAAAGGGCUGUUCUAUUGUUCACCUUUGUAUAUGAAAUGCAAUAUAUGGUUAUUGAUGCAUAGUGUUUUUUUUCCCAUCUUGGAAGGGCUAUUGAUGUAUUGACAUUAAAUUUAUUUGGCUGUCUAAUUAUGUGUGCUGAAACUGUCUUUUCCAGACCAGCAUUUGCCUUAUUUACUAAACAGAAGCACUUUAUUUCCUGGUUAAUCAUGAAGUACAGAAUAUUCAGGUUUAAACAUUUGGACAACUCUGUAUUGGCAAUGCAGUGUUUGCAUCUUACUACAGUGACUGCAUACCAAAAACAUUACGUAUUCCUCCUGGACAAGAUUUUGUCUUAUUUGCCUCCGUACUAUUUUUGGUUCCCACAGAAGACGUACCAUCAAUUCCCUAGAGAGGUAUGAUGUUGAUCAUGACAGAAUAUCAAAUAAAUUAUGGGGAAUUGUUGAUGACUGAAUUUGAGGUUUGCUUUGCAUCUCAUUUGACCUGUCUAACAAGUGAAGUAUCAUAUAUUCCGGCAUUGUAUGUACUCUCUUUUUUCAGCUUAUAAAUUAUGACUGUCUUGUUUGUUUUUCUUCUUAACAAAGCAGGGUAGUUUGUAGGACUCAUUACGUUUUAAACUUUUUUUGAGUAACUCUCAUUCUUGCAAAAGCCAUCAUGAGUUUUUCA
rnacentral:lncRNA from 1 species